CGGCUGGCAGAGGUUAAGGCCUGACUUCUGCACCUGGCCGACCCGGGUUCAAAUCCGCCUGCCGGCUCCUCGGGUGUUUGAGGAGUGAUGAAAUGGGAGGUGGCCCCCCAUCAUAUGGACGGUGUAGGACGUGAUAAUAACAACUUGCGAGCUGACCAGGAACUAACUUGAUGCGCCGUUGAUCCGCUAGAUUUGGUUGGAUGCUGGUGGUGAGUUGCCUAACCCAACGAAUACAUUCUGAAGUCGGAUGGGGUGACGGAUUAGGGUGCCCCUCUAGCAGGGGAGAGCAGGGACUGCCCCGGGGAAGGGGGCCGCUGGCGAAGUUAACCACCCUGUAACAACAUACAAUACUUACAUGCACGCACAAAUAUACAUACAUACACGCACACAUACACGUCCUACGCCUGUUGCCUAACUAGGCCAUACAGCAAUUAGUGAAUCUUCACGCGUCCUUUCAUAACCGCCGCGCACACACAAAUGCAGACACAUGCACACGUCCUGGGAAUGCAAGUUACGAACUCAUUCUACGAACACAUUCUGUCGCGGCCAGCCAGCGACGGACCACUUAUCAUGAUGCAAAUAUAGCCUUCAGCACCGCCUCCAACUCUAUUGAACACGAAACACUUUGAUGUUUCCUAGGAGCAUAUGGCCUGCACGGGGGUCCCAUCCUGGACUCAAGAGAGAGUCCAGGCUUUUAGCUACGCCGAAGUCAAGGCUCGUGUGAAGAUGGGUGCUAGGAUUAAACCCGAAUUUCCGGUUGGCCGUGGGGUUAAACACUGGAAUGGCCCUUAAGUGUGACAGAAUUCCGACUUUUCAUUGAGGUGUUCGCCCACUAUUUUGGCGCACACGACGCCGAAUGUCGCCUGCUGUGACUUCCUGCGCGUUGGACUUCCUGAGCCUACAAGCUCAGAGCGUGUCAUUCAAUGAGGCCACCAACCUGAUUUUUUGGUCGAUGAUGCAUCUUUAGCGGCAACUAGGGCUGUGUUGCAUAGGCCGCUGUAUCAGGUGCUCUAUGCUUUUCAGGUUAGGCUGUUGGGAACGGGAAGUUAAUGGGCCCGCCAGCGUGCCGCGUGUACCUGCAGGCUUUAUGACUGCGGAGUGGUUGAGGACGAGCUGCUGCAUGUCUUAUGUGAAUGCCCACUGGCCUAAGAGGACCUUAGGGUUAGAUACGAGGGGGACACCGGCUUCCGAGGGUACGGAGUGCGUGCUGUUAUGACGAAGCCCCCAUUAUAACUGUGGCUGGUUUUCCCUCAGAGGUCUGGGAGACCAGGCACAGGCGCGCCGAGCCCAGGCAAGCGUUUUUUUUGAGGACGUCAACGUCCCCACUCGGCGCCAAAGUAAUGGCUAUUGACCGGCAAUGGUGUCCCCGGGUUUUAUGGACGAUCCCCCCAUUUGCGCGGAACUUGUAACUUGGAAUGAUCUCAGCCUUUGGGCACACAUCCGUACCCUUUUUGAGGGAUAUCCGCUUAGAGCAUGCACUGCUGCUGAUGAUGACGAAUUUGUUCAUGUACAUGCGUUUAGAUCCAUAUGAAUGCAACACGUAAGCGUUCUGUACGACGUAUAUUGUACGAUGCGAUCCAGGUCGCUGGAACGGGGUCUCUUACGACGGAGGAGUCGUUGGGAACAAAUUGACGUACGUAGCACAUGCGAAGCGCAAAAAUAUUUUCCCUUCAUUAUUGGGGAGAGUAGAUUGGCGGUUUGUUUGUUUGUAUCAUGGUGCACUUGAAUGGCGGACAACUGGGGAAGCAACUUAGGGGCGUACUGUAGCGGGACAAGGACGAGACCGAGACAAGGCAAAGGACGCAAAAAGUAAGAGCAUUGGGAGAGUUAUUGGUCAGUUCCAACGAGCGAAAGUAGUCUCCGUUUGCACCCUGGGCAACGCCCCACACUCGCUCCCGGCGAAGCGGUGCAAACUGAGACGUGCAAGCAGGCAACAGGCAGACAACCGGCGGCAACAGCCAGAGAGCGGGAUAAUCAGCAAACCCCAACGAAACGAACACUGGCCGUGUGCCAACUCCGUUGUCACUGUCGCAUGCAACGCAAUGCCAGGGGGGAGCUGCAUGCAGCAAGGAAACCGUCCCCAGCUGUCCAUCCCUUGUAUAUCGUCUUUAACUGCAUUUCACUCGAUGGUUCGAUACGGCGCGGUACGGUGUGAACUGUACGGUGCAUCCAGCCCUGGUGCAUACCACCGGCAAAUACCUAGCACUGGCUUUAGGUUCCACAAGUAAAGCGAGCUGUAUGUACGGCAAAAGGGAAUCAGUAAAGUCACUGGGUAUAUGGGUGCAUGGGUACAUGAAUGUGUAGUAAAUGUUAUGUAAACCGUUAGUUUUAGUUAACCUUAUUACGUGGGAAACCCCAAAGACACGCAACAAUACAUCAGGCCGCAUCCCAAUUCCAUCAUUAUUAAGGUGGCCAAUUUGUCACCCGGCAUGAGGGUGUCACAAAUCCAUCUACAGACGACAUCCCCACCAGGCCAGGAAUCAUGCGACAUCAUAUGCCAUGGCGACCUUUAGCCAGCCUGAGAUUGUACGGCAGUCGGCACACAUAUCGUCUAAAAAAUAAACGCUAAGGCGCUCUGCCAGCAUCUACAGAUCGAGGCCAGCUACCACAACUGCCCCCUGGUAUACAAAGGGUUGCCAAAGACAGGAGAUCUACUCUCUGUGUAAGGCGGCCGGCGUGCUUAAGAGUGGAUCCGUUAGCUCAAUUUGAUUGGCCAGGCAGAGGUGCCAUAAUCAGCCGCUUUCGUUGACCCAUACAGCCCUACCAGCCCGUGCCCCGUGUCGACGUUUCGACUGGACAGGGUUCGCAAAUUGCCUGGGGAUGAAGCACGAUGAACGGCCAUCCUCGAUUGACGAAUCAAAAUUUCGAUUUUCCUCACCUCCUCGGGUUUCUCGCCCAUGUGACGGCUUGCAUCAGCGCGGUUUCGGAACACCUGCUUUACCGCAUUGUAAGGCAGCACAGAUGGUGUUGUUUGGAUCUGGGGGGUACAAGUACCAGCAUUUGCGGAGGGAGAUUUAAAGUGCCGGGUAAAUGUCGUUUGUUGCUGUUCUUCAGGCUUCCUGCGUAUGUGCCCGCUUGCAAGUUGCUUUUGCAAUUCGGUACGGCCUGGUCGUAGAUGUGGUUAGUUUGGUUACCGUACUGGUGGGUCGCACUGGUGAAGGAGGAUGGCUGUCAGAGGAUGAUCGUACACCCUUUCCGCCCUCACUACCGACCCCUGGCAUCCCCCAACUUUGCUAUCGUGCUGCAGGCUGUUGACAUUCAAACUAAACAAUACAAUGAGCAUGUCCGAAGUGCAAAAGAAACGUCCCGUAUGGGAUUCGAACCCAUGAUCCCUGGAUGUCUUAGUAAUAGAAGUCCAGUGCGUUAUCCACUACGCCAACGGGACAUGGCAUAUUUUAAUAUUAUGUGCAAUAUAUCAACAAUUUUAGCACGUACGUAAGUACACGUUUCUAGCACGUACGUACUAUCAUAUCACAUACCUUUGUAACUAUGUGACUAUGUACGAAACCCGUUAGGCUGAAGGAGGGAGGCCCGCUUGCUCUGAUUGGGGGUUUGGACCUUGUAAAGUCCCCCUGCCAUGAGAUACCUUGGAUAUGGCUAUUCAAGCCGAUUCCGUAAGACAUGCGAACGCAAGGUCAGGCUUUGGCUCUUCGACUGCACUGUAACUGGUAUGUAGGUAAACAUACCUACAAUAGUCAUUCCCCUGAGAUUUUUUGUCCUUGCCCCGCGCACUCAAACAUCGAAUGCCAGUGUCCUCGCCGUGCUCCUUCGGCGGGUGCCGCCGCUCUCCUAUUCUCGUUUGGUACGGACGACCAACGAAGAACGGUUGCCACUAAUGAACCAGCUAUGCGUAAAAAACUGCAAUGCAGAUGUGUACGCCAUUUCAGUGCAGUAUGCCUAUAUCUGUAUUGAAUGGACCGGUUCAGGUUGCCUUAAGCAGACUACAGCUGCAGUUGGUUCGGCCACACUUAGGGCCCGAACAGGUAUACUUGGGUGUACAUUUGGUAUCGAUACGGCGAGCAGUAGAGGAGGUCAAUAAAGAGUCUUUGACUCAUAUCGCUCAGCAAUCUUUGCCCUCUGGACCACCAUCCAACAUUCGGCUAUUGAAGAAGGAGAAACGCUUGGAGCUUUUAUAUGAUGAGGGCCAAAAGAUCUCGCUGCCAGCAGAGCUGCUGCGCGUGUGCAGCCCCAGCGCUGACACCAGGCGACUAAUUCCUGCUACUGGCCGCGAACGGGUAAACAUUUAUUCCUCUCUAGGUAAAAUUUUGGACCUUAUGCUGAGUAUGUUGUACAGGAGUUCGGCCUGGUAGCAUGUGCAAGGUGUACAUUGUUUCAGCUUCCCCAUCCCCAAGCCCACACUUAUUUUAAAACUCGCAUAGGUGGUCGCGGGUCGCCGCCAUGUUGGCAUCAUGUCCAUUGAACCAGUCGGCAACUACGCCAUCCGGUAAGACGCGAAUGCGAAGCGUCCACAGCAAUGACUGUUUCUUCUAGAAGGUGGGCAAAGGGUGGUGGGAGAAAUGGAUAACUACCCGGUGGCUGACUGGUACGGUGUGCUGUGCUGUGGUGUGGCGUGGCGUGCGGGCAAGCCGGCAACCUGCGAAGGUUAAAGCUCCCCGACUAGGUAUGUGCGUGAAGGCAGCCAAACUUCGCUGCGCUUCAUACACCCGGUGGAUAUUGACCUACCGAAGCGAAUACGACAACGUUGCGCGUGGGAAAGAAAGAGCCACAACGAACGGCCCUUUCAUCGAUCACAAGUAGCUUACAAUAACUCCUCUUGCGUGUGGUGCUCACAAGUACUGCUUUAUAAGGGUCCUCCGGGCUUCCUCCUUCCAUCCCAUCCAAAGCUCCAAAACUCACUGGGCAACAGCGGGGUUUUUCCUUUGACGUUUUUCCUUUGAUUUCCUUUGAUAGGCAAUUAAGACCCGCAAGCUUGUCAACCUUCCCAUAACCGGUCUGUCAGUUACAGAUGUGAACCUCCGCCGCAUCCAGGAACAGCAACCCAGAGAUAACACGGGGACCAAAAACAGUGCAGCUCUUCACAUAUAAAGCUUGUUUUGUUGCAUGUGUUGUUUUUUAUUUGUCCUAACCCUAGAUAUCUCUCUCCUGGCUGGGCGGCUCCUUAUCCUAGGUCCCCAGCACGACCACCACCUCGUCGUGCACCGUCCCUGCACCGUUCGGCCCCUCAAGCCUUGUCUCUAUGAAUGUACUGCCAUACGGUUUUCCGUACAGGAUCCAUUUUGACGAUCUGCACAGCAGUGGCAUCUUCACGUGGGACUAUCUGGCCCAACUUGGCGGCCCGGGCAGGUGCGUUUAGGGGGAAGGGGGACUGGCUGCGGGUCAGUAUUGAAACCCUAAAACACCCACGACACGAGGAUAUGAUGAGGAGAGCGGCUGGGGGUUGAGAAACGAAGGACACCCUGUCCGGAAGGUUGGUAAGGGGGUAAGGGAAAGCGAAGUGGUCGAAGCGAAGUAAAAUUGUGUUUGUUGGCAAAAAGGAAACCUGGACUAUGCAGGAAGACAUGUCCCGUACGCGCAUGCUAGGACGGGAUGAGAGGGAGAGUGAAGUAAGAGUGGUGGGAAGUGGGCGUAUAGGACAUCCAAGUUUGAGCUUCUUGUGAGGGCCUUGUGCCGGUCUGACGGCCAAGUGCAACGCCGUGUACGCCCGUGACGGCGGGUCGCGUGCCGGGGGCUUGUUGUUCUUGUUGCUGCUGCUGCUGCGCAGCUAGGGCAGCACAGCUGUAAUGGUUGUGGUAAUCGUCGCGGUGUAUGAUGAUGAUGAUGAUAAUGAUGAUGAUGAUGAUGCCGUGUGCCGUUGCCGGGUUUUGUUUACCCCUUUUCCCUCCCGUUGACAGUCGACCCUUCCUUGCUGGCUGCAUCCAAUUCCUCCUUCCCUCCCUGCCCGGGCCCACUCCGGACUAAUUGACUAACUAACUAACUAACAUGGGGCCCAGGUGGCCGGCGAUGCGCGAGUACCUACGCGGGCUGCGGCAGGCAGGGCUGAGCCGUGAUCCGCAGAUCCAGAUCCAGGCCAAGAUCCAGUCCCCACGCCGCCCAACACAACCACCAGCACCUGCCUCAUCGCCACCAUCAGUGCUGUCAAGGCAACCGCUACCGCCGGACCACCCCCAGCAGCAACAUCAGGAACAACAGCAACAGUAGCAAACAGCUGAGAGGAACUGCCGAGGAUGGAACGUAAUGUAACGUGGUGAAUGUGCAUGAUGCAUGCAUGGAUGGAUGGAGAUUGGUGAUGUAAAAGGGGGCGGCGACGGUGGCGGAGGGAAACGGAGGGAGAUGGGGAAGAGGCAGCCGGCGGAGCGCAUGUCAGCCAUCAGGCCAGCGCUCUGGAAGGCGCACUCAUUUAUUUUGACGAAAGAGGCCGCAAUGUGGGCUAUUAACCAAGCCGACGGGGGAUGAUGCUGGGCAUGCGUUUUUCCCCCAGAGGAUGCGGCUUUUGCACUGCCGCUUGGUUGUCGCUCGAAAAACUGCGUCAUUGAUGGUGGGCUUUUGCCAGGAGUGGUGUAUAUGCAUUACUGUUGUUGUUGUCGUUGUUAUAUUGGCUGUGGGGUUGGUGAUGGCUGGCGGUGGGGCAGUGCGAAUGGUGGCUAUGGGCGUGCGGCGCCAUCCCAUAGGGCCGCGGCUGCUGAGUGACGACACGCCGUGUUCCGUUGCCUGAGUCGCCUGAGGGCGUGACACACCAGACCGACAGGCUACAUGUACCCCCGCCUUGCGCUGCUUUUGGGGCCUCACAAGCACAAGGUCACGGAUUUCUCAGCGACAACCAGCUGCGACAGACUCUGUUCCAAGAGUUGGCAAAGAGCAAAGCAACGUAGGGUUUGUGGCUGCUGACACAGCAACUUCGCCGAAGUCACUUCAUGUAUCGAAUGUACACGGAUAUGUGUGCGUGUGCGUGUGUUACAUGGUUGGGGGUGCGUGACCCCAUACCUGUAAAACUACCCAUACGAGCCGAAGGCCCAAGGGGUAUAGCACGUACACGGAUAUAGCUGGAUACAGUGAAGAGCAAGGACAACGGAUAAACAGCUGCGGAGCUCUCACAAUCACAGUGCCUGCUGUCUAAUUAUAAUACAAGCCAUAAAAUAUGCCGUCCACCGGUCGCAGUGGACCCUCCUGGCCUUGGAAAUUAACGACUCGGGGCGAAAGCCGGAUCGGUUGAAAGCCGUAUGUCUAACAUAUGCGCAAUUCAUAUCGUAACGAAGGAGGUAAAUUCCCAGAAGCGUACUGCACCGCAGCUUUCUAUUCGUAAGAUGGAGUUAGAUAAGCGCCCUACGCCAAUCGAAAGCCAGCCAGCUUACGACGCGCAGUUCUUAUUUCCACGACUCCGAGAGGAUGGUUGCAAAUAUCCUAAAAAGGAAGAGGAAGAGCGCGACUAAGGAAAAGAGAAAUGAACCCUAAACGGGAAGCAACCCCCAUUCUUGCAAGAAUGUUCAUUUGCAGCCAUCCAAAGCGAAGUGCGACCAAAGCGCAGAGCGAGCCCUGACAUCUCUUAUGGGGACUCCACCGAAAGAAAAGAAGGAGAAGCAGCAAGCAAGCCGCAAACUCUAAGAACGCACAUACAGCCCAACAAGGCCCCGGCUAGGGCGAGGUUAUUCGCCUGCCUUGUACGGUACCACGAGGUACCGGAUACAGCCGUACCGCUACAUAUCACCUUCGUUUCGAAGGUUUUUUCUCCGUCCUUUCAAUCCUUUCCAGGUAUUGCGUUUGGAAAGCCUCGUUCGCUCUAUCUGCUAGGACCUUUUGAACAGAAAAAUAGAAGACUAUCAGCAACGCUAAAGGGCAGAGUGCUUUCCCUUUCCUGCACAUCCUGUGAGCGAUCUAUUGCGAUGCCUUCCCUUAAGUAAUGCAGGGGUGAGGAAUGUGGGCUCUCGCCAGGUACACAGGGGAAAUUUGUGCGCUCUCCUAGCCACCUACCGUCAUAAAGUAUGCUUCUGCUGCUUCUGCAUCAGCAAUGCCCUGCUGCUGCCACUGGUGCCUCCGCGAACACAGCAUGUGUUCCUCAGGGACGAGGUAGCGAAGGAAGCAGUGCAGUUUGAUUGACGUGUUGCUCACACUCGCGCUUGAUGUCAGCAGGUAGACUCAUGUAAUAUAGAUGAUGAGAUGACUAUAAAACUACUCGUCCCAAAAGUAAUGCCCGUACUCACAGAGAUGAUGGGGGAAUAAUUGUGAAGCAGGGGGCGAAGCAGAGAAACCCUAUUUUGGUGGUUGGGGACAAGGCCCGCGGGCCGGGGUAUGCGCACGGUCUGGAUUAGGGCAUGUCAUACAGGACUGGUUUCGACCUUAAAGCAAAAAAUAGGUGAAGGGGAUACAGAAAUGGUCCGGUAUGGUGACGAAAGCACCUCGCGACUUAUGGGUUUGGAUCGGAACGUCUGCAGUAAGCGUGCAUAUGUGUGUGCAGAGCAAGGGGGGAAAAUAUGUGGGUGCGCAUGUUUUUUCUAAUGCUACCGCCUCUGCCGCCUGCUGGCGAUGCCUCCGCAUAUAUUUUAGUUAUAUUAAAUUUAUUAUCAUAAAAUAUCUCAGUUAUAUCUAUUAUAUUAUAUUAUAUCCACGUUUUUGCAAGGAAAGGCGAGCGCGAGCCGUGAAAUGUCUGGGCAUUCAAACGAAAACGUAAAGAAGCCUGACCUAGGACCGGGCUUAUAUGGACUCAUUUGUGUUCUUCGCAGAUUCCUCAAGGCGUGACGUUCUGGCUAAUUGUCUCAGAGUUACAGUGAUUCACGCCAUGCUUCCAUGCUCCCAUGUUUCACCUUUUCCUUGUCUCGAGUUUGGGAGAUGCGACUAUUGCCCUUCCCGCAGGCGAAGGUUCGCGUGUCGAUGGUUCGUUUGUCGACUGUUGUUUGUUAGGUUUGACUUACUCGUCAGGUAUAAGUCAUAUCCUAAGGCAUAAGCCAAAUAACCUGAGGGUAUCACACGCAUUGCUUGUGUGCUGUUUGAGGUUUCUGGGCCCGUGCUGUCCAAGGCGCAGUGAAAAGAAGACGGGGCCAGGGAGAGCAGGUGAGAGCAGGCAUUUUUUUUCGUAAGGGUUAAAAUUGACCCGCAAAAUCCAGGGCCGCUACGUGGAAUAGAAAUAUUUUGUGGUGUAGGAAGAAGCCCAUUACAUUAUAUCAGGGCUAAUUUGAGGCCAUGGGUAAAGGCCUGUUGGCCGUUACCCUCGGCUGGCUUAGGGCUGCGGGCAGACACGCCAAGCGCUGCAGCUAUACAUGGCAAGAGAGAGAAGAAUGCUUCUUAAAAAUUAAACCAGAAAUAAAUGCCUAACUGUACCAAGUCCAGAAGCGAGGGUUAUGACAACGGAUAUGCGUCUUCCCCAGUACUGACUAUCGUAUCGUAAGGGGCAUUCCGUAAUCCGUAUACGUCUAGGGAAAUGCUAAGAGAAGAUUCGGAUAAUGACUUAAUUCAAGUGAAAAUCUUUCCAGCACCUUUAUUCGAAUAUGGUAAAUCCUGUAUCAGUAAUCCUUGUCGGGUGUACGUCAAACCUAGGAAGGGUGGAAUUUGCUGGAGGCAUGAACUGAAUUAUAUGCCACAGCGACUUAUCCCUCGCAAGUUAUGAACUUGGAGAGCUGGGACCAUUCGGAUGCCUUAAGAUAGGCGGCUGUCAGUGACGGAACAACAGUACCUGCCGAGCCGUAAACGUGAUGGAGGUGAGCUAGAGAAUAGUUUGAGCUUCGGCUUUAGGGCACUCAUUUACCUGGUUACACGCGCCGCGCAAAGGAAAGUCAAUGGCUUCCAGCACAUCUACUAUCAGUGUCCGAACACACAACAUUUUGGUUGCAAUAGAAUUGGCAGUGUUUGGCAGUUGUUAUUUCCUCUUCAGAUCCCGCCAACUUAAGCGCCCUCUGUUGGCUUGCAUCGGUGCUUUCGGCACAGAGGUAUGAGUACCUUGAGACGAUAAGCUCUGGGGCAUAUGGAGUGUGUUACAAGGUGUUGGAUACGGCAACAGGUCAGCAUUGUGCUGCGAAAGGUAUCAAGCAAGCACAUGAGGAUGCUGAGGUACGGAGGCAAGGAUGCGACUUAGGCAGCAAGGGAUGGAAUUUACAAAUUGCGAUACAUGAUUUGGCCAUCAUCCAUGUUUGGGAUUUUCCUAACUUUUGGGAAUCAACCGUUUUCAUGCAACUGUCUUUUGCGGAAAACGAGACCUACCAUGCGGUCGCCAUGCUUCAUUUAUGUGUGAAUGAUUUUUAGCCAUUGUCACCAAGUGACGCUGGUUGGGCCUAGUUUUAUGUACUCGCGGACAACGCUUUACGCUUUACCAGGUUUGCUAAUUGCAUCGCAGCUAAUUGGAAAUCACCCAAUUCCUCUUGAUGCGUUUUUUUGCGGUGGUCUGCUGCGAAUGGCCAUUAUGGUCAGCUGGCGGGGUUUUCGUAAAGGAGUCGACGUUUCAGUACUCCUACUUUGGCUCAUUGAUUUCAACGUCUCGGUGUGGAUCUUUAUGCCCUGUGUCGAUAUGUUAAGAUGUGCUAGGAUGAUAUGUCGAAGGAUGCUCAGCUCUUCAAGUUCACACUUUGCGUGGUGGCACUGUAUUUGUAAAGCGGACGACGGCUGCCUGCAGUCUGGAAGCUUUGUACAGCUUUGCGUAGCUAGUUUUCCUGUACCCCCAGGAACAUAACGACACGGCAAUCAUUUUUCUUACGGACUAAGAAACAGUAUCAUGCGGCAUCUUUCCACAGGUUAUGAGGCUCACACUCCGAGAGGUGAAAAUCCUGAAAACCCUCCCGCCUCACGUUAACGUCGUGAGACUUUUAGAGGCCUUUCGGAGCCACAGUGGCAGGUACGCCGCUUUAAAAAAGCUCUUGCUUUUGCUCCCUACGCACACAAUCAUUCUUUUCUGCGCACAUCUGGCGCUGCACUGCUGGCUUCUGAACGACAACAUAGCCUGUUUGACCGGCUCAUCCGACUUUUCCUUGCGCUAAAACCAAUCUCCUGCUUAGAAUUCUCAAGUUCACUAUGCUUGGCGCUACUUGACACACAAUUCAGCAAGGGCAAAACGUUGGUUUGGGACGACCGACACCCGACAUCUGUGCCGUAUACCGCAGGGUAUACCUGGUUUUCGAGUAUGUCGAACGGAGCUUGUACCAGGUAAAAUUAGUUGUUUCUCAAGCUCUGGCAUGUGAAGUAAAAUGCAUCCUCAUCCGUUCUCGUCAUUAUUUUUGGGAAUUAGGUGGUCUUUAAAGAUAGGGCUUACACUCCAACCGCCAUCUAGCCGCAGGGCUUUACUUUUACUAUAGGUCUUCAUCUCCUCGCUCCCUUUCCCGCUGCAGCCACACCAGAAGAAACCAAAUUUCCCCUUAACUCACCUCAACGUUCCAACAUACAGACACCAUCCGGCGACCCUUCAAACCUAAAACUUCCCACCUUCCGCCUCCGCCUCCUCUUAUGUCUCAAACAUGGCGGAUCCACAGGAGCUUGAACGGCAUCCCGCAGGCGCCCUCCCUGGCCCCAUGGUCAAGUCCGUUGCCUGGCAGCUGCUCCAUGCUCUGGGCCACUGCCAUGACCACGGGGUAAGCAAGUGUCGUACGGAACGCUGCGCAUCAUUGCCCCUCGCUCAAACAAUCGCAACGCCUAUAUCCUUUUCCCUUUUUUGUUACCUGCCGACGGUGCUGCCAUGGUGGUGAUAGAGAGCUUCUGUGGGUUUGGACCUCCCCGCGAUGUCCACCUGAAUUGGGCAGGGUGCCCAGGCAGCAGAAACUGGAAACGGGAAAUCAUACCUCGCGCACAUACAUAUGCAUGUUGCUGCGUUCAAUCAUGCAAAGUGACCUUUGCCUUCCGCUACGUUGUUUCACAAAUGCGCUGCCCUGCUAUGUGCUGUAUUGUUUUGUGCUGUGCCUUACCGUACUGCAUUCUGCCGUACCCUGCUUUUCAUAAACAUGGUGUAUCACGUUAGUUGUCGCGUAAAACCCUUCCGCCGGGUUGCAGGUCUUGCACAGAGAUGUGAAACCUGCCAACGUGCUUCUGACGGGGUACACCCCAGGAUUAGGAAGCGGGGGUGUUGUGAAGCUUUGUGACUUUGGAUUUGCUCGUACAUUGCCUGGCGGCGGUGGCAGAGCUGGGGGCGGCGCCGGCGGUGGCGCUGGCAUCGGUGCCGGGGCCGCCGGCUUGUCGUCGUACGUGAUGACUAGAUGGUAUCGUCCCCCAGAGGUGGGUAGUUGCUGUUGUGCGCGUCCUCUUCAGUAUGUGUACGUGUACGUGUACGAUUAUGCUUGCUCUUACAUAUGUGAAUACGUGUAUGUGUACGGAAACACGUGUGAGCGCGAGGCGACUGAGAAACGGACGGCGUGGGAGGCCCUUGUCACCCCCCUUUUCUGCUUACAAAAUCUGUAGCCGCAUCAUCGCUUUCAUGCCGUUCCAAAUUGAGCUCGAGUGAACCGUACGUAUCCCUGUACGUGCUGCAGGUUCUCGUUGGGGACAGCUACGGCACGGCCAUCGAUAUUUGGUCGUACGGAUGCACGUUGGCGGAGCUAGCCACAGGCCGGCCUCUGUUUCCUGGUAAGCAUCAUUUGUCCCGUACGCCGUACCCUGUACGCCGUGCCCUGAACUGCAUGGAGUUGGAAAAAUUGUAGCACCUUAUGCAUAGGGCCCAUAAAGCGCAGGUCUGUCCACCCCGCUGUACACCCCCUCACCUUGGCGCCUGUCUGUCUGUCUGUCUGUCUGUCUGUCUGUCUAACUGCACGCCCACGAGUGACUUUUCCAGCUUUGACAAACUGACAGUCGUCUGACGCCACACUAAAAGGAGGUCUUUCCCUGGAGCAGGUCGGUCCACUGUUGACCAGCUGUGGCGCAUCAUGCGCUGCCUGGGCCCGCUGCCGCCGUUGCAAGCCGCCGCCAUGCGCCGGGACCUGGGGCUGCAGGCUGUGUGGUCGCCUCCGCAGCGGCUCAAGACGCUGCGGCAGCGGCUGCCGGUGGGGCUGACGAGGAGCCCUCGUGUAUAGUGUGUCAUCUCGCAUGCGCCCUCUGCUUGUCGUGUGUGCGCGCGUGUGUGUGUGCGUGUGCGUGUGCGUGUGCGAGGUGGAUAUGUGUUUUGGUGUCUGUAUUGUGUGAUGAGGUGGCUUUGGGGCCAGGGUGGCGGCGGCGGUGGGUUGCCGGUUAGCAUCAGGAUGCAGCAUGAGACUUGCGGGCAUCAGGGAAGGAUGGACGAUGUUUGGAUGCAGAUCUACGUCGAAGGGGAUGCCUUUCGUUUAAAACCGUAAGCCAAUUGCCACACAGAAAUAUGCCGUACUGCCUCUGCAGUACAUAUAAUAUAUUUCGCAAUCCGGGGACCAACGUUUUCGUCCCGGGUUGCCAUGCAUGCAGGAUUUGGAUCCUCGGCUUUUUGAGGUAGUAAGUGCCUGCCUAACGAUGGAUCCGCAGCGCCGACCCACGGUUCGCCAGCUGCUGGAAAUGCCGUACUUUUGGGACGUACGCACCUUGCUCGCCAACACAGACCUGGCCCGGCAGCUGCCGUACGCUGCGGACAUGGCCUGCACAAUAAAUUUCAGGUCGACUGCAACGAGGGCGGCGGCAACGGCAGCGGUGAAGCCUGCUAUCGCGGACACAUACCGCAAUGCGCCCAGCUGUGCGGAUGCCGUACUGUACGACAGAAACCUCUCUGGGGGAACGCAGGCGGAAGUGCCGGCGGCGAACAACGCUAGUACGACACCGUUUGUGGUGUCGUCCAUCGUGACCGCGCCGCCGGUGGUUGUGGUGGUGGUACCAGAUAAGGGCGUGAAGGUAAAAUCAGAAGCUGCCGAUUCAGUGACAACACGACAAGAUGCCGCCGCCAGCGGCCCAAGCGCCGCACGUGGUGGUGAAGACACAUGUUUUUCAACGCCGCUCCUGCCGUCAAAAGCGGCAGCGGCGGCUGAAGAUGAAGCCAUUUACGAAGCAUCGUACACCACGCGGAUGAAUUCCCUGAAAACGGCCAAUCUGGUCACCAUGGAUGCUGGGUGUACGGACUGGGUAGCUGGGGCUCCCACCACCCCGGUGCACAUGACGGUGGCCGCCAAAGCCGCGGCCGCCACGGCGGCGGCAGCGGCGGCAUCAACGGUAACGGCGGCCACUGCAGCCGCAGCUGCCGUCCCGCCGCUGCCACCGCCACGGCUUGACCUCUCGUCACCUUCAGACGUGUCAACGGCUCCCAGGACGCCUUUUCGUGCAAACCAUUUCUCGACAACUUCCACAGCACCAGCACCAGCACCAGCACCAGCACCAGCACCAGCACCAGCACCAGCAGGAAUAGCAGAAGUUGCGGUGGCUGCGACGGCAGCUGAGCGAAACUUGGAAACUCAGGGCAAUGCCGCCGGUGGUGCCGUACACACGCCCGUAUCCGGCCCUGCCACCGUCGCUGACGCCGACUCUGUGUUUCAGGGCCGCCGUACCGCCGCUGCCGCUGCAACCAGAUGCACUCCCAUCGCCACCGCCGCUGCCGUUCCCGAGGGCACCGCCACCGGCAGUGAUGAUAAGAGCAGCGGCAACGGCAAUGGCCCUGCUAUCGCGCGCCGGAGCUUGCCGUACGACGGCGCAGCAGGGUCGUAUCCCCCAGCGGCGGCGGCCUUGCCGCGCCGGAGCGCCGCGGUGGCACAGCGGGCCGACAGCGGCCGCCGCAUUUACUUGGCCAUCGGAAAUCACACCGAUACCGCGUCUCAAGCCGGACCGCGAGUUCCGGCUGUGGCGGCGAAGGCGGCGGCGGCGGCGGCCGUGGCGGCGGUGGUGGAUGGGUCACCUCAGAGGCAGCUGCAGCCGCCAACACUUCGACCUGACGCCAAGAUUCCAUUCGGGGUUUCAUCUGUACGACUAUUGUCCGUUGCACGCUGCCACAGAGGCGGCGUCGGCGGCGGUGGCAGCAGCGGCGCCAAGUCGCUUCACACAGCCGUGCGCACCAUGAGCAGCUGCAGCAGCAGCAGCGGCGGCGGCGGCGGCGGCGGCGUCCGCGGUGGCGGCAGCAACGGCUCUGGUAUCGCCCCAGUCGCCAUCAGCAUUGGUGUCGUCGGCGCCGGCGCCAGCCCUCGGAUCUUGGAUCCCAAAUACGACAGUCUUUCCCGUUUUGCUAGCGGCGCUGGCGAAACACAGGAGUCCGUGCUUUCGUCAGAACUGAAGUACAUUCGAAGUCCGGCGGGCGCGCCUGAGCUGUGCCAGUUCGUCGCCGCUGGGGCCUCGCUGCCACACCGACGAGGCCCCGCUGUGGAAAGCAGCUUACUGUUUCUACCUUCACCCUCGGAGACUACCGGUACGGCAGGUGAAGCGAAUCCUAUCAGUUAGCGUCCAAUACCCAUCUAACUCCCCUGCGACUAUAUUACUUCUAUGUCUUAUAUGGAGCGCGAAUUUUUAUUGGGUAGCUUAGCACCACUAGGAUCACGCCGUACGGCUUUUCCAUGGUUUGCCGUACACCGUUAGCUGCCGCAACCACCGCAUUUUGAUAUUCGCCAUGGGUCAAUUUCCUCUCGAACCGCCGCAGAAACCAUACAGGUGUCGCAAUCAGCCGCUGGUGGUGCCGGCGGCGGCGGCGGCGGCGCCGCCGCCGCCACAGCCGCUGCAGCCGCUGCAGCCGCUGGCACUACGACUGCGGAGGUUUGCCUGCCCAGCGGCGCCAUCCCCAAUUAUGUCUUCGAGCUCGACCCGUACCAUAGUACGGCGGAUCAGCAGAUGGAGGUGUACGACACACAGCCCGUCGGCUUCUCCUUGAGCAGCUCACCGCCGGGCCAGGGGCCCCCCGGUCGACAGCACAGCAGGCUAUGGAGCUGGGCGCUUUCAUCGCUUCGUCUCGUGGGCGGGUUGGACCCUCAUCUUCAUCCUCUUCCUCAGGCGCACGUGGGGAUGCAGAUGCAGCAGCAGCAAAUGCAGCAGCAGCAAAUGCAGCAGCAAAUGCAGCAGCAGCAAAUGCAGCAGCAGCAAAUGCAGCAGCAGCAAAUGCAGCAGCAGCAAAUGCAGCAGCAGCAAAUGCAGCAGCAAAUGCAGCAGCAGCAGUUGCACUCGCGGUUUCCCACAUAUACUCAGCAGCAGCACUCGCAGGACUUGCCACACUCGCAGCACCAAGAGCAUGUUACUGCGGUGAGCUCAUUCAUCCACACAAAGAGGUGGCUAGGUUUGCACGGGGGGCCCUCCGGCGGUGGCGGCGGCGGCGGCGGCGCUCGUGGCAGCACUGGCAGCAGCGGUGGAGCAGGUGGUGCGAGCCGGCAUGCUGACUUCGUCGACACCCGCUUGCCCUUCUGCACAGCUACUGCCGCCGCCGCCACUACUGCCGCCGCGCACGGUGGCGGCAGCCGCGGCGGCAGCUGCACAAUGGGCAGCAUGUUGGGCGGCGGUGGUGGUGGCGGGAUGGACACCGUCGCGCCAAGCACGCCUGAGGGGUACGGCAACAGCCAAUCGAGAAGCUUGCUCCUCGCCGCCGCCGCCGCCGCCGCCACGGGGGGAGGCUGCCGCAGCGGCAACCUUCGCGGCCUGCCAGAAGCCAGCGUCAGGCCAGGCGGGAAGCCACUCAAAUCUUCGCGGUCCCUGCCUGCUUGGCUUUUCGGACCUCUGCAUCGAAGGGCGACAGCUGGGGCAGGCGGCGGCCACAGCGGCGGUGAGGCCGCAGGCUGCGCUGCUGGCGGUGCCGCUGCUGCUAUGGGCGGCUGUGGCGGCGGUUCCGGAGCAUCGCCUGGCCUGGAUCAAUCAUACGGAAACCGGAGGCAGUCGAUUCCGCAGCAAGUGGUGCUACAGACGAGGCACAGCUGCCUCCGGACACGUAGCCAAACGGUGCGUGAGUGCGCAGACUCAGGGCUAUUGUCGUCGUCAAGAUCAUCACCUGCGUUACAUACUUUGUGGCCGUAAAAGGCUAGCGUGUAUGUUUUAUAUAUUAAAUACUUACAUGCAUAUAUGGGUGUAAGUGGCAAUGCCGUACAAGUCCUUCUGACCUUCUGACCUUUCGCCUCCCUCACUCACUCAAUCGUCGCGCGCAGUACAUGGUUGAAUCGCCCUCUUCCUCCUGCCCUCCCCUUUUUCCGGCCGUUACCUUUUUUCUCAUCGCCCGUUUCGGCUAUGCUCCACUUUUAGUCCCUCUCCUCACUCGACCCUUCUCGGUGUUCUCCCUCCAGGCCUCUCCCAUUUUCCUCGGUGUUGUCCCUCUCCUUUUCCACCCGACCCUUCCCUCCGCACCCAGGUUACCAGCAGCACUUUGUCCCCCACGUGCUUACCCCCGGUCGAGGGGCCACUGCAAGGGGGGACCACUGCAAGGGCAAACUGCGAUGUUGGCGGCAGCUGCGGCGCCGCUGCCGCUGUACGUCGUCGGCCGUCUUCUGUCGCUGUGGGUUAUCCCAGGGCUCCCUCUUCGGACUCCGGACCUUGGGAUGGCGGAGCGACGCCGGCGGCGACCGCGGCGGCCUCCGCCGCCGCCGCCGCCACCGCAGGUGCUGCGGCUGCCGUGAGGCGCAUUUCCGGAACGACGGCCAGCAGCGGCGGCAUUGGCGGCGGCACUGUUGACGUUAGGACUGUUUUCGCCACCAUGCCACACAGGGCAGGCUCAGAGACUGCGGGCCAGAUCACCGCUUCCGGCGCCGGCAGCGAAUGCCGGUCCGACGGUUGCCAGCGGCUACCACAACAUGGUGCAGGGCAGGCCUUAUGCACUAACAGGGCAUCCUGCCGCAAACUUGGCGCAGCCCCGCCAGACGUCAGCGGUGCAUCUGCAGUAGCCCCACUACAGCAGCAGCUGCAGCUGCAGCAGCCGUUGCCUCCUCUUCGUUGCCAGGUUACGGCGCCUACUCCUCUAUCUAGAUGUUGCCUCUCGUCCAAGAAGAUCAAAUCUGGAUUCAGCCGUCUUCGAUCCAGAUCCUUGUCAAACCCUGGCGUGGCAGCGACGGCGGCGGCGGCGGCAUCGUGCGCCAUUAUUACUCCGGCCGCCCUGCGGGAUGAGCGGCGGCGCGGCGGAGUCUGCCUGCCUGUUGCAGCCGCCGGCGCGGCUCUGAGAAGAGUCCUCUCAUCUUUCCGUACUUGCCGUACUGCGCGUAGUUUAUCAGGUCGGUUGCAUCUAGGAGGAUUGGGGAGUGGCAGCUCCACCGGCGGUGGUGGCAGCGGUGGCGGAGGCUCCUCUCGCGCGACAGGCUCACCUACCGGCAGCUUCUACAUGGCUGGCGGGAGCAACGGCGGCGGCGCAGCUACCGGCAGUGCCGGUGACACGGAUUCAUCUACGAUUCAGCGGAGCACGUGCCGUGGUGGGCCGACCCCCAUGUCUGCGGAACGGCACUGCCCCGGCGGGAGGACUCAUGCAACGGCGGCCGGCAAGGCCAGCGUCGACGACGCCUCUGCCGCCGCCGCCGCCGCCACAGCCACCGGUGGCGCCGGCAGUCGCAUGCUGUCGGCUGGGUUGGCUGGCGACUUCAUUGAUGCUGGCGCGGACGCUGGUACUGGCGCUGGCACUGGCGGUGACGGCAGCUACGGCCUUGUCGGCUACGGCGGGAAUGCCGAUGAUGAUUUCACGGGCAAGCUCCUGAGGCAAGGUGCAGAUUACAUGAGCGGCACGCGGUCGUCGUUGAAUAUGCCGUACACAAUGCCGUGCUAUAGCAAGCCAUCAGCGACGAUCAGCGGACCGCUGGGCAUGUCCAUAAGCAGCGGUGACACAUGUACUGCGGCGUUGCCCAGCGCCGCCGCCGCCGCCGCCGCCGCCGCUUGCGGUGGCAGCAGCUACUGCGAUGGCUUUCUAUCACCCCAGACCGCAGGACUUACCAUUCCUGAAUCUGACGAAGCCACGACGGCGUUAGUGGCAUCUAGCAGCGAUCGUACGACAGGCCGUGUCAGCGCCAAGGUUCAACCCUCAGGUUGACGGCAGCCUACCACCGCCGCGAACGCCGUCCUAGCUGCGGCAGCGGCCACCGCUGCCCGGCAGCCAGGGCAAUCCGCCGCCGCAUCCAUCGAUUCUGUCUCCGCUGCCGCCGUCGUCGUCUACACCGGCUUCGCCGGCGGAAGCGUGCAUCCCCCAGGUGCCCUGUCGUCGGCCCCGCGCACUGCUGCGGGGUCGUUUAUUGUACGGCGGAGAAAGGCACAUGGCGGCGGCGGCGGCGUCGACGGCGACAGAAGCGGCAAUGUACAGGUAUCCAGCCGUGGAGGUCACGGCAUUGGCCAUCACGACGUCCCUGGCGCCAGCGCAGCCGCGUCAACGUAGCCGUGUUGUCGUGACGAGCAUCGCCACAGGGCUGUGACGGGGUAGGCGACGGAACAGGCCGUCACGGCAAUCGCGGCGAUUCAGGAUCGGAAUCUCGGGUGCCCGCACGCGCGCAGGCGCGGUGGCGGCAUGUGGGGUGUGCUGCAUGGCUUCGAGGUACCGGUUCUUGAGCUGCUGGCGGACCCUAACAAGUAGAAGGAAGAGGAUGAGAAGAGGAGGAGGCAGACGGCUGCUGCACGCGGUGACGGUGACGCCGCUGCCGCAGCCGUUGCCGUCAUAAGUGCCGCCGCCGGGCGCCGCCGCCGCCGCCGCCGCCGCCGCCGCAACCGUAACGGCAACAUCAGACGAAGCAGAAGCACCCGGGUGCCACGGCAGCUGCAGCUGCGGCGGUGAAGGGCGAGAGGAGGAAGAUUUGCUAACAACUGGAUGCGGCCUUAGUGAAAAUCUUUAGAUGACCUAGAACAAAGUUGUAUCUUAAGGUGUAUCGUAUUAGUCUUUGCUGUACCAUACCGGCGGGGCCGCACAGCGAUCAUCAUUAGGUGCGUGCUUAUUAGGUGUAUUACCUUCCCGCGGCCCGCCGGUGGCCUUCUCGCCAUUGGGCAGUUGGUCUUUUCCUGGCGGAUCACUGCCCACUACUGGACCUGCAGCGGCAGCUGCCUAUAUAUGGACUGACUUUUCUUCCUGUGAAAGCUGUUGCAGUACAGGAGUUACGUACGGACGUACGGAGGGAAACGCCAGUAGGCGAACGGCAAGAGAAUGCAUAUAUGCCUGCAGACACACAUACAUACAAACAAGCAGGCACACAGAAAGACAUACAUGCGGACGCAUAUGGCAUGUAGAGAGAGAGUUGCAUGCAAAUAAUGCGCGGCGAUAUACGCGCGCGUGUGAACAAUCAGGACGAUGUGCUGGCAUCCCGCCGCAAGAGCAUAUGUAUGGUGGCAUAUAUAGCAUCAUCAAUCUGAGGCAUGUGGCAUUUGAGCCGUGUCUUCUUCUCUUCCUGGUUAUUCAGAAGGGUGGACUUGUAAUGGUGGGUGGAAAAUUGAAAGUCAAUGAUGCAUGAAAAAUAAUGGGGACUUGUAAUGGUGGGUGGGGAAAUUUGAUGCUGCAUGAAAAAUGGUGGUUUGCAGUCAUUCUAGCUGCGACGGGGGGCGCUGGGGGGAGAUCGAGGCAUUAAUGCUGCAUGGGAUGAGGGAUGAGGGUUAAGGAUGAGGGUGAGAUCGGGGGUGAGGGUGUGACCGUGUGACACGGAAGUUCUAUCGGGAGUGGUAAUAAUAAGCAAGGGAGGUAUAAUGCCGCGGCUCUGCUGGAUUGUACGUAAGCUCCGUCCGUCGUCCUAUGUGCAUUUUAGCGCGCACGUCGGUGUGCUCGUUUUGGAUAUUUUCUAUCUUGUUCAUCUGCGCGUUUGCAGGCGGCUGCUGAAGCUGCUGCUGUGUGUGUAAUUGUGCGGGUGAAUGCUUUUGUUGAUAAUAAGUGUGUUAUUAGUACGCUGCGCGCACGUGUACUUGCAACUUUGCUGUUCGUACAUGCGUUCAUAUGUGUACGAUUGCUGCCGGUUGGUAUAUGUGGAUGAGUUGUACCAAGCUGCUUAAUUUGUAUGUUCUCGGGUGGAUUGUUGUACGCAGAUUCUGCUGGUGUGAAGGUCUGUGAAGAAAAGGGAGAUAAGAAAGAGACUAGAUAGAUAGAUAGAUAGAUAGAUAUAGAGGGAACAGCAUACAUGCAUCGGGGAAGAAAAUAUCAAUACAUGAAAACAUAACCACACCAGAUAUCCUCAUUUUGCACGCAUGAGAGCUAAACUUCAAUUAGACAUAUCUUCUGUUUGAAAAGUAAUAAGCCUCAGCGCGGCAUUCCCGCCCACCAUUAUGGCUUAUUUGUUUCUCUCCUCCCUUCCCUUCAUUCCUUGCCUCCUUUCGUGACCUUUCUCUAUCCGGUUAACCAACUAUGCAUGCAGAUGGGCCAACUACUACUUGCACCGCUGUUGGCGUAAUUCGUAGCAAAGGAGGUUGAGAGCGGCGGGGAUGUGCACGAUAUAUAUGAUUAUGAUAUAUGAUUAUAUAUUUUGAAUAUGUAUAUGCAUGCAUGCAUAUACGCAUAUGCGUACUCCGUAUUAAUGCUGCAAGUGCAAAGCCUCUGUGCGUGGUUGCAGGGUCCUGCUGCUGGAAGCGCUUUCUAGAUGCAUGGAUGCGUGGUAAAAGAAAUCAUCCAAUUAUUGGCAAGUUUCUCCCGCGGCUGCAUGCAGCUGCCAGUGCCUCUUGCUUGCGCUGGCGCUGAUCAGCGGCAGAAAUCGUGUGCGUGUAUGCGUUAUCACAUCAUUAUUAUUCUGCUGCCCGCUGCGCGUACGUGGCGUGCGGGAUCCACCCGCCGCAGGCAUACACUAUCAUCGGAGGCUAGGGAGGCUUAAGCUUGAUUACUUAGGGCGGGUUCGUUAAGCAGCCCCUCGCACAAUUGUGUCCGGUCGUACAGUGCCGAAUAAAACAUCCGUACAAGACGCCCGUUCGUUACUGGUGCCGCCGCUGCUGUAUGUGCCUUGUGAACGGCUGUUUAAUCCAUCCUUGGGGAGCACGUCUGUAAAUUUUUUGAUCACCUAAUUGCCUUUAGUUGUCUCAUCUGGGUGAUUGUCUAGUUUGUAUAUUAGUCUCUAGUGCAGUGCACGGCCAGCUGGCCAGCCAUGGCCCGCUGGCUCUACUCUUCGUGAGUCUGGAGCCCACUGUAACAACCACACAAACACCUAUAGGUCGGGGCCUCGCCUAAUAUGUACUAGAUAGCAUGCUGGGCAGGGUAAUGUCGGUAUAAUUGCUCAAUGUUGGUGUUCAUGGAAUUGGUAUGGGUGAAUGACGAUGUUUGGUGCCCGGCUAGCUAUCGUUUUUGGUUGGUUGCCUUGUUUUUUGAUCCCCAACAGACGAGCUAGCAAACCGCCAUGAAGUCAGCACAAAGGGCGGGCGAGUUUGGUAGUCAGGGUGCGUAUUCGUUUUUUUCGAGGUUUUUGGGCGGGGCCCCAGCGCGAAGCGCCCAGGGGGGCCCCGACCUGUAGGAUUGCCCAUGUCCGUGUGUGUGUGUGUGUGUGUGUGUGUGUGUGUGUGUGUGUGUGUGUGUGUGUGUGUGUGUAACGGACCAAACAUAAUAUCUCGCCCGGCUGAAACGCGUUAUAGGUACUAUACAGCAUUCUCUAUUGCAAGGUAUCUCGCAUGUAGCCAACAAAAAUCGUAUGAGCACAAACAAGUUUGGCUGCCUCAAUUGACCGAGGCCAAAGUCACAUCAACGCCUCUCGCGCUAAAUUUCAUCUCAAAAGGUACCGCGUAUCUCAUAUUUGAAUUCUUAGAUGACGGCGUAUGAUAACUCGAACACCCAGCUUGUGUUACCAUUUGCCGGCAUGGGCAAUCCGACUUGCCACCAGCAGGCCAACAUAAUUUGCUUUCAUUUCUCUAUGAAAUACACAAGCUCCUCGUUUGUACAUUUACUUUGGCCAAUGCACGGGGCCUCCGGAGGCCCCGUGCAUUGGCCAAAGUAAAUGUACAAGUCUCAGGAUCCUGAGACUUGCGGUGUGCCCCGAUGAAGCCUGCGGCUGUGGGGCGGAUUGCUGAGGCCGCUGGCGCUUCGGGGAUAAACAUCACAGACAGCACCGAAAUUCACCCAGCUUUCGUUACCAUUUGCCCGCACGGGCAUUCCGACUUGCGGUCUGCCGCACUGUCCAUGCGGCAUGCACCCGGAAUGGAUGCGAUUCGCGUGGAGCCCGCAGGCGGUGCUGACGAUUCCGCCGGUGCAAGCUUAGCUCUCACACCAUCAGCACUGCUGCAACAAAGCACAUCUCUCACCGCGUUGACACUACCCAUCAAUUGUCACACUUGCCACCCUUGCUACCGGCCUGUACGGAUGCAGGGGGGCCCCGCCCUUUUUCCGGCUUCCUUGAAGCCGACACCCAACUUGUCAGACAUCAGCAGUCACUUGUAGUAACUGGUACAUAUAUAGUACGUCACACAUAGCGUCUACAAGCAAAUGUGCGCUAAGGCGCUCCGCCAGCACUUCUCCUAUGUUUUCCGGCCGUCGUGCGCACGACUAAAUAAAUUUAUGCCAUAGGCAACACGUGUUGGUUGCGUACGCGUACGUGUUUCUUUCGUGUCUGUGCGUGUGAUGACAUCUGUUGCUUAUGCACGUGCACCAGCUUUCUAGUACGUGUGCUGUUUCAUAACGGCGACAUCCUAACAUAUACUUUAAGUGAAGCCCGUCGGGACAGGUGCGUGUGGAGGCGCCGCCUUCACGUUCCUGCCUUUGAUUACCAGUGGGCAGCUGCGUUAUUGCGUUGCAACGCCACCCCUCGGUGCGCGCGUGCGUAUGUAUGGCUGCGUGCGUGCAUGCUUAACCGCCGGUAAGCCCUGCUGCUGUUAGCUCUGCUGCUGUCGAAUGCCCUGUCUAAUAAGUUGAUAGGGAUAUGCAUGCACGGCAUGACGGUACACAUACAUACACGGCCCACAGUGUAAUCGAAGUCAUAUGUAUGCACAACAACACCGGGCUUCUUUACUGGUAGGCCUGGACUUCGGGUUUGCAAUGCAUGUAUGAAGGAGUGAGUAUUUAUUCCUUUUUCCUAAGGAGCAAUCGAUCAUCAGCUAGCAAUAUUAAAGUUGAUUAGUGAUGCUGCGUGCAACUACUUCCAUACGCGCAUGGCUCGUCAGGGAUACAUAUUUUUUGUACAUUUUCAGUACGGAUAUGUUGCUCAUUAUUCCAUAGGUGGGUGGGUGGAUGGGUGGAUGGACUGCUGCUCCUCUGCUGCCUAGGCAGGUGGAUGGAAUACUGCCGCAGCUCGCUACUCGCUCGUUAGCUAGCUCGCUCAUCAUCAGGCAUUUGCUCGGCGUAAGAUCUCUGUCCUCCCCUUUCCCCCCCCGGCACCUGCUGUGUGUACCUAACCCUGUUCUCUCCCAACCGCCCAUCAAUCACCCAACCGCCCAAUCAACCAUGCCAAUAAAAACCUAAAUAAAUGGAGGGGCAGCAGCGAGCUGACUCGAUGGCCACGUUCGUUCGUUGACCUUCCAGCAGCGGCCUGCUGCCUGUAAAAUUUCGUCUGCAGACCGGCUGGUCUGUAGAUAAUCGUACGUUCUCUAACUGGUCUAACAGUUAGGGAAGGUUCCCCCUAAUAAUAAUAAUGAUAUGCAUAUGAGCAGGGCACUAUCUUUAAUAGACGAUGAAACCUGCAGGUGCAGCUGUACAGACGCCUACCUUUGCGUACUGCUCGCGCUGUCUAUGCUGGAGCCGCAGACCGCAUUUACAUGCACGCGCGAGCUUGGUGACACGCGUGUUUGGACAAGCGUCCAUGUAUGUAUAUGUACAUAUACACACGGAUGCUUGUAUAUAUAUUUUUAUAUUAUAUGGAUUGCGCGCCAUAUAUGCGUGCAUAUACACACACAGCGUUCGUAAGUAGUAUAAACGCAUUAGUGGCGCCAUGCCGACAGGCGUUACGUAUUAUUGUAAUAGCUGUACCGACACCGUCACUUCCUGAUAUGUUGCCUUUUGUAGUAGCUGGCCGCUGAAAAGGCCUCUCGAGAUGCUCUGGUGGUCGCGCUUCGCGCGUAUUUGUAGAGCCGUACUGUGUACCAGCUACUACACCUUUUUAAGCUGCUCUCUUGUAGUUUAUGCUGGAGGCGGAUCAUGAUCGUUAGUUGUUUUGGGCUUUACCUAGGCCUGCUAGCUGCCCAUCUAUCUUUUCGUGGGUGAACUCUAGGUGAAAAAGCAGGCAGCAUCGCAGGUAGGCUGACGGCGGGAACCAGCAGGCAGGCGCGUGUGUGGCGAGGCAUCUUAUGGUCAGUUCGCAUGGCACCUGCCACAUGGGGCGGUCCGUCUAUGUGGGUGGAUGACAUGGGACGGGAAAUGGACGGCAGAAAAUGCAUAUACAUACACAUACACACACGCACACACACAUACAUACACACACACGAACGGCUGGUGCGAAUGCCUCUGCGAGCAUGCACGUGCUUAAGGUGGCGUGCUUCGAUUGCUGGGGGAGCUAAUGGUAUCCCCUCUGCUGCUGAAAUGUCGGUCGAUGCCCGUGACAACUCAUAUAUCUGCUGCCGGCUGGCGGCCGCCGGCUUUCUCGCUGGUGCGUAGAUUUCCUCGUCGCAACCUCCUCAACAUCCCGAUCUCAUACUGCAUGACGAGAGAUUGUAUACGGUUUGUUUAAGUGUCUAAUUCUGGCUGCUGUUUGUUCAUCUGCGGCUGCUGCGGAUAUAUAUUACUAUAUACAUAUAACUUAAACUUUCCUAUACAUAUAUAUAUACAUAGACUCGUUUACAUGCGUCCUAAAUAUAAAAUAUAUACUAAUAUACUAAUAUAUUAAUACAUACAUACCCGGCAGCAGGGCCCAGAAGACCCCGGCCGCCGUUUGACAGGGGUGCCUAAGGAUCUCUUGACCGGCCACCCGUCGGCUGGAGGCUUUGGCCUGCUGCCCCUCCAGCAACACAUCCAGGCUCGGCAUGCGGUAUGGGCUGUGCGCUUCAUCAUAGCGGCCCUCGGGCUAUCUAACGCGUCAUGUGGGCCAGGGACAGGUGGAGCUGCAGGAACCACAGGUGGUACCGGGGGACACGGGAGGGCAGAUGGUAGUCUCCAUCCCUGGGUCCGGACGCUCUCCGCCUAUAUGCUGCUCACCCACCCCGCCUUCCAACCGUGGGCCCUGACGACCGCCAGCCAAGCCGGGCCCCGGCUCGGCGGAAGCGACCUACCCACGGAUAUCAGCCGGAUUGUGGGCGCCCUGGGACACCUACCACCGCUCCGGGAUAUCGAGACCAGCCCCUUGUCCCCCGGACCGUGGUGCUGGGCAACCGCGUUGUGGGGUAACCCGUUGCUCCCCAAUACCGGCGAGGCAGACCCAGACAGUUUGAACCGCCGCCCGGGCCUGGAGGCGCACUUCGUGGGGAUCGCUACAUGCAGGAAACUGCAAACGGUGGGCGACCUAGUGCGGGUCUGGGACCUAGGGGUGCAUACUCGAGUGGCCUCCCUCCCCAGGUCGACCUGGCCCGAAUGGGUCAGGACACACCUCGACCCAUCAACCCCAGCACCCACGCGGGACAGGUCAGCGACCCUGGCAGCCCUUAAGACGCNNNNNNNNNNNNNNNNNNNNNNNNNNNNNNNNNNNNNNNNNNNNNNNNNNNNNNNNNNNNNNNNNNNNNNNNNNNNNNNNNNNNNNNNNNNNNNNNNNNNNNNNNNNNNNNNNNNNNNNNNNNNNNNNNNNNNNNNNNNNNNNNNNNNNNNNNNNNNNNNNNNNNNNNNNNNNNNNNNNNNNNNNNNNNNNNNNNNNNNNNNNNNNNNNNNNNNNNNNNNNNNNNNNNNNNNNNNNNNNNNNNNNNNNNNNNNNNNNNNNNNNNNNNNNNNNNNNNNNNNNNNNNNNNNNNNNNNNNNNNNNNNNNNNNNNNNNNNNNNNNNNNNNNNNNNNNNNNNNNNNNNNNNNNNNNNNNNNNNNNNNNNNNNNNNNNNNNNNNNNNNNNNNNNNNNNNNNNNNNNNNNNNNNNNNNNNNNNNNNNNNNNNNNNNNNNNNNNNNNNNNNNNNNNNNNNNNNNNNNNNNNNNNNNNNNNNNNNNNNNNNNNNNNNNNNNNNNNNNNNNNNNNNNNNNNNNNNNNNNNNNNNNNNNNNNNNNNNNNNNNNNNNNNNNNNNNNNNNNNNNNNNNNNNNNNNNNNNNNNNNNNNNNNNNNNNNNNNNNNNNNNNNNNNNNNNNNNNNNNNNNNNNNNNNNNNNNNNNNNNNNNNNNNNNNNNNNNNNNNNNNNNNNNNNNNNNNNNNNNNNNNNNNNNNNNNNNNNNNNNNNNNNNNNNNNNNNNNNNNNNNNNNNNNNNNNNNNNNNNNNNNNNNNNNNNNNNNNNNNNNNNNNNNNNNNNNNNNNNNNNNNNNNNNNNNNNNNNNNNNNNNNNNNNNNNNNNNNNNNNNNNNNNNNNNNNNNNNNNNNNNNNNNNNNNNNNNNNNNNNNNNNNNNNNNNNNNNNNNNNNNNNNNNNNNNNNNNNNNNNNNNNNNNNNNNNNNNNNNNNNNNNNNNNNNNNNNNNNNNNNNNNNNNNNNNNNNNNNNNNNNNNNNNNNNNNNNNNNNNNNNNNNNNNNNNNNNNNNNNNNNNNNNNNNNNNNNNNNNNNNNNNNNNNNNNNNNNNNNNNNNNNNNNNNNNNNNNNNNNNNNNNNNNNNNNNNNNNNNNNNNNNNNNNNNNNNNNNNNNNNNNNNNNNNNNNNNNNNNNNNNNNNNNNNNNNNNNNNNNNNNNNNNNNNNNNNNNNNNNNNNNNNNNNNNNNNNNNNNNNNNNNNNNNNNNNNNNNNNNNNNNNNNNNNNNNNNNNNNNNNNNNNNNNNNNNNNNNNNNNNNNNNNNNNNNNNNNUUUAGACCCAGUGCUGUGGAAGGGCGCGGACUUGAUCCCGGUGUUACCCCCUCGACGGGGGCUAUCUCCCCUGGACUAGCCCAGGGAGGGAGAGGCGGAGGAGGGUAGUAGUCUCAGGAGGCUGUUUGGCGUCUUGUGGUGUGAGCUCUUUGCGCUCUUUUUUGCGUGAGGAUUUUUGAGCUUGGUGACCUCCCCAGCCCGGGAAGACUCGUCGGGCUCCCGGUCGCCCAAGUCCUGGUAGCGAGCUCUCUGAGAUGCUCGGUUCGUUCGGUCGGCAGGAAGAGCCCCCCAGUUGCGACUUCGUUUAUGUUAGGAGACCAACGGGCAUAGAUCCCGUCUAGUUGGAGCGCCAAACAAGCGCUGUUGCGUGCCGGCCGUCGUUUCCCGUGCGGCCUGACCCGGGGGCGGAGUGCAUGAGACUAACCAGCCGUAUGCACCCGCCCCCCGCGCUGUGCUUCGGCCCUGGGCCCCCGGCUUUUCAGCCCACAGUGUAAUCAACGUCAUACAUACAUACAUAUGUACAUAUACACAUGUAUACUACCAUGUGACGAUGGUGGUGCAGAGCGGUGCGAAGCGUGGUAUGAGUGCUGUGGUGUAUGUAUGUUGUUACAGGGUGGUAUGGCUUCACCAGCAGCCCCCAUUCCCGAGGCCGUUCCCUACUCUCCCCUGCGAGAGGGGCACCCUAAUCCAUUCUAGCGAAUCUACGGCGCCUUAACAUAGUUCCUGGUCGGAUAGCACGUCCAUAAGAUGGGAGGCCACCUCCUAAGUCAACAUUCAGUCAGGUCUUAACCUCUGCCAGCCGCCUGCCUGUGUAUGUAUGUGGGCUUGUAGCCGUUGCAUCUGUAGCUGAAAAACCAUAUGUUGACAUAUAAAUACAAAUCUCCAUCCCUGGACUGGCGCAUCGUCACCUAACUCGCGCGGCAGCGUGGGCGUGGAUUCAGACGCUGCCUCUUGGUCAAUAAAUGUGUAUUCAAGUGCACAUGCAUCAUCUCGGGAAUUACAAGGUUUGUCCAAUUGGUGGUUGGGAGGGAAAUUGAGCAGCGGCGCGUGCACGCAACUCGACCACUUGGCCGUACAUUUACGACGGCGAGCAAGAACUAUCAUAUCACCAGCACGUUGCCCUUGCUGCUGUGCUGAAGUCGGCAGUUGUAUAUAUGACACGGUAACACGAUUGGCAAAUAUGUAUGUUUGAGUUUUACGGAUUAACGGGGCGAACGCUUGUAUGAUGUGUGAAACAGGGGGGUGUAUCUUCGCCCGUGGCAGCUACCCUGCGAAACCCUGCCUUCCCCGGUAUUUCGGGGCACCCUCAUCCAGACACCCUAGUCAACUUCUCAGUGGAUCGCUCAGGAUCCGCACCCACCACCGGUGUCCAACGGAAUCUGCCGGGUCGACCACGGCCCAACUCCAUUACUGUUCGGUUCGCACGUUAACCUUAUCCCAGGUCACCACCGUCCAUCAAUUAGGGGCGCAGUGCCUACCACCAUCGGAAGAACUGUUGACCCUAAUGGGUAUCGAUCCCAGGAUCUCCCGGGGGCAAUGGUCGCGCCUUACCAGUAGUGCCAAACCCUAUCAAUAUAUAUGUUACAUGUGUGUAUGAUCGGCAUACAGUAAAGCUUCCGCCAGCAAGAGGAGCUCUUGGUUUAUUUGCGGGUUUGUACGGCACGGUUUCUCGGCAGUUAAGGGUCCGUUAAUUGGUUGUGUAGUAGGUGGCACCUGAUAAGGCCUCUAUAGAUGCUUGCAGAGCGCCUUAGCGCGUAUAUAUUGGCGAUAUGCGUGCCGUACUAUGUUUCCUUUCCGGGGCACCAUGAGCACGGGUUUGGUGGGCAGCAAGGACUUCGUACUUUAGGGAUUCCGCCAGCCAAAGUCCUGUCGUCGCCACAGCAUAAAACCCGGCGUGCUUGUGUGUGUGUGUGUGUUUUAUUAGAGUGUGUGUGUGUGUUAUUAGAGUGUGUGUGUGUUAUUAGAGUGUGCGGGUGUGUGUUAUUAGAGUGUGCGGGUGUGUGUUAUUAGAGUGUGUGGGUGUGGGUGUGUAUUGUUACGUAUCGAUCCGGGCCGGCCGCUGGCCAGGGGCACCUAACCGUAAACCAACGGGAAUGAGCGACUGCCGAAGCAGUCUCCCCCUUCGGAGGGAAGAAGGACGAGGAAACACAAGCACAGGACCAAGGGGGUGCUGCGCACCCGGGGUUGAAAGCCCCGUUCACCAGCGAGCACAAGGCAAAACACAGUAACCCGCCUGCCUCGACUAGACACCUGAUCAGGGGACUUCCCUGGUCACGAAAGGCCGGAACCCAAACGAACUUAGGGCUUUAGGGUUUCUCCCUACACAUGUAUACACACAUUGUCGCAGAUCAUGAACGAAAGGCAUAGGUGUUUAGGGUUUAGAUUCGGGGCAAGGCGCGACUGCUGUUGGCACCUGCUAAUAAGAGGAGCGGCUUAGAUAGAAAGCCAUAUACAUCGGCGUCUCGUAAAAUCCUUCCUUGUCUUUCAAGGGAUCUACAAGCGACCUGAGCGAUUAUGUACCCGAUCGGUGCAAAGCAAUCGCUGGCAUAUGCAACCCGACAUACAUACAUGCGAGCUGACCAGGAACUAAGUUGAGGCGCCGUUGAUCCGCUAGAUUUGGUUGGAUGCUGGUGGUGAGUUGCUGAACCCAACAAAUACAUUCUGAAGUCGGAUGGGGUGAUCGGAUUAGGGUGCCCCUCUCUGCCGUACCAUUUACGAUGUACCAUGUAUUUUCGAUUCUGCUGAAUAAACGACCGAUAGUGGCACAUACACAGGCUGCUGGGAUAUGCAUCCAGCAUAUAUAGAUAUUCCUGAUGAGGGGAAUGCAGUAGAUUACAUACAGAGAGGAUCACGACAGGAAGGCACGCACGCCUAACACACACACACACACACACACACACACACACACACACACACACACACACACACACACACACACACACACACACACACACACACACACACACACACACAGAGCGACGCAAAACCCCGGUCAUUCCGACUUUUUGAUUUCACCUAGACCUGCCCUUGACACACCCACGCGAACACACGUACAUUUACAUGCCAUCCUCAUGUCCCGGCACGCGCACGCGCACACGCACAUACAUACAUACGCCUUCCCCGGACAGAGGCGCUGCUGAACGGCUGCGUCGUGUGUUAGCAGCCUGCCCGGGGUUGGAAGCACACAAGACUAGCCGCGGCUUGUGCUGCGGGUGUCCCCGACCCUUCCGCUGCGUUUCGGCUUCGGCCCCCGGCUUUACCAGCCCACAGUGUAAUCUAAGUCAUACAUACAUAUACUUCGCGAUCGGACACAGCAAAUAUACUAUCGCGCCAUAAUAUCCCUGGAAAGGUCCAGGAUCGAUCCCUCGACCACUUGACACGUACGCACCCCGAUACUGAUGAACGGUACUGUACCCGCUUAUCGUGACUGACACAUGCAUCACAUCGACAGAUUCUACGGGAUGCGGUUUGUGGCUGCUGAACCCCAAAGAUCACUAAACGCGCAUGCGUGAGAAGGAUGCGGAUGACCCGAAACAUGAAGAAUGUAGGGACUGCCGGCUAGUGGUGGCCACGGAUGAAAAGCUAUAGCCCCCUACAUCACGCAAUCAUACACACACGCGCGCACACAGACACACAUGCCCUCUUUUCAUGUUUGCGUGUAUGGCCACGGCCAUUUGUUGGUCUGUUGUCCAAACGUGGAAGCGAUGCGAUCUCCAUGAAGAUACGUUUACACACAUACGUUUGCACACAGCUUUUGGAAACACACAUACAUACAUGCGCACAUUGCCGACACGUGUAGAUGCCUGAACAGACGUGAAGAUGCAUACAUACAUACAUAUAUACAUACAUACAUACAUACAUACAUACAUACAUACAUACAUACAUCGCGACACACACAUUGGAUGCACAGGACUCCGCUCAGGAAAAAUGCAAAAUUAAUCAAGUUGCAAAAUACGAGAUGUCUCAAGUUGACAAUGCGUUGCCGGUGCGUCCAAAAAAUUGCAUGGCCGAGGAAUGCGAGGUUGGUAGGGAUGGCGGUUGCGAAAGAUUUCGCCAGGUAGGCGGCGCCUAAAUGCCUGGUUAAAAGGAAAGUCAUCAGUUCGAUGCCAGUUCAGGUAGAAGUUGGCGCUGAAAAAAGGGGAAGAAGUGCUUUAGACGAAUGUCCAAUGAUGCCCAAAAGGGGCGCAGCGGCGAGGCCCUGCCGCUUGUAAGGGAGCUCGCUCUCUCGCUCGAACAUGCAAUUGCGAAAUUUCGUUCAAGAGUUCUCUAUGUCCGGGCACGCGGCACAUCAGGCAGGCCCAAUAAAGUUAAAGCAGUGCUUUCGACUUAGGGCGACCAAUUUGCCCGUGCGUGGCCCAUUUUGAAACAAGCACCAAGGAUACCAACGAACAAAGGGCGUAAAAUCAACCUCGCACAUGAUUCCCGCGAUAGAUGCAUAUACGUGCAGCGGGCCAAAGAGGGAAAUGAAUCUGCAACACGCGGCGGGUUGCGACACGCGGAUUGCGAGACACACACACUCAUGAUCACACGUGAUUCAAAUAGGAAGGAAGAAAAUGAAGAAAAGGAUGCACGGACGCAAAAUGCAAUGCAAAUGAUGUCCUCUUCACUGCUUUGCCGCGCGCGAUCGAAGCGGAUUUUAGGAAGGAAGAGGAGACACCCGGCAAGAGGGCGCGCGCAGCGACAAAAAGCAAAACAGUAUUCCUUGCUUAUCACGCCACAUGCAUAAGGAAAAGUGGACUACGGCUGGACCAUACAUUUUAAAGUUGUCGCCAAACUCAAGUCUUGCUCAUCACAAAAACGUGAGAUAAUCCGGCGGCCCCAAUAUUCCGGCAGCAGCACUAGUUCUUUGCCAACAGGAGGCGGACAAGAUAAUUUUACCACAGUGGUCUGGCCGAACAGGAGACCGGAGAAGCAAUGGACCGGCCAAACUUGCGCGCCGAACAAGCGCUAUAAAAAGAAAAUGAGCUGCUGCCAAGAAAACCGGCUGCGCGGUGCACGUAUGACAUGCGACAGGCACAAUCUCCGCAAGGCCGUACCGACAUCAGCAUCAUUAGCUCACUCAUUCAUCUUUCAUUAUCAUCUCUCAUCCUGCUGUCGUACAAUAGUAUCCCCUGCUGUUCUAGCCUAGAUGGGAGUACGGCUCUGGACGGCACACAUGCUUAAUCACUACUUCGCUUUACCAGCCGCUACCAGCCGCCGUACACAUACAUGGAACCUGCCCCUUCCUCGCCCCACACUCGCCUCCCUGACAACUGUUCCAGACGACAAGAGUCGUCUGCAGCACCCCGCCAAACGGCCUUUCAGGUCCUCCUGCGUGUUUCAUCAUGAGGACGAUUACUGUGCCAAUGUACUGCAGCCCUAGCGCCAUCCCCUGCCGUGUCCGCACAAAAAUCACAGUGCAUGUCCCGCCAACCCCCCAAGCCCAAACCGAGGGGUUGGCUUGUGCGGUGGUCCAUCCGGCGCGGAACCCAAUGCCGCAGAAACCCCCCAGCUGCAUGAUAAAAAAUCUGGUGCUGAUUGAUUUUAUGUUGAGUUCUACGACUCCCCAAACGCUGGGAAAGCCCCAUCGCUUCUUCAGCCCCUCCGCCCCUCCGGUCAUCAUCAUAACGAUAUCGCCACACCACCGAUGCCAUCACAUCACGUCACCUUCCAUGUGCUCUGGGCGGGGCAGCACGCAUGCAUCCCCUCACCCCCCCCCCCCGAACUCUCUUCCUUCUCCUCUCCUGCAAUCUACACACGCACUUCUGUUGCUAUGCCGUACAUGGGUACGGUACAGCGUGCCGCAAAUAAAGACGCUUCACACCUUCCUCGUCAAUCCUAUUUCUCUGCCCUUGAAAUGCGUCUCUCUACCCUUCAAUUGUUGUUGUUGCUGCUGCUCUCGCGUUCGAAAGGUUUCCCAAAGUAGUUCGUUCGUUUCCAUGUGGUGGAAGCGACGACCCCCGACGGGGGUUGCAGUACAAUUCUCAUGUGUGCACGCACAUACAUACAAACAUACGCAAGACCUAUACACUGCCGCAGAGUAGUGGCGGAGGAUAAGUUCUGCAUAGGGCCUGGACCAGGCUGUAUACCCGAUGGUGGUUGGAUAACGAAACCGGGCGGCGGCAGGAUUCGCAAGGAUAAGGUGGCGAUUGGCACCGGUGUGAGUGCAUCGGUAGGUCGCGCAGCUGUAGAGCAUGCGUUGGGUGGAACGGAGGUUGCAUGGCAUCCAAGGUGGUGUGUGCAACUAGGGUUUCGAAGGGUGGCUAGGGUUUCGAACAGGUGACGGCGCCUUGCAUUGAUAAGAGAGAAUGGUUAGGAUCCUGACCGAUAUAACGCCCCCCCAAUGUUGGAGUGCUUCGGCGGUCGUUCCCGUUGGGGUACGGUUAGGUGCCCCUGGCCAUCGUCAGGCCCGGAUCAAUAUGUAACACACACAUACAUACGCACGUACGCGGGUAACUGCUGCCAAUGAUCAGUAGUUUAAGGCCCGGCCGGAUAGUGUGAGACACACACACAUACACGCAUACACGCACACACGCAUACACGCACUCGCAAACAAAUACACACACGCGCCCAUGCACGCAUGCACAAAAGUGGCUACAGCCCCGGUGCCGGUGCUGGUGCUGGUGUUGGCGCAUCCUGUCGUUUCAGUCCGAUCACAUGCAGCGACUCAAGUCACCUAACUAUCCGAGCGCAUUUCUCAUGAUGACGGUAUGACACGUUUGUGAUGAUGUGAUAAGACUAGCCCCGGUAAAGGUGACGAUUAUUAAUGACCUUGAAAGCCAUUUCCCCCCCAAAAGAAUGAUAAGCUCUUGUGACAUUGUCAACAGCCAUCAACACCUUCCAUCGCCGUAACACUAAGCAUGUGGUCGCCAAGUCCUCUGAACAACCUACAACAGAAAACCACUAACCGACACAGAGAGAGCGAGACAAAAAGAGUAUGAGAAUGAGGAUGAGAGACAGAAAGAGAGAGAGAGAGAGAGAGAGAGAGCCACAAGGGGCCCACCCCCGCAAAAAGCUCACUGUAAUUGAAGCUGCGACAUAAGGCCCCGAUCUGCCCAAGCCCUAAACCCACCAGCGAGACCUGAAUAGAGGACGGCCUUGGUCAGGGCCCAGCGGCACCGGCCCCGCAGCCGCCGUGUGGCGACAUCCACUGUACAAAGGUGGCGACAGCAGCAGCGGAGGCGGAGGCGGCGUUGGCGGAGGCGCUGGCGGAGGCGCCGGUGCCAUACUGAAUGCAAUGGCCACGACAGCGGCAGCCGCGACCUAGCCGCCGACCGGGCAGGUCCUGCUCAUCCUGUCGCGACCCCGGCGGCGGCGGUGGCGCCAUUCAUACUAAGAGAGCCAGCGACGGAGCUCCGCGCCGCGGGCGGGAACGCACAUGAGAAUAUGGCGGAGCGAAGGACCCGCGCCCACCAAGAGGAGGGGCCGCUGCCUCGGCGGUCACGUGAGCUGCCGUUAGCUUCCCUAGCUGUGGCGGCGGUGGCGGCGGCAUGAAGCGCGCCUUGACUGGGCGUUGCUGCUACAGCCGCCGCACCAAUACCAGCGCCGCCACCGCCGCCGCCGCCGCCGCAUCCCUUGCCCCUUGCUAGCCUUCCGGGCAGCCUUAGCGGAUCGCCUGUAAUCGUACGGGAUUGAGUUCGCCAGCGGGCCUCGCCGCCGGGCUUUGUCACGCCAGCGACGGCUGGUUCUGGCCGAGUCGGCCUCGCGUAGUCCGUUGACGGUUCUUCGAAACCUGGCGACAGCGCUGUGCUGGAGGAGAUGCGUACGGCACAAGGGGCUGCUGCUGCUGCUGCUGUGCAGUCGUCGACGCGGGCAGAGCCGAUGACGGCGACAGAGGAGGCCUUGCGCGAGGAAUGCUGCCGUACUUGCGUAUGAGAUGGCGCGUCCUUGUCAGUGCUGUGCUCCAUGCUCUGCCGUAUAUUGGUCUCGGAGAUCAAUGCGACGCUGUCCGGCGCAACUGUACGUGAAAGACCGCUCCAGAUGUACUGCCGUACGCUGCUGCUAACCCGCAAACCGGCGACACCGACAGGACAAUAGCCGUCGUCGCUAGACAGCCAUUCCGCACCACUCCACCGUGUCGUCGUACAAGCUGUCAAUGGAGCCGAAUCCAUGGUGCUUCUUGAAGCGGCGGCGGCUACAGCGCCGGCGGUGGCGGUGGCGGUGGCGGUGGCGGUGCAGCCACCGCCGCCCAAGUUGCCUGGCCCGACGUCUGCCAGCGACGUGCUACUGCUGGGCCCUGCAGGGCGCGCAGCGGUGCUGCUCCCGCCGCCGCAACAGCUGUCGCCGUAGCUGGCUGCUGUCAAGGUGGUGACGGCAGUGGAGAUACUCGGCCGCUGCCGUACGGCGGCGUUGUUAAAGCGGAUGGGGCUGCACGUCCGCGAGGCCGCCGCUGGGUUUCGGCGAGAUGUCUGGCCCCGUCCGCCGCAAACUUGGCUGCGACUUUGCGAACGCGGCCGUACGUGCAGGGCACUGCCGGCCCCGCUAUUAUCCUUUGAGUACGACACCCCGAAGGAGGUGCUUUUGAGCAGUGCCGGCGGCGGCGGUGGCAAGGGCGGCAACGGGGGCGGCAGCGGCGCUGCCGCUGCCUUUGCUGCUGCGCUCCUUGCCUCUAAUUUCGCAGUUCCUGCAGCAGCCGCAGCUGGCCCCACGGCCACCGCCGUUGCCACCGCUGUCGUACUUGGAGGCGGCGGUGCAGCCGGCGGCGGCGGUUCCGUUCCUGUGUGUGCUGCUGCUGCAGGUUGCGAUAGCUGCGCCACCGCCGCCGCCGUCGCUGCUGCCCUUUCUGCAUCAUCCGUGUUUUUACAGCGCAACGGCACCUCGACAGCACAAAUUACGGCGCUAUGACAGGGCGCUUCCGAGCUGAAACCCGUACCGGGGCGGCUGAGCGAUUCGGCGGGCCCGAAACUAUCCCCGAUUUCAGCUUCAGCAGCGGUGGCAUCUUCCGCGGCGAGAGCAGCCGCGGCGUCGGAAGGUACGGCACAGCCAGCGCUGGUGGGUGGCGCCGGCAGGCACUCCGCAUCAACACCUGAGCCACGGGGCGGCGUCACCGGUUCAACUCCGGCGUCGGGGCGUAGAAUGUCGAAGUUACUGGAGAGCGAGGUCUGCAUGCCGUACGCUGUGAGCACACCGCAUAUGGCUUCCGUACCGCUGCCGCCACCACCGCCGUCGCCAUUGCGGGGGAAGCGAUCUGCAGAGGGCUCGGGUGCGCUUGUGGCGAUGGAAAGGUUACUAGCGCCGCAUCCACGCGCGGUGCCGCCGCCGCCGCCGCCAUCGCCGCCGCCGCUGCAGCCGCUCCCACGCCAAGUAUCGCCGCCGCCUCCGCCGCCGGCACCGUCAUCUUUGGUUGCGCUCGGAACGCGGCUAAUGGUGCAGCAAAUCCGAGUGCUGCCGUCGCCGCCGCCACCACUACCGGCGCCGCUAGCGGCGCUGGCGCACAGUUUUUCAGCCUGUGCUUCGUGGCCAUCUUCUCCUGUGCCACUGCCGCCGCCGCCGCCGCCGCCAAAACAGCCCUCGCCGCCAGCACCACCAACGGUGCUACCGCUACACGCGUUGUCAGGUUGCGCAAGGUACGACUGCCUGGAUCGUUCGUGGCUCCUAUCGGCAUGAUGAAAGCUGUAGCGCGUGCUCCUACGAGAUGGCAAGUCAUUGGGCACGGAAGGCAUAGAGACUGGUCGCGGCGGCAUGCAGCUCGCGACAUGCGACCGCCGCGCUGCCGUCGCCGCUGACGGCACCGCCGCGAUCGCUGAACCCGCCACCGCAGCUGCGGCUGCGUUAGACGAGCGCAGGAGAUACUCCAGGUCCGUGCCGACUAACAUUCCUGGCACAUCAUUGAAGUACGGCAUUUUGAGGAGGCGCCUGGCGGCGGGCCGGCGGCGAGGAUCAAGCUCGAGACAUGCUGCAAUGACCUCCAACAGCUGGCUUUCCACUCCCUGCGACAGAUGCGGGAAUAUUGUUAUCACGACGUUGUUUCUUAGACUUGCAAAACUCCUCAAUAUAUCGGGGGUGGGGGGUUUACUUGUACUACAGGUGCUAUGACUCUCGGCAAAGUCGGCUAUCGCUGCAACGCCUGAAGCAGAUUCCGACAACAACGCUCCGCGCUCCCCUCAUGCCCCCCCCGUCUUCGUGUUCGUUUCCCUCCAUUUUCUCCUCCCCUGCUACUACCAGCAGGGGUAAUCCGGGCUUUGCCAGCACACACAGCGUCGCAGCCCCAUCACAGCCAACGCCGACAAUCCACGAAAAUCAUCAUCGGGCAGACAGGCAGACAGACAGACUGUUAGACAGGCAGACAGACAGAGUGUAGUGGCUAUGUUUGAUAUGUGUGUAUGCCGGGUGUGCCAACUACACAUUACCCUGUAACGACGCAUACUACCAUUAUGUGCGUGUGCGUGUGUGUAUGUGCGUGUGCGACACCUUCCUGAGCUGCAUAACUACCCUCCAAAGGUGUAACCUCAUAAACCCCGGGGGGCCCCCCAUUACACAUACACACACGGAGCCCUGAUGAGGGACCCAAGGGACCCUGAGGGGCCCUGAGGGCUGUCCGCAUCAGAUAGCUCAAGUAAGACAAAGCGUAAGGAAGACUGCUGUACUAUCACACAAUUACGUAAGAUAGCUACUUCAAUUUCCGGCACCCAUUCCGGCACACGAGCCGCAACCAUCCCAAAAGCAACCGCCAACCUCCAACCCCCAACCUCCGGCGCCCUCUUAUACCGGCAGCAGCGCCUGGAGUGACGUGGUGCGCCGGCCAUGCAGAGUCUGCACCGACAUCGGGCCCAGAUGGGCAUGCUGGCCGAGGGCCUCCAUCUGAAGAGGGGUCAGCGGCCCUAGACAGCGAGUGAUGAGAUCCAGCUGGUCCAGGGUGGAGUUGCCUGGUUAGGAUUUUAGGAGGCACAGAGCAGGCAGUACGCAAGGCAUUGCGGCACGUGACGUUAUUGCGGACGGCGCUCGAUUGCCGUACAGAUAUGAAGCACGUGCCGCAGGAACCGCGGGACGGGUUGGGAUUGGGGUUUGGGGCUCUGAGAUUAUUGUACGAUUCUUCAGGUCAAUGAAUUCUUUGGUGUCUUCAAAGGGACCCAAGAUGAGGUGUGCGGCAGGUACACGGCAUUGGGGGUGGUACGACAAAUGUACGACGGGCGUACGACAUGACUCAGAGCUAACGAUAGCGGAAGGAAGGGAUUUGGGCGCAUAAUUAAACGUUGCCAGUCACUCACCUGGAAACAGAGGCCUCCCAGUCGCUAGCUCCGCAAGCGUGCAACCGUACGACCAGAUGUCCACGGAUGUGCCGUACUUGCACCCGACGAGCACCUGCAAGUUUCCGGUAGUGUGUAGUACCUUUCUUAGAGAUUUGACUCCUUCACAACGAAAAUGAAAGCGAACCCAAAUCUCCGUAACCCCCAAAUCGUGAAACCCCUAAAACCUAGUAUCGCACCCUGCGAUAUCAAUGACCGGAUAUUCUGUAGAUUAUUCCCCUUCAUAGAUUUCCCCACAGGACUCAUGAAGGGAGAGGCAAGGAGAUUCAACCCCUCAUCUAUAAUCCUUUAACUAAAGAAUGAACGCGGGCAGGAAUACGGCAGGUGUACGUCCUGGGGAGGUACGGCAGUUGUGUUGUAGGGGGCUGGAUUGAUUGGUUCAGUAAGUUGUUAUUUUGUUGGUUGGGUUGGUUGGGGCCCUGAAGCCGGUGGGCUCUCAGCAGUGGGCCCACUUGUUGGGGUUUUCUUUCCCUACUUACAAUGACUCCGUUUGCUGCUAAGAGCGUGUGAAGUACUUUGUCAAGGGGAGAGCCACCCCCUAGGGCUUCGUCCUACCUCAGGGGCCCGGUAGUAGCGUGUCACGACGUACGUCGAGUAACGCUCGCCGUACCACGGCUCCGAGCAGUGCACGUGCCGGGCGAAACCGAAAUCGCACAGCUUGAUGAGCGGCGCAGCGGCGACAGGCACAGCGGCGGCCGAGGCGGCGGAGGCGGCGUGAGCGGCUUGCUUGGUACUGUGUUGUCCUGCAGUGCAUACGGCGCCGUCACGGCACUGCCGUACUGCAGCGUCCGCCGCCCCGUGUGAGGUGGUGGUUUCGGAACCGGGGCAAGGUGGCGCGAUAGCCCUGGAGACGAGCACAUUGGCUGGCUUCACAUCCCGAUGUACGACCUGCGGUUUCAGAGCCAGUAGGUACGGACAGUCGGUGCGUGUACGAACAGUCAAUGCUGUCAACCAACUUUUGCCGUGCAGGGAAGCAUGAGCCUGCAGCAAUUAGACGAGGUAUACUGCCCGUAUAUUGUGGUAGGAUAUGCAGAAGUUCACCACUCGCGUACAUGUUGGUGCUUGUUUCGGCCCAAACAGACACCCAAAUACCCAACACAGAACCGCCUCAGGAUUGGCAGCUUUUCGAGGGUCCCCUGCACGCACACGCACACACACCUGACCCACAUACAAGCACACACAACUGACCCACAUACAAGCACACACAACUGACCCACAUAUAAGCACACACAACUGACCCACAUAUAAGCACACACAACUGACCCACAUACAAGCACGCGAACCCCAACACACACCGGAUUGGCGCCCGGCCGGGAUUGGGUUCCUUGAUCUGGAAUCUUCGCCACACACGCACACACGCACACCCCGAUCCAUAUACAAACACGCGGCUCUUUUCUCCCCUUUCCCCUCCCCCUCCCCCCCACCCCACCCGACCCAGCCAGCAGGACCAGCCCACCUGGCGGUCGUGGCAGUGCAGCAGGGCGUGAAGCAGUUGCCAGGCGACCAGUUUGAGAGUGGGACCGGGAAGCAGGCGGCCCGGGAGCCGCUCCAACUCCUGCAGUGGUGGAUGUGUGCCCCCAGAUGGAUACGGAUAAGGACAAGGAUGGAUGGCAGGAUGGCAGGCUGUGCGAUUACGAUUGGAGUGUACGGAUGGAGAUCACCUCAUGACACGGUUUGGUGCGAAUGCUGCAGCAGCAUGAAGUCAGAUGAGGGCCGCUCGGGUGAUGACUAGGUGCAGCUAGAGGGGGAUGACUAGGUGCAGCUAGAGGGGGAUGUCUAGGUGCAGCUAGAGGGGGAUGACUAGGUGCAGCUAGAGGGGGAUGACUAGGUGCAGCUAGAGGGGGAUGUCUAGGUGCAGCUAGAGGGGGAUGCCUAGGUGCAGCUAGAGGGGGAUGACUAGGUGCAGCUAGAGGGGGAUGACUAGGUGCAGCUAGAGGGGGAUGACUAGGUGCAGCUAGAGGGGGAUGACUAGGUGCAGCUAGAGGGGGAUGACUAGGUGCAGCUAGAGGGGGAUGACUAGGUGCAGCUAGAGGGGGAUGACUAGGUGCAGCUAGAGGGGGAUGACUAGGUGCAGCUAGAGGGGGAUGCCUUAGGGAUCCAAGCCACAAACCACAAAGUUCCAAAGCAAAGCAAAAAGUGGAGAGGUGAGGAGGUACGGCGUACGAGGGUUCCAGCCGGUGAGGAGAGGGGGCGGCACCCCCCUGAGGGCGGCACCUCCCUGAGGGCGGCACCCCCCUGAGGGCGGCACCCCCCUGAGGGCGGCACCCCCCUUAGGGCGGCACCCCCCUGAGGGCGGCACCCCCCUGAGGGCGGCAACCCCCUGAGGGCGGCACCCCCCUGAGGGCGGCAACCCCCUGAGGGCGGCAUCCCCCUGAGGGCGGCAACCCCCUGAGGGCGGCAACCCCCUGAGGGCGGCAACCCCCUGAGGGCGGCAACCCCCUGAGGGCGGUGGUGUACGACGUGCGAUGUUUAAGGGGCCCAUCUACAAAUAAACAAAUGGACCAAGUCGAGACCGUUGAGACCACCUGAUUUUUUAUCGAUCCCGUGCGAGCGUGUUUCAUUUCCGAACGAAUUUCCCGGAAUUUCCCUCAGAAUGUGUUUUUCGGGGGGUAAGGGGGGGUAAGGGGGGGUAAGGGGGGGUAAGGGGGGGUAAGGGGGGGUAAUGAUCCCCAGCUCGACCAAGCUGCUGCGCACGACACAAGGGGCCGCGCGCCGCACAGCACAUCAUAGCAGGCACAUCACAUCACAGCAUGGCGCAGUGCAGCGCAGCACGUACGUACGCACGUACGUGAUGCACGUGAUGGCAUGACGAGGCGAAGAGUGUGCCGCCCUCGAACCACCGCGCCGUGAUAUGUCCUCGCAUGUUACCCUAACAUAACCCACCACAUAACAUUUUUUCCAUUUUGAAUGAUAGUACAGCAGUCUUCCUUACGCUUUGUCUUACUUGAGCUAUCUGAUGCGGCCCUCAGGGCCCCUCAGGGUCCCUUGGGUCCCUCACAAGGGCUCCGUGUGUGUGUGUAAUGGGGGCCGGGGUUUAUGAGGUUACACCUUUGGAGGGCUGAUGGCGGCUGAUGGUGGGCAGCAUGGCGGCUCGCGGCCGGGCAACAGGCACGCGCGCGGCGAUGGGGAGCUGGGAGAUGGGAACCCCGAAAUGCCCUGGCAUGUAUGGGGCUAAUAAAUUAGAUCGCGUUAUAUUAAACUGCAGUAGGGGGAAACUGGGACUGUCUUGGCUGGCCUGGGUUACUCGUCGUAAGAACUGGACAUGCCGUAUUGGGGGUUUCGGAGCAGAGACGGUGUUGGAAAAUACCAGAGUAUAUGCGCAUAUGAGUUCAUGUGUGGUGGGUUGCUUCCUUUGUUGCCCUUGCCUCUCGGAACGUACCUUGUGAAGCCCGCAAUGCGCCAUCUCAAAGACCAAAUAAAUGUGCUCCUCCUCCGAGCGGAACGCAUCAGCAAGGUGUACAACGUUCGGGUGGUUACCAAUGCUGCGCAAGAUUUUAACCUCGCGCAGCGUUUGUAGCAUAACCUGUGCAUGACAUUGUAAUGGGUUAAGUUCGUUGGGGCCCAGCAACAUCAUAAUCUGGCAUAGAGUUGACCCAAGAUAAUAUAAGACAAAUCAAUGUUGAUAACAGGAGAGCCCAGAUUCUGAAACGGGUCAGGAAGUCGACAGUCGGUCCGUCGAGGCCGUUACAGCAUCAUAGCUUACCCUUGGGUCCGCACUUGCAUGCUUGCCCGCUUUCACCGCAUAUAGCUCGCCAUUACGACGAUGUCUGACGGAUAAUACAACCCCGUAGGCGCCCUCAUCCAAAACAUGAAGCAGUUCAAGGACCCUGCGAAGUCGGGACGGUUGGCGCUAAAUCCAGAAUGCACUCCAAGCGCACAGAUUAGAGUGUAAGCAGCUCGCUAUACCUCCAAUCCAUCCUAGUGAACCUUCAUGACUGCCAUAUUGGGUCGACAUAGGUACCGAGCGCUACCGGCGACGCUCCAAACAUGAUUUAAUCUGUGCUAAACUCCGUCAACGUAUACAAUAAACAUAAACGAAACUCGUGGACUUGUUAAAAAUGUAAUAAAGACAAUUGGACCCUUUGGAUUCGGGGCUACGCUUUGUCGGCCGGCGAUUCCUCACCUUCCGUACUUCCAUGUCUCUUGCACAGCUAUGAUGGCUUAGGAGCGUUUCAUACCUUUUAUACAUAUAAAUCAAUUUUAUGGUUACGUUAACCAUUCAACCUAUCACCCAACAUAUGGUUUGGAUUUUAGGUCGUUCCCAGGUCGCCCGUUCGGCCUUCGCCCAAGCCUCCAACAACGCCCAGAUCCCUAGGGAUUGAUCUAUUGCAUAUCAUUAUCUUCUCAAUUUAUAUUUAUUAUAUUUAAAUGAUGUCACCAAGAAUUUUAGACUCGUACGACUUUGGGUCGGGCUCGCUGGGGCCCAGGGUAAGAACCUAAGCGCCCAAUGCCACAUUACAGGUCCCGAGAAAAAAUCAAGUUCGUAUUAUUCAAGCCUCUAUAUGACGACUUCAUUUCAGCACAAAUGCCGGUUACCCUGAAGGACAGCCCAACCCAAAGAAGACGAACGGACGCAGACCACAUCUAACCAAGACGCCCCUUCGUAGCGGACCAGGUUUGUAUAUCCUAUCGACUUCUGGUGCAUUUGUUCAACCCCAGCUCCGCGCCGCAGCCCAGUCCAGACAGAUUGGUCAGCCUCCAACUCCGUAAGACAUUACAUUGCAAAAGCGCCCGCCUUUUGCUGGCGCUGCUGCCGCCGCUGCGGCUGCCCGCUGCCCCAAACUCCACCGCCGCAAUCACCACGACCGCCCCCGCUGCACCCGCCGCUGACACAUACCGCUCGACCCAUCACCUAAACCGAAACACGCGUGUUGUUGUCCCGUCAUCCGUCGUACACCUGUUCAUGUCACAUAAUUGCUUGUUUACGUGUUACAUGUUCCCGUACGGCAGGUAUGAACCAUACUCGCCUCCAAUUGAUUCUUAGUCCAAUUCAUGGGCUGUCUGGCCAGAGGCUUACGGGCUUACAGGGCUUGCGGAAGUACGAGGCCCAUGCCCCUCUCUCCGGCACCAUCGGCCAAGCAGCAGCAAAAUAAUGAUAUAUAUAAUCCUUGUAAGGGUCACCUACAAGAAUAAGGAGCUUUGCGCGGGGGCUUUAAGGAGUUGGGACCAGGGUUUAAAAAAGGAAUGAGAUAGCAGUAAAAGUACGGAAACCUUACGAAGUUUUCACAUAGUAUAGGCUGGUUAUGGCUCUUGGCGCAGAGGGCUCCCAGCGGCGGCAGGUCGCACCACGCCGUCGGAUUCCGGGUCUGACUGCUGGUCCAACGUACUGCUGAACAGGUUGAUUAUCAAUGACUUGUAUGGAAUGAUCAAAACCAAAUUGAUGCCUACGGAUAGGAUGCCGGGAUAGCUGUCUCUGUGUGCAGACUGUGUGUGUGUGUGUGUGUGUGUGUGUGUGUGUGUGUGUGUGUGUGUGUGUGUGUGCAGGGGGAUUUGUUGUCAUGCCAGUAGUUCCCUGCGAGCUUGGCGGAACGCACAAGCGCCACCAUGCUUUGCGUUGUGAAAGUGUGUGCCGUGGUGGUGUUGCGGCGACACACCGGGAAAAGUACGGAUAGGAAGGUAGACGGCCGUGCAGGCUUCAGGCCGGCAGACUGUUGGAAGUUGUAGGUGUUUGAGAUGAACUGGGCAGCUAGCUGUAGUAAACUAAAAUUACACUGGACAAUCUCUGUAAUGUUUAUGCUGACUAUAAUAUGGUCCACAUAAACAAUACAGGAGCGGGGCCGCCUGCGCCAGCUUCCAUAACGGCCGUUGGUAUCCCCGCGCAGCACACAACCCCCUCAUUUUCCCACCCCAAAUAAGUAGGUAGGAUCCGGGCUCAUUGAAGCCUAAAAAGGUCACGGCAAUUUUAUAUCCCUACAGGCCCGUUUUUAUUUAAGAAACGCACAAGGCAAACGGGUGAUGCGGUCCGCCAUUAAUUUGAUUGGAGGUGUACUGUCUCAAAAUCCGCGGCUGCAAACCGCAUCACUUGUACGGCCAACUGUCACCGAAUGGAUGUAGUUAACCGUUAAGGUAGGGAAGGUAGGAAGAACGCAGGUGUGGGAACCCCUGAGGGCGGGAAGGGGGGGAAUUGUCAUCGAGCAGUACGACGGCUUUGCAGGCGCAACGCUGCGGUGUAACAGUCUUGAUCGCACGCUAAUUCGCACACAUAGUUUUUCUUUUUCUUUUUGAGAGAUUGAACGUUUUCACGAUAUAUAUAUAUAUAUAUAUAUAUCUUUUUCUUUUUGAGAGAUUGAANNNNNNNNNNNNNNNNNNNNNNNNNNNNNNNNNNNNNNNNNNNNNNNNNNACGUUCAAUCUCUCAAAAAGAAAAAGAAAAACUAUAUAUAUAUAAAAACUAUAUAUAUAUAUAGAAAAACUAUAUAUAUAUAGAAAAACUAUGUAUAUAUAUCGUGAUAUAAUGCGGACAGGCUCUUAGGCCCCUCAUCAGGGCUCCAGGUAUGUACAAAUGCACACAAAUACACACAAAUACACACAAAUGCACACAAAUACACACAAAUACAUACAAAUACACACAAAUACACACAAAUACACACAAAUACACACAAAUACACACAAAUACACACAAAUACACACAAAUACACACAAAUACACACAAAUACACACAAAUACACACAAAUACACACAAAUACACACAACACAAAUACACACAAAUACACACAAAUACACACAAAUACACACAAAUACACACAAAUACACACACACACACAAUUGUCGAUAUGUCAGUGUUACGCGUGGGCAUCCUGCCGGAGUGAACGGUGCAUGAGAGGAAGCAAUGCACGUGGAACCAACCUCAAAAAGCGUCUGAACAGUAUUGGGGCGGCAUGCCAGCCCAGUUAGUGUCCGACGAUGCUAAGGUCGAUUGGCAAUCAAAGGUCGAUUCCAUGAGGGUGUGGCUUUUUCCAAGUUUAGGCGGCAGCUUAUGGCUGCCUGGGGCACACACGAGGCGGAGCCCGGACCCAUCGGAUGGGGAACAACGGGGGAAGGUUAUGACAGCGAAAUAGGUACAUAAUUGGAGGGGUCUGCCGUUUCGAAAAGUCGGUUGGGGCUACCGCGGUGGCUUCCGCAUACCCGGCAUAUAGACCUCAUCUCACCAGAUGUGCAUUGUUUUGUGGUGAGGUUUCGGACGCGUAGUUGGCCCCUAGCGGCGAUUGUGCCUCCUAGAUGGAAAGCCCCGCGAGCAGAGGAUAUGUGAGUUUUGCACGCUGAAUAAGCACGGUGGAAGAUGAGCGUCAUGUUCUUUUAGGAUGCCCAGCUUAUUCUGCAUGUCGUGAGAGUGCUCGAAGGUAAUCCUUUGUCUCGGUUCUGGGCAGCGAGCAAACAAAACUGGCCUCACCUGGUACACGGCGUUUGGCUUACACGCUCGUCUCUUCACAGGCUGUCGCCGUUGAUUAGUGUAAUAGUAGUAGUUGUUGUUUAGCGAACGGAAACGCAAGGUCCUCGGUUAUGUUCCUGCUUGACCGGCCAUUGCCUAUUCUGACUUACUAACAAAAUGGGUGGAUUGUUCUGGGUGUGCAUUACCGUAUCCUGCGCCCGCACUCGCCCGCCCACCUAGCUAGGGGACAAAACUACAGCACCUCGGCGCUGCAGGCGCUUUACUGGUGGGCCUUUGCCUGCAACGCCUGCGAUAUGUUGUGUCGUAUCAUGUCAAAAUUUUAUAAGCUAAUUUAGGCACCGGGUAGGUUUCGAAUGGCUUAAUCAGGCCCGGCUGAGAGGUGGAUGUGUAAACUUGUGUACUGCAAGACCACCGAAUUCUAUCUAGCUAAAAGGAAAAGUAUAUAUCGCUGUUGAUUGCACAACGUGAAGAUAACAGCUGAGCCAAAAAUUGCUCAAUCGUGUUGCGAACGAGCGAUAAGGUUCCUACCGGUCAUGCAGAAGGGAGUCUGGAGCCCACUGUAACAACCACACACAGAGGGGAAAAUUGUCGCAGCGUUUGACCUGGGCAGACAGAGGACCGAGGACGGUACGGAGCUGCAUAGUGCAGGUAAAAAAUGUGUAUCUUUACUUAUGUAACGUCAAGCCAACAUUCUUUUUCUCAUUCUGAUUCUUUCCUCGAAAUACGAACGGCUUAGCGUAAAAAAAAGUCUGGGCAGGCAAGGCAUUCUUUUUGUCGGAACUUAUUCUCCAUACCUUGCACCGGUUCCCAGUGGUACAGCUUUCCCAAGGCAUAUCUCCGCAAUGUUUUUCUGGACAGCUUUUUCGUUACGUGAGUGAUUGCACGGGUACAAUUAAAAGGAUGACGAGUUUUCAACUGAUGACCGCCGUACGGUCGUACCGCAAGUAAUCCAUUUUCAAGCCACUAGAUAACAACCUGCUGACACGGUGACUCAAUUGUUGGUAGAUUCAUUGCGAUCCACAUUCAUUCAUUUGCUCAUAUCGACAUCGAUCUUGAAUAUUGCCGAGGACCCGUCCACCACCCGCCGAGGCCGUACACCUCUACUGCACACCCACAUCGUGCUAAUUACAAAACAGACCGAGACAGCAAUUUUUGAUUCUUGUGUUGCACUGCACGGCGGCGACAAGGCACCGCCCAAAAAGGCCAGCACGUAGGGACCCUUCGUCGUUGUCUGAUGGAAAUAAAUUUAAUGUAAUAUGUUCAGACUGCUACACCACCCCCACCGGGUUCCUCCACCACCGGGCGCCGGCUGCGGAGGAACACAGCGCGACGAUUCAAUCUGUGGCGGUAACCAUCUUCUAGCUGCGGCGGCGGCUGCAGGGGCGUCGGCAGCGGCAGCGGCGUCGGCGUCGGCAGCGGCGGCGGCGGCAGUGCCAGGACGAUAUGUACCACAGGGCAUUAUUUACGGUGAGCAGCCAUCAUCAACACUGCUGCCGCCGCCGUCUCCUCCUUGACCUCCCAUCUUCCUCGACCUCCCGCCGCCGCCAUCACUCCAUCAUUUUGUCGUUCCGCUUGCAAGAACCGGUGACCGCCCUGAGACGUCUUCAGGUAUCCAUUCGGAGGUCAUCGCCGUACCUGUUGCCGUACAAGGACCCAUGUUGGGGCAUCCAUUAACGAUUUACGCUAACCGGUGUACGGUGUCACGACAUUUUAGCGUCACGUUCAUUUUACCGUCUUUUAUAAUCGUCUUAGGUUAUAAUCGGUAUGAAUACGCGAAUUUCGUGUUGUCUUAUACUCGCGUAAGGUGUUUGGUUGUUACCUUCGUUAAUCGAUUUGUGGUGGAGAUGCGAAUGUACACUCGUUUGCGUAUGUUUAUGUAUUUUACCUGUGCAUUAUCCAUUUCUUGUGUGAAUGUUUUGUCACACGGAGGUAAUGUGCUUUACUUGUGUCAUUCGUGGACAAUAUGUCGUAGUCGUACUCGAGGCUUAUCUUCUGAGGGCCUCCUGUGAUCGAUAGCGUGACUUCGGUAUUUAUAGCCGGCAGCGAGCUUGAUAAAGUCGCUUUACGGCUCACCACUACCAUAUUGGAACAUUGUAAAGUUCCGUGAGCUAGGUAAUAAGCCCUGUGCGGUCCUUCCUUUUGUCAACCGCAUAAGUAACGUCCACCAACCAGCCGAACUCCUGUGCGGGCCACUCAACGCCCAUAACCUUCACGCCGGGCAUACUCAGUUGGUAAGGUAAAUACUCAUCGCUGUUGAUUGAUUGCCCCUGGCCCCUUUCGUAGGUUGCUAGUUGCUGCGUAUCACGACUUGCCCUUUUGUGCCGUCUAGUCAGCACCUAAGCUACCUGCAGGAAUUCGCCAGACCACCCUGCACUCCACAGGCGUAAAGCCUAAAUCAGGCUAGAAGACCAAGUAAGUUCGGUUUUGGGUUUGACCUUAGGUGUUCUGUCGCCUAGGGGAUAUUCGGGUUGCUUCUCCCAGCACCCUUUUUGGUAGGUUAGGUAGGCUAGGUCACGCCAGCCGCAGCCUGUCAGCAGUGUUACGCACAGCUGCCCCACGAAUCAGCAAUUUUUGGGCCAUUUCUUUUACUGGUUCGAUUUUGCUUGCGUAUUCGGGCAUUCUUACAAUUGAUACUGUGUUACGCACAGCCGUCUGUUGGACAUUCGAUCCCGAAUACUUAAUACGAUCUAGUCCUUAAGGACAUGCUGCUAGCGCUUGAGAAGAAUCUGGACGGCAGAGUGAGCAAACACCAAGUCGCAGAACGCUUCCUUGAGGGCUUAAACCCCGUGGUUCGGCAGCACAUGGAGAGGCACCUAAUAACUGUGGAGCGUACCAAGUGGUACGAUCGCUUGGAGAACACGGCACGUGAGGCUGAGGUUGUGUGGAACAAUCUCCCGUUGGAGGACAGAGUAGCUCAGGUACACAAAAAGCCGCCGCAGCAGAAAAGUGUAGUAAAGCCGACCAUCAAGGAAAAACGCACCUUCUACUGUGAAAAGCAUGGCACCAACACAUCUCACGAUACGGCGCAGUGCCGUCUCUUAAACCCCCCAAAAACGAAGUCCGCGCUUUUGACCUCUGACAUCCCCUCCGGUAUUGUUGAGCGUUUGGUUGCCUUGAUUUCUCAGGAACAGGGCAACGCGUCGACCUCAGGGGGGUCCAGGGGAAUGGGCGGGCAAAAGCAGAAGGGGGCUGGGCCAUCUAAGCCCAAGCAGGGACAGGGUGCUAGCGAACCGCGGGGGAAUAGGCCAUCUUGCGAGUUCUGUGGAGCCAUGGUUCACCAGCAGAGCAAGUGCUUUAUUUUCCACCCCGAGCUCGCUCCCGCGGGCUACGAGCCUGCUAACCCAGCCCUGAAGGUUUUAUUUCUGCAGCGCAAGAAGGCGGGUGAGAAGAAGGCGGCCUUGGUGGCGGCUGUUGCCGCAGCCUUCGAGGACAACUUCGCAGCAGACGACGAGGCGGAUGAGGAGGCGGCCUGCUGCACCACGCAGUUCCAUGAAGCGGCGUCGAACGCUUCUCCCAGCCAACCGGCUAGGAUGGCGCCGCUUACAUGGACGCGCAGCGCACAAGAGGUAAGGUACAACAGCUUAGCCACCAUGCAUUCGCAGGCUGUUCCUAAGUCCUUCACUCCAGCCCCUUUAGUCACAAAGCAGUACCCGCCACCGAAACCACCCAUGGCGAACAACUCAACACGCACUCACACACCGCCAGACGACGAGCUUCUCUUGCGUAAAAUCUCUGACAUGCCUGUCGGCACUUUCUUUAACCUGCUUUGCCAGCAGGGGCUGCCUUCCACCGGCGGCCCCCUAGACGCUAAACCCCAUUCCCCAAGUACGGCCCAAGCAACGCAGGGUUCCAGCUCAUUUCGAGCAGCUUUGGGGAGGGAUCUUCCACGCUUCAGGCCGACAAGAGUGCAGCUCGCCUGUUUCCCGGCGGCAGCACCGGAGCUGGUCACGCCAUCUCCACUUGAUUCUGGCCUGGCGUCUUUUGCCCUGGCGGCCCUAGGUGCCAAACCCUCUGACCACCUUGGUGCCGGUUUCGAGUACCAGGUAAGUGGGGUUAAGGGUCCGCCUCCGCGCACUUUGUCGGAGCUCUCGCCUGACGAGCGGGAGCAGGCUUUAGCUGUUAAUCCGUCAGCGGCGCGGUAUAUGGGGGAACCCGAGGGCCUUUACUACUACAAAAAAGGGGCGUGUGUGUUGGUUCAGGGGCAGCAUGACAGGGCAGCUCCAGAGGCUUUGCGUGAUUUUGCCGCAACGGUUAACGUAAUGCCAACCAGUGUAGCUAAAGCGCUUAAGCUGCCCAUAGUAGAGACCACCACGCGUUUGUCCACCUCGCUGCAGCUAGGGGGUGCUGUGCGAGGGGAGUUGGACACCACCAACAUCUUUUUCGAGCUUCUUCCGGGCACACCGCAUGCUACGCGGGUCCCGCUUACAAAAACCCUGGUCGUUGAUGAGCGACCUGACCUGUUUCAGCUCUUAGUGGGUAAUGAACAGGCGAAGUUCUUGGGGGACGCUCAGGAAUCAUAUCCCGAGCCUAGGCUGCACUUUUACCCCAACGUUUUGCAGCACCCUGACUACAAAGUAACUAUUCCCAUGCAUAAGCUUGUGAAGCACAUGCCUUCACAGCAUGGUUCCCUGGUGGGAGUUGCGUGCGUCAGCAGUGNNNNNNNNNNNNNNNNNNNNNNNNNNNNNNNNNNNNNNNNNNNNNNNNNNNNNNNNNNNNNNNNNNNNNNNNNNNNNNNNNNNNNNNNNNNNNNNNNNNNNNNNNNNNNNNNNNNNNNNNNNNNNNNNNNNNNNNNNNNNNNNNNNNNNNNNNNNNNNNNNNNNNNNNNNNNNNNNNNNNNNNNNNNNNNNNNNNNNNNNNNNNNNNNNNNNNNNNNNNNNNNNNNNNNNNNNNNNNNNNNNNNNNNNNNNNNNNNNNNNNNNNNNNNNNNNNNNNNNNNNNNNNNNNNNNNNNNNNNNNNNNNNNNNNNNNNNNNNNNNNNNNNNNNNNNNNNNNNNNNNNNNNNNNNNNNNNNNNNNNNNNNNNNNNNNNNNNNNNNNNNNNNNNNNNNNNNNNNNNNNNNNNNNNNNNNNNNNNNNNNNNNNNNNNNNNNNNNNNNNNNNNNNNNNNNNNNNNNNNNNNNNNNNNNNNNNNNNNNNNNNNNNNNNNNNNNNNNNNNNNNNNNNNNNNNNNNNNNNNNNNNNNNNNNNNNNNNNNNNNNNNNNNNNNNNNNNNNNNNNNNNNNNNNNNNNNNNNNNNNNNNNNNNNNNNNNNNNNNNNNNNNNNNNNNNNNNNNNNNNNNNNNNNNNNNNNNNNNNNNNNNNNNNNNNNNNNNNNNNNNNNNNNNNNNNNNNNNNNNNNNNNNNNNNNNNNNNNNNNNNNNNNNNNNNNNNNNNNNNNNNNNNNNNNNNNNNNNNNNNNNNNNNNNNNNNNNNNNNNNNNNNNNNNNNNNNNNNNNNNNNNNNNNNNNNNNNNNNNNNNNNNNNNNNNNNNNNNNNNNNNNNNNNNNNNNNNNNNNNNNNNNNNNNNNNNNNNNNNNNNNNNNNNNNNNNNNNNNNNNNNNNNNNNNNNNNNNNNNNNNNNNNNNNNNNNNNNNNNNNNNNNNNNNNNNNNNNNNNNNNNNNNNNNNNNNNNNNNNNNNNNNNNNNNNNNNNNNNNNNNNNNNNNNNNNNNNNNNNNNNNNNNNNNNNNNNNNNNNNNNNNNNNNNNNNNNNNNNNNNNNNNNNNNNNNNNNNNNNNNNNNNNNNNNNNNNNNNNNNNNNNNNNNNNNNNNNNNNNNNNNNNNNNNNNNNNNNNNNNNNNNNNNNNNNNNNNNNNNNNNNNNNNNNNNNNNNNNNNNNNNNNNNNNNNNNNNNNNNNNNNNNNNNNNNNNNNNNNNNNNNNNNNNNNNNNNNNNNNNNNNNNNNNNNNNNNNNNNNNNNNNNNNNNNNNNNNNNNNNNNNNNNNNNNNNNNNNNNNNNNNNNNNNNNNNNNNNNNNNNNNNNNNNNNNNNNNNNNNNNNNNNNNNNNNNNNNNNNNNNNNNNNNNNNNNNNNNNNNNNNNNNNNNNNNNNNNNNNNNNNNNNNNNNNNNNNNNNNNNNNNNNNNNNNNNNNNNNNNNNNNNNNNNNNNNNNNNNNNNNNNNNNNNNNNNNNNNNNNNNNNNNNNNNNNNNNNNNNNNNNNNNNNNNNNNNNNNNNNNNNNNNNNNNNNNNNNNNNNNNNNNNNNNNNNNNNNNNNNNNNNNNNNNNNNNNNNNNNNNNNNNNNNNNNNNNNNNNNNNNNNNNNNNNNNNNNNNNNNNNNNNNNNNNNNNNNNNNNNNNNNNNNNNNNNNNNNNNNNNNNNNNNNNNNNNNNNNNNNNNNNNNNNNNNNNNNNNNNNNNNNNNNNNNNNNNNNNNNNNNNNNNNNNNNNNNNNNNNNNNNNNNNNNNNNNNNNNNNNNNNNNNNNNNNNNNNNNNNNNNNNNNNNNNNNNNNNNNNNNNNNNNNNNNNNNNNNNNNNNNNNNNNNNNNNNNNNNNNNNNNNNNNNNNNNNNNNNNNNNNNNNNNNNNNNNNNNNNNNNNNNNNNNNNNNNNNNNNNNNNNNNNNNNNNNNNNNNNNNNNNNNNNNNNNNNNNNNNNNNNNNNNNNNNNNNNNNNNNNNNNNNNNNNNNNNNNNNNNNNNNNNNNNNNNNNNNNNNNNNNNNNNNNNNNNNNNNNNNNNNNNNNNNNNNNNNNNNNNNNNNNNNNNNNNNNNNNNNNNNNNNNNNNNNNNNNNNNNNNNNNNNNNNNNNNNNNNNNNNNNNNNNNNNNNNNNNNNNNNNNNNNNNNNNNNNNNNNNNNNNNNNNNNNNNNNNNNNNNNNNNNNNNNNNNNNNNNNNNNNNNNNNNNNNNNNNNNNNNNNNNNNNNNNNNNNNNNNNNNNNNNNNNNNNNNNNNNNNNNNNNNNNNNNNNNNNNNNNNNNNNNNNNNNNNNNNNNNNNNNNNNNNNNNNNNNNNNNNNNNNNNNNNNNNNNNNNNNNNNNNNNNNNNNNNNNNNNNNNNNNNNNNNNNNNNNNNNNNNNNNNNNNNNNNNNNNNNNNNNNNNNNNNNNNNNNNNNNNNNNNNNNNNNNNNNNNNNNNNNNNNNNNNNNNNNNNNNNNNNNNNNNNNNNNNNNNNNNNNNNNNNNNNNNNNNNNNNNNNNNNNNNNNNNNNNNNNCGCAAAAAAGAGCGCAAAGAGCUCACACCACAAGACGCCAAACAGCCUCCUGAGACUACUACCCUCCUCCGCCUCUCCCUCCCUGGGCUAGUCCAGGGGAGAUAGCCCCCGUCGAGGGGGUAACACCGCACAAGUCCGCGCCCUUCCACAGCACUGGGUCUAAAUUGAAAAGUACUCAAACGGGAAUGUAUGUAUGUAUGUAUGUAUGUAUGUAUGUAUGUAUGUAUGUAUGUAUGUAUGUAUGUAUGUAUGUAUGUAUGUAUGUAUGUAUGUAUGUAUGUAUGUAUGUAUGUAUGUAUGUAUGUAUGUAUGUAACAUAUAUAAGUGACCGACACUCGCAUACACCAGUGAAAUGUGACAGCAGUACUAGGACUCCGGGGGGGUCCGUAGCGCUUUGCUGAUUAUAAGCGAUAUAAUAUAAACAACAUAGCACAUAUUAGUUACAUGUAAAGUGCAAUAAAGGUGUCUAAAGUCGUGGUGAAAGGCGCUGCAGGUUGAUUGAGCCCCGCCGCUACCUCACCCUGGCCCGCCCGGCCGUCGUACCUACCUGCCGUACAGCGUACACGCCCGCCUUGGGUCUCGGGUGUGCUGUACACGUCGCGACAUCCCCGGACGCGAACACCUUUUGCUUUCAACAGGCGGGUGGAAGAGCGGCGGGUGGACGAGUGGACGGGUUGACCAGGGUUACCCGGAGGGGCAGGGUGGAGGAGGAGAAAGAGGAAGACAGCUUUCGCUCCUGAACACAACUGGGGUUCUCCCAGGUUAGGUCAGGAGUGAUAGGUGAUAGGUUAGUUUAGGUUAGUUUAGGUUGGGAGGUCUAGCAGGUUAGCCGUAUAGCCGUCACCACGUAAGUCAAAGAGCGGACACACACAUACUCCCUCCCCUCCCCUCCCUCCCCUCCCCCCCCUCCCCGCCCUCGCACCUCCCCCCCCCUCCCCUCCCCGCCCUCGCACCUCCCCCCCUUCCCUUCCCCCUCCUCCCCUCCCCCCCCGCCCUCGCACCUCCCCCUCCCUCCCCUCCCCUCCCCCUCCUCCCCUCGCACCACCGAGGGGCCCUCCUCGGACUGCAACUUGUCGUUGAUGGACAGGAAGCCAGCAGAGUCUGUUAGCAGUUGGAAUUUGAGGUUUGAGAGUUAAGGACUGAUGAUUAAAAAGUGACCUACUGUACAUACUGCGCUCAGGAUGGGCGGGGAUUCUUCCAGCUAUUCACUAUCACUAUCACCAUCACUAUCGUGUAAUUUGGUAGUUCCCUGAGAACUCCCGCCUUCCCAAAACACCACACCUCGCACCUGUCGGAAGACCUGUACGGCGCAACCACUGAGCCGGGCUUGCUUCGGUACACCACAGGCAUUCGUCGUACGGCACCCGCUUGCCACUCCGGAGCAGUAGCUCGUUAGCUUUAACCCUGCAUAUGUAUAGGUGAAACCACGUGGCUGUAGUAACAGUUAGCCGUUAGCGGUUGGCGGUUAGACGCGUUACCCGAACAUCAAAAAAACACAAAACCCCUCUCCUCAGCUUUCGUCGUACUUGUUGUGCGUCUCCCUCAUCUCUUUCCCUUUUGAAAUCUAUACAGGCCUGCUUCACAGGCGGGGGGGGAGGUAAGAAAUGUACCCUACCUACCCACCUCCUCUUGUAACGCCUACUAGACCCGGUAGAAGGAACACAAACUGGAAAGAGAAGCUGAAGCUGAGAAAUACGGUUUGAAAAACUGUGUUUAAUUGCCUUGUCGUGCUGAAGUUAGUCUGACAUUCUACGAUGCGUGUCUGUGUGUGUGUUUAUCUGCGUGUAUGUGCGUGUAUGUGUGUGGGCAAUCAGAGCAAAUUGAAAAGAGAUAAAACUCGCUGCCGGAUUUUGCCGUAACGGCCACAAAAGCAUCACGUCACAAGUCAUCGACGAAGCCAUCCCGAUAACUUGUCGUCUUAAAGUCUAACCCUCAGCAAAACGUCCCCCGCCCUCUCACUUCCGUACACACACGUGACAUACAUACAUCACAAACCAAACAAUAACCAACUAAAGGAAGUAAACCGACCAUCAAAACCCACAUAUCAGCUGGCAUAGCUCAGUUGGAUAGAGCACCCGUUUAGUAAGCGGGAGGUCUCCAGUUCGAAUCUGGAUGUCAGCAGACAUAUUUUAUAGGUAGGUGGCUGGCAGAGGUGAAGGCCUGACUUCUGCUACCGGAGUGUUUCAGUUCUAUUCCGUCUGCCGACCUCACGGGUGUGUUUGAGAGGUAAUGAAAUGGGAGGUGGAUCCCCCAUCACAUGGACGGUGUAGGACAUGAUAAUAUCAACUUGCGAGCUGACCAGGAACCAAAUUGAGGCGCCGUUGAUCCGCUAGAUUUGGUUGGAUGCUGGUGGUGAGUUGCCGAACCCAAAGAAUACACUCUGAAGUCGGAUGGGGUGAACGGAUUAGGGUGCCCCUCUAGCAGGGGAGAGCAGGGAACUGCCUCGGGAAAGGGGGCCGCUGGUAAAGCUUAACCACCCUGUAACAACAUACAUACAUACAUACAUACAUACAUACAUACAUACAUACAUACAUACAUACAUACAUACAUACAUACAUACAUACAUACAUACAUACAUACAUACAUACAUACAUACAUACAUACACACUCGCAUGGCCCAUUGGGUCAUUAAGGGACACUCACUCGACGACGGCGUCCCCAGAUCGCACCUCUACCCCCCUCUGAGUCAGCAGCUGCCGUGCAAGCCGCCGUACAUGGGGCGGGUGGCCUGGCAGCAGGCCGCCCCGGCAGAGGAGGCUGCCGCGCGGGAGAUGGGGGGGGGGGGGGAGCGGGGACGGAGGAUGGGGCGACAGUCUGUGUGUGUGUGUAUGUGUGUGUGUUUUGGGGGUAAAGGCAAAAUUGGGUUGAAAGGAGGAUAGGGGGGAGCUUUGUCGUGGUACGAAAGCUACCUUGAAAUCGCCCUCCUCCCCCGCCCUGCCACAUUACCCACCCCCAUCUCCACCUCAUCUAGGUUACACCCCCCCUCCCCACCCCCCAUCACCCGCCAUCACCCGCCUACCAUACGGUGACGGACGCUCGUUCCGCCGCCCAACCUCCCCGCUGUCUCUCCUCCUGCCCAAAACCCAGCCAGCACGACAACCCAGUACGAAACAGAGUACGACAUACAGUGCGACAAAAAAGCGAUACCCGGGGUCCACGGGAGUUGCGGAAGAGGGGGCGGGGGGACGAAGGGGGUGUGUGGAGGGAGCCUGUUUGGGUUUGUUGGCCAACACGACCACGACAUGAGACGACGAGGAGGACUAUCUCGAGUGUGAGGCUCGGAAGACGUCAGCAUGGUAUGUGGUAAAACCUUGUCUGCCUGCAUGUAUGUAUACCUAUGUCUGUCUAUCUGUCUGUCUGCCAGUCAGUCUUUCUCUCACUUUGCCUGUCCACCCGUAUGUCAGUCCAUCAGUCAACCAAGGCCUGAGAUUACCUAAUUAAGAGUACGGACAAAUGGAGGACUUGGAGACAUACACACACAUACAAACACACACACACACACAUGCCGUGACGUUUCCCUCAUCGCGGCUCAGAUCAUUAUCAUUCAUACAUGUGUCGUGCGGAAGUGUAUGUGUGUGUUUGUGUGUGUAUGUGCGUGUGUGUGUGUGUGUGUGUUCAAAAAAAUAGAUAUGGGAUUUGAAACAAAUCAAUGGGAAAUUCGUUGAGCACGAAUACAAUGUCAGUUGGACAAUCAACAUGACGAUUUUGCAGUAGAAGAGAGGGAGGACUAACGUACCUCGAGCCGGUGCCGUACAGCGGCCGCCAGCUCGACUCCCCCCGCGCCCCCGCCAACAAUACACACACGCAAGAGAGGCUCCCCGGCGCCUGAAGACGCAAGGGCUAGGGCUAGGGCAAACAAAAGGAGAGGGAAUCAGAUAAUGGUGACCAUGAUAUUGAUGAUAAUGGCGGCGAUGAUAAUGAUGGCGAUGAUGACGGUGGUGCAAAAAGCAACGAGACAACUGCCAACACGCCGCCAGCGGUACAAAGCCGGGUUGCCGCAGCGCAUGCAUGUGAUGCGAACGGCCCUAGUAUUAUUUCCGUUGAUCACCUUGGACGACGUCGAGAUCCUCGUGACUUGGCUGUAACGCCUCCGCCUCCGCCGCCGCAGCAGCAGUAGCAGCAAUAUCAGUGGCAGCAGCAGCAGCCCUAUAUUUGUUGCAAGUAUAAAUAAAGGCGCCGGCGAUGUGAUAGGUGGAUGAGGUGUUGUGUAUCGUUGGGCGGGGAAAGGGUGGCGGAAGGUUGUUUCGGGUUUUACCUCGAGGACCUCCCGGGGAUGUCUCCCCCCCCCGCGCCCUACCAGCACUACAUUAUACACUCAUGUCGCUGGCACCUCAGGAUAUCGACAGUAUGGGAGGACAAAGGACACCCAGGACCAUAAAAACACAUCCUGAUUUCUUGUCUUUUUUUACCUGUGUAUGUCUGUCCGUCUGUAUGUAUGAUGUGUACGGGCUGUGUGUUUAUGUGACCGCCGUACACUUGUCGUGUAUGUACACUAUGUUUCUCGUCCGGGUUGCAACUAACUCCCGGCCGGCCCACGCUCCCCUUUUGGAGCCAAACCAACCACAGCGCCACACACGCACACGCAUACCCCUCACCUACCUGUACCUUUCCAGCAGCUGCUCGUACUGCCGUACAAAGCUGCACGACACAACAAAGGAUGGAGAACCGAGUGUGCGGUGCAUGUCAAUGUCCGUAUGUGUGAGGGGCCCCUGAGAGGUACGUCUUAGUCACAUACAUACUUACUUACUUACGAUACCCUUAGUGCGCCGAAUCUGGCUUCCAAAAGACGGAAGGAGUUUCCUUUCAGAUACAUACAUACCGACCCCGCGACUUGAAAAUAUCUAUCAUACAUCAGUGUAUCAAAAACAGGUGACCUGCACUUAUCGCGUCCAGGCGUGUGCCUUUUCAUUUCCUUGUGUUUUGAUACUCUCCCUCCCUCCCGCUGCCAGAGGGCUCACAACCCAACUCCGGAGAAGGGCCGACAACGCUAUACCCAAAAACCUUAGGCUGCGAAAACCUAAAACCCCUAAAACCAGCAAUAAAACCCUUAAAAAGAUCUAGCGCGGCAUCUACUCCUCCCCCCAACCUCCGGCAUUACUCCCCCCACCCGCAGGGCACCUCCCCCCACCUCACCCCUCACCCGUCAAUGGGUUUCACGGGCGUGGCAUGCUCGUCCACCCCUGGUACAGCAGCGCGCCCCGGCGCGAUACCAAUAUUGAUCGAUAGCACGUCGUACGGCACAGGCUGUGGAACUACCCCUGCGGCCACCGGCGGCGCCGGCGUUGCCUUCUUCACACCUUCCUCACCACCGUCGCCGAAGUAUACCUUGCGAGCCUUCCAAGUAACAUGCAAUGUACGACAAUGGCCAUGCCGUACGGCACAUCCUUAACACGUCGCCUAAUUCCGUCUCGUCAUUCUCAUUUUCGUGUUGUUGCAGAUGCAGAUCGUGAGGGCGGGCAGUGCGACCGACAUAAAGACGGGCAAACUAGUACACAGACAGCAAAAACAAGCGCAAGGAAAGGGGAAAGGGGUAAAAGGGGAAAAGAUCGGCUUUCAUAAACCGAAAACCGCCGCCGCCGCCAGCGCUGCGUCUGCAUCCGCCGCAAUGGCUCCCUCCCGUCCUCCUUCCCAACCAAAACACACAUACACACACGUACACACAACAACCCCAAGAUCCCAUCCCAACCUAAACUUCCCCCAAAAAAUCCCCUAAUUGAACUUAAAACCCGUUUAAAACCCUUCUCACCCGGAUAUCGACCCAGGUAGCCUCUCCCAGAACCAAUCGCGCCCCGGCGUAUGAUGCCAGGCGCUGCAAGUCAAUAUGACAUUGGCCGUACGAGUAAAACCCAGAUGCCCAGCCUGGCAGCAUGCCGCUGUAUGGCGUGAACCUCCCACGAUUGAUCAGUGUCAGGCGGUGCUCGUUGCCGUAGCCGCCGCUACUGCUGCUAUUACUACUGCUGCUGCUGUUGCUGGAAUUUCGGUUAUGGCGGCUGUUACGGUUGCAGUUGCGGUUGUAAUGUCCAAAGGCUCGCAGCACCUCUACGUGGCUGUGACCCCCGCCUAGCAGCACCAAAUCCUGGAGGUGUGUGUAAGUAUGUACGUACGUAUGUAUGUAUGCAUGCGUAGGUGUACAGGUGUAUGGAUGGAGGGCCGGGUAGUAACACGUAGGGGGGCAUCAGAGGUAGGGGGCACAGCUUGCGGGGCGUGGCGGGGGAUGGGGGAUGAGAAUUUGGAGUCUAGGGGACGUGCUUGGAGAUCUGACCAUUUGGGGCUUCGGCGCAGUUUCUAAAGCUUUCAAAGAGGUGCUGCAGACGGUGAGUGAGCCCGGAUUUCCCUGGGAUUGGAGACAGACAAGAAAUAACAAGAGAGAACCACGGACCAUAAAUAACUGUUCAAAAGAGCGGACCUGCGGGUGGAGUCUACGUGGCGGGAGAAGGGGAUGUGAGGGAGAGGAGGGGGUGAGGCAGGAACAAGGUGGGCAAGCAGCAGUAGCAGCUAAAAUUGGGCGAGGGAAGUGCCGGAUGCUGUAAUGUACGGCUGCCUGAGCAAGUGCGCUUUGUAUUCUGUAAGCGGGUAGAACAAAAGGAGGACGCCCGGAAAUGUAAAUGUCACAAACUUUCAGCAAAUGCAUCGACAAAAGCAUGCACGAACUGCGGGGCGGGGGGCGAACAUAACAAGUCUUCAAGCGGGAAUGCCCAAGCACGUCUUACACACGCACCUUGAUAGUCAUUGGGCAAACGUGGUCAAAUAGCGGACAGACGUCGCGAAAGUGUUUGUCCUAUCUACGUGAUUUAUGACGGAGCCAGAACUAUGCAAGCAAAGCAUCCUAAGCACGCGUCUUUUUUUAUUCGACACUAUACGUAAUGUUUUGAAAGACAGUAUCAGCAAGUAAUGGCAGGUGUCGCAAAAGCGUUGGUUAUGCGAUGGUUGACGACGGAGACGUCGCAAACUUGUAAUCGCGAGGGCCCACGAUCACCAAUCCACGAUUAAGGCACAACCAAGUUAUGCGUAAAUCGGUAAUCUGGCUGGCAAACUGCAUAUGGAAUGACCGCUACGUUUUUGACUUUGUUCAACGUGUCGGUUGAUUGCAACGAACGUUUUGUCAGCGGUUUCUCAACUUCGGAUUUUACACAAAUACCAAGAACCCUACAAAUGUCGGCUUUCUUUCGGGAUGGCUCCGUCUCUGCUCCCGGCCACUGUCUCUGUUAUGGAAAUUUGAAAGCAGGCAAAUCCCCGCCUUACACUACCAAGUUCAAACUUCCUAAUCUCCUAUCAUAACCCCUCAUCUCCUUUUUCAGUUCUUCUUUCUAGCUCGUCGGCUCAUGAGCCUCUUAGAUCGUUUUUGGGGCCGUACAAGCCCAAGAAGCGUCAAACCCCAAGGGGACGACAACGACUAUGGGACUCGCCUCAAUAAAAUUGCUUGGAUCCGGUUGCUUGGAUCCGGCUGCAAAACAUUCACACACAACAACAUAAACACACUCGCGAGGCACGAGGAAAGCUAUUCCAGCCGUCCAUUGCCACCACCACCACCACCACCACCACCACGCAACAUCCCCCUGCUGCCCGCACGGCCGCAGCCACGGCUGCUGUCCUACCGCUCCACAUGAGAGCCCUACGCUUCAUGUCACCCAACCGUUACAUUACAACUCCGCCACUGCCGUACAACGCCGUACAAUGCCGUGCCAAACCUUUUCACUCGGACCCUGCCGCUGUUGCUAAAUUAACUACUUCUCCUCCUCCUCCUCCCCACAUCAACACACCUGCGCUUCCACCUCCCAACACACACACCCCUUCUUUCCCCCUGCCAGCACACACACAUGAAAAACAAACAAGCCAGCCAAUAAACGGACAAACAUACACGGCAACCACCUCCUUAAAACAGCAACCACCUCUCGAGACCCCAACAUGCCAUCAUCUCAGGCAAGAGUGAGCUAAAGCCCUGCUCCGCCNNNNNNNNNNNNNNNNNNNNNNNNNNNNNNNNNNNNNNNNNNNNNNNNNNCAACCCCCCCCCCCGGUCAUCAAGAGAAGUCCCUCUCCGGGAACAGCGCCGGCGCCACCAGGGUCCACAUGUACAGCAGCCCCGUGACCCACUCCGCGGCGGGCUUCACCCAGACACUCGCCCAACCCACAUCGAUGCGGUCCUUCUCCUAAGGCAGGCCAUGGGGGGAGAGGGGAGGGGGAGGGGUGAGGGGAGAGGUGAGGGGAGGGGGGAGGGGAGGGGUGUGCGCGGGGAGGGGAAGCAGGGAGGGGCGACAUCGGCGUGAAGGCGCUGGGGGGAGGAAGGCCCAGGAGCGCCCAGGGGCCGUUAGGUGUGUGUGUGUGCGUGUGUUUGUAUGCGUGUGUGUAUGUGUGUGUGCGUGUGUCAAGGCACGAUGCAAAGUCAAGAAGGGAAAACAAAUGCCGACUCUUGCAACUCUUGCAAACUACUGCGGCUGAUGGAGUCCAAAGCAAUGACACGCAACCGCGUGGAGCGGGGUGUGGGGGGAAAGACGAACCACGAACGAGUGAAGCUGCUGGGGUGUGGGGGGAGGAGAUGGCUGGCAGCUGGUGCCUUCCACGCGUUUUGUGUACGUGGGUUUCCCGCCUUCCGUUACCCGUCCGCCCACACACACACGGCCUUCCCCAAACCAGGACCUUCCCCUUCCCCCAACCCAAACACACACACGCGCGCGCGCGGAGUGCUUCGGCGGUCUCACCCGUGGGGCGGGUAGCGCCCCCCGGCCUUAACAGGUCCAGUAAGAUGUGUAACGAAUACACACGCAUGUACACACACAAAAACACACACACGCACCUGUGCCACGGUACCCCAGCCCGUCAUGAGCAUGGCGAUGUACAUGGAGGCGAGCGCAAAGAUGAGGUGGAAGAAGGAGUAGUUGUACGUCACGGGCGUCAGGGAGGUCGCGGCGGCGGUGGAGGGCCUGCAUAAGAGGGGGGAAAAGCGGAUGGGGAGGGGGGGGGAGGUUGCGAGCGUCGGCACGAAGUGUGUGUGUGGGGGGGGGGGGGAAUGGGGGUUUUAGGAACAGCGGCAGCGGCGGUUGUGCACAGGCGGCGGUCGUGGCUGGUCGCCAUUCAUCAUCACCAUCUUCGUCAUUGUCGUACAUCCUCCCAUUUGUCUGGGUGUAUGCGUGUGCAUGCGCCUGUGUAUGUGUGUAUGUGUGUGCGUGGGCUUUCUGUUCCGAUACCAACGGCCCGAACCCUAUCCAAAUGAAGAUCCAACCUAUCCGCGAUCCCCAACUUUGCUGCACACACUCCCUCCUCCCCCUCCCCCUCCUCCCCCUUCCCCUCCUCCGUCCGCCCUCGUCCGGCAUUUCCCUCCCUCCCCUCAACUCGCCACACGUACCGCGCAACACAACCGCCCACAAACCGACAAAUCACAGACAGACAGACAUGUACACAGACAUACACCCACCAUGCCCCCCAUCCACGCACCUAGCCGGCGGUCCGCCCGUCACUGCCUCUCGGGUCGCCUCUGCAACAUCCGGCACCCCGUCCAGUCCCGCACUGGUGAACCCACCACCUCCACCACCACCACCACCUCCAGCCUCCAGCUCCUCUCCCCCCGGGCCCCCGGGCAGUAGCGCCUGGCGCUGAGACAGCGGCUCCCCCUCCUCGGAGCCUUCCAACGUGAACAGCGCCGUGUUGGAGCCCGCGCGGAAGGCCGCAUACACCACGGAUGCCAGGGUUACGACCAUGCCGAGGGCCAGAGUGCCGCCUGGGGAGAGAGGGGUGUGUAUGUGUGUGUAUGCGUGUGUGUGUAUGUGUGUAUGUGUGUGUAUUGUUAGAUAUCUUGCCAGGCCUGACGCUGGCCAGCGGCUGCCGCCCAGCCCCAACGAACAAGACCGCCGACAAGCACUUUUCCCCCCUUUGGGGAAGGGGAGGGGCAUGAGGGGGGCCCCUGCCCCCUCUCCUGCCCGACACAGAGCCUGAACCGCUGGAUGGGGCGUGUGGGUGUGGGUGUGUGUGUUUGGGGUGAGAGGAGGUUAAGAGGAGGGAAGGGGGUUUAGGGGAAUGGUACGGCGAUGCAGCACAAGGAGCGCCAAAAACAGUCCACUGUGGCCACCCGCGGCCCAAAGCACCCACACCCACAUCACAUCAUCCGCAACCGCCAAAGAUGCGCUCUUGGACCUCACCCCCACCCCCUCCCCCCUCCCCACCCAAGACCCAACCAGUGUGCGCAUAUGCACAUGUAUAUAUGUGUAUGUAUGUAUGUAUGUAUGUAUGUAUGUAUGUAUGUAUGUAUGUAUGUAUGUAUGUAUGUAUGUAUGUGUAUAUGUUCCAACCCACCCGACGCGGCUGUGAGCCGGUGUCCCAGUCCAUUGCACGCGUACUCCCGGGGCUCGGAUUGCAGCGCGGAGAAGCACAGGUAGGCCGCGUACAGUGCAAUCAUGGAGGAAGGGAAGAUGGAGCCCUGGGGGGGGUGGGGGAAAUCAUACGCAAGACGUGCAAGAUGGGGUGGGUGGGGGGUGUAAGAGGGGGAAGAGGAACCACAGACGAGUGAUGGGUAUGAGGAGUGUGUGUGUGUGUAAGGGAAUUGUAUGCGUACGUAAGAUCAAUGAGACAGCUACCAACGGCGAGGGGAGGGGGAAGUUGGGCUUCAAUCAGGGAAGCGGGGGAAGAGAACGAGAGGGCAGAAAGACACAGGGGUUAGAGAAAUGGGACGAACUAGCACCGCGUCUUUAAAACACAACCCCCUCUUCCCCCCUCUUCUUCCCCCCUUCCCAAGCCCGCCGGGCCUAACUAACCCCUCUUCCUCCCUGUCAAAUCCUCUUUCACAGCAUGCAACAACACACGGCACAUGGCACAGAUGUCUGUAUAUGAUGUGUGAAACAGGGGGGUAUAUCUUCACCCUGCGGCAGCUACCCGGCGAAACCCUGCCUUCCCCGGUAUUUCGGGGCACCCUCAUCCAGUCACCCUAGUCAACUUUUCAGUGGAUCGCUCAGGUUCCGCACCCACCACCAGCAUCCAACGGAAUCUGCCGGAUCGACAGCGGCCCAACUCCAUUCCUGGUCGGCUCGCGAGUCACCUUUAUCCCAGGUCACCACCGUCCAUCGACUUGGGGCACUUAUACAUAUCACCAUCGGAAGGAUUUUCGACUCUUGACAGGUCUCGAUCCCGCGAUCUCCCGGGGGGCAAUGGUCCGUGCCUUACCAGUAGUGUCUAACCUGUAUAAUACCUAAUAGGUCUCUCUAUAUGUACAGCUCUCGCAAACGCAGACCUAAGCUUUCCCUUCCCCUCAAACCACACAUAGACACACUCGCACAUACAUACAAACACACGUACAUACAUUCUUACCCCCCGCGCCAGCGGCGCCAGCGACAGCACACUGAAUGUCACCACCAGCAGCAGGGUGAGGGUGAUGAGGGCGAUGUUUAGGGAGCAGGAACCCGCACCGGCCGGUUUGAACCAGUAGUACAUGAAGCCUGGGGUAGGGGGGAGGGGAGGGGGGGUUGGGGGGGUUGGGGUGCGGUAGGGGUUUGGACGGGAAGACACUGUAAUUGACGGACAAAGCUGCUGCGAAUAAAACCCUUUUAAACCCUAAUAUUUUCUUUAAUCGGAAAUAAAUUAUGCAUACGUUAUGCAAACAAGAAAUACGUGCAAAAACGACAAAAUGCCUAAUGCAACAGCAUACAUGAGAACAUACGCAUACACAUGCAGACAUUCAUACCUGCCAGCGUCAGUGUGCUGCCGUACCCCACGCACGUGAGGCCCAUGAGGCCGUACAGCCAGCGGUCGUCGUCCUCCCCGUUCGCCACCCAGCUGUCGUUCCAACCCUGACAGGGGACGGGUCGGACACGAAACAUACAGACACACAGACAAUUAGGCAAGCAAAGCAUAUUAUAAACUAGGGUAGUCAGUUUCUUCGAAGAAGCCGAAAAGGGCUCUCGGCCCCUCGGUGCAGCCAGUCACCCCGCAGUAUUCCGUACGGGAGGCUGUACGGCACUGGGCUGCAACUGAAGGUAGGCACACCAGCAUAUAGCACACCGUCACACAAGGGAGCAUGGCCUAACAUAACCGCUAAGCAAGGAAAAUCUCUUUUCCCAUAUCGCCGUACCGACCUGUACGAAGUCCAGCAAGAUGAUCAUCUGGAUGACCAGGAACACGCCCGAACCCACACGAGCCAUCCAGCCUGCGUUGGCAAUCAGGUGAAAGGUAAGGAGAGGAGGAGAGAGAGAGAGAGAGAGAGGUAGGACGGGAUGGGGGAUGGGAAAUUAAACCACUGGAUGAAUAAUAUAAACGUUAGAAUAUAUUCAUCCACGUGACAGCAAAGGACAAACAACCAAAUUAAAGCUAGGAUGAUAAUGAUGAUAUCGAUAAUUAUAACGUUGAUGAUGGCGGCGAUGAUGAUGAUGACGUCGUUUCCUUGGCGUUGUCUGAAACACAGACAAGCAGGUCAUGCGCCAUGUGACGUGAUGGACCUGGACCAGUUCAAAGUCCGGUUCUAAGUCCGGAGUUAAUGGGUUACGUCAGGGGUAGAUUAGGCGGCCAGCGCGCUGUUCAUAUGGGGGAGCAGGACGUUGGAAGAACGUGGCAGGAGGGGAGGAGGACGUUGUUGUGACUCACUGUAGGCGUUCAAGACCCCGUUGGGAAACAGGAAGGGCAGUGCGGUGAAGAGGAGCCACAGCGCCAGCUUCAGCAGAGGGUGUGCGUGGUGCAGAUAGCGAUCGCGCUUAUCGCCCCUGAACUUGACACCAAUCGUGGCCAGCGACAUGCAGGCGAAGAAGAGCUACGCGGGAGGAAGGUAGGAUGGUGUUUCAAGAGGGAUGGCCGUGGAAGGGGACUCAAACCCCUGACGACGGGCGUUGCCAAGGCCAGGAGGAUUACUUUCAUAAACAUAGCGCUCCAAGGAGUCCUUCAGGCAAGGAUAGCGUUCCAGGCAAAAAUUGGCUGAAGCAGGGUUUCCCAGGUAGACUACUCACAAAGUUGCCCAUGCUGACACGGUAUACUGCCUGCUGUCCAAACCAUUUGUCCAUGUCCACUGCCGUCACAUCCUUGACAAUCCCUGCGUUGUGGGUGGUUGGAAGCUGCGAUGUCGGAAAUCCUUCGCAGGGCCUCACAAACUAAAAGCCUGUAAUAUGUAGCGAAGCAAUACAAUGCAAGGCCUAAUACUAAUAGAGGUUCCUGAAAUUGUUGCGUGGGAGAGAAUCUCACAAGGAAUUUUCUGAAGGAUGGGAGUCGCAAAGUCACGUAGAAUCCAAGCUACGAUCAUAGCAAGGAAGAACAACACCGACCAGGCGACCCUUGCGCUGUGCCGCAGCACCUCAUGCGACGCGCACUGACAGGCGGUGCAUGCGGCAUAAGUCGCAAGCUGCGCAGCGCAGCUGCCCAAAUAUCCUCCAAGAAACAUUUAUCGUGAAAGCACCGUCAAGGAGCUCGGUACAGUUCUAUCCUCUCAUGGACAACCUAUGGUGGCAGAUGCUAUCGAAACAAACGAGUUUUUCGUAGCUUCCGCUAAAGUUUCAGUUGAAUAUGUACGUACUUACAACGCUCAGACAUCACCAUAAUAAAAUGUUGCGCUGCAAACUUGGAAUCCUGCCAGAGCUCAUACCGUUGUACGAUAAAAACUCAGUAAAUCACCUCCCAACACUACUGCCCACCUCCGCGGUCGACGGUCCUCGCUGCUCGCACGCAGUGGCCGUACCACAAUCCCACUUCUUUUGUGUCACCAUCUCCAGAGCUGUUCCCUCUUCAACAGUAGAAAAGUCAGCGGCUGACCCUGAUUACUCGAGGUCAUCCCUUAUACGAGCAAGCAGCCAUACUGUAAUUAUCAAGCUGCUGGUGGGCUAUGGCCUUGACAAGAGCGGCAUAGUGACAAGCUUUCGCGUGUCGACCUUCACAACCUCUUCGCAGCUCGGGGCAUCUGGUGAGAUUCCGGCAAUUCUGUAAUACGGGAGGCCUUAAAGCGCGUGGCGAGGUGUGGCCGAUGCCGCACAGCUCCACGCACUACCACUACUACGCACUCUCGCGCCACCACCGCUACCGCCAUCAUCAUCGUAAUAGACGCCAAGAGCUCGCCUGACACCGCAGCUCUUAAACCCAUCCCGAACCUGAACCCUUCAUAUGUACAAUACGAAGGUCCCGUAUCGACAAUCUACUUUCUCUUCAAUCUACAUGCACAAAAGAUGCUGUCGCCGCGGCACUGCUCUUCGCUUUCAUGGCUCCCAAACAAGUUCCGGUUCGCCCGCUUCCGCCGCCACUGCCGCAGCAGCAGCCAGCCCCAACACCGCGGUGUUACUGCCGCCGCCGCCGCCGCCGCCGCCGCUGGCAAGUGCUGGCGUCGCGCCCGCCGCCGCCACUUGGAACCCCGACGCGCGCCCAUGCUGAUCCGACACGUACCCCCCGUCGCCCAUCUCAAUCCCCCGCCGUACAGACCCCACCAUAAGGCCCGCAUGAAGCGCAGCCCCCAGCGCCACGGCCGUCUGCUCGUCCGUCCGUACGCGACGUCAUCGGGCCAAAUUCGCCAAAACCAAAACACAAAACCGAACCGAACACACACGCGCGGAGCACAGGCGGGUGAGGGAGAGAGGGAAGCACAAGGGGGGAGGGGGUGGGGAGUGUCGUGUUUGUGAGGGUUUGUCGGGUUUGCCUGGAUUGGGAAGGGAUCAGAUGGCCUACUAGCACAGCCGUGUAAUGCGCCGCGGGUAGGCAGUGAGAGAGGGUGCGACGGCGGGCGGGGGGGUGGAGGGGUAACCAUAUGCGCGAAAAAGUGAGGUGUGGACUGCCGGGUGUCCAUGAGGUCCGAACGAAACUGCCUAGGGAGUCCUAAAGGAGGAGGGGGUAUGGCAGCAGGAGGCAGGUAUGUAGGCAAGACAAACGUGAGGGGCCAGGGAGUCCGACAACAGGGGCAAGGAUACAGCUCUACCGACGGGGCCCUUCCCCGGUCUGGCCCCUCGGAGCCCUAAGUGUCCUAUUUAGGCUCAUGUUGCAGCUACAUCUUACACCUUCCUGGAACCUCUUACCUCCGGAUCCACACCCUCCCGUACAGACAGGCCAGUAACCUGAAGCAGCAAUGGCAGUAGCAGCACCAGUAGUAGCAGCAAAAACAGCAAUAGCAGCAGUAAUUUUGCACCGAUAGCACCAGUACUACCGAUGAUACGAGGGGGGAACGUGGACAGGGAGGGUUCCACACUAAAAGCCACAGGUCACGAGGGUGGUGGGAUCCGGAGCGUCAGACGCUCAGGUCCUAACCACGGUACGACACUAAAAAACACCGCACGGCGGGCCCCAGGCUGGCUAAGAGUGCUGCGGGGUCAGUGGCUCACCGCCACGGAUUCAUACCGAGGUUAUGGACUCCAUUAUAACAAAACGGUACCCCGGGGGCGACGGGGACUACAGACGCUGCUGAGUUUGGGGGUGCUCGGCGCGGGGGCGACAUAGAUAUACAGGUUUACCCACAUUGCUGUUGCUGUUGUUGCACCAAAGCGUGGUAGAAUAGGAGAUAGGAGUGCGCACGUCAACAGUGACAGGUGUGACACGUCCUACGUUCGAAUCAAGCAACAGCAGCUGCCCUAUUAACCUAAUAACCUACGGGGGAAGGCCCUUUUCCUUGGCGACGUCCUUGCCUAUUUAGGCUCCCAAAGGCCAGAGACCUCCAUCCCCCACAUUCUCCCAGCAAUCUACAAUUGCACGUGUGUACGGCAGCAUACCAAAGCAGCUACGCGUACAUAUAUACACACACACAGAGCGUCAUCUCUCCGCAUCCGUUUCGUACCUUGGUGAUGUAAUCCCGUACAACGGGCAACCGCGUUGCGGCGCCAACCAACACCAGACCGGUCAACCGCCGCGGCGGCGCGACGUACUUCGCCGCCGAAGCAGAAGCUGCUGUCGUACCACCGCCUCCGCCGCAGCCAUCGUGGUCACCAGCUGCUGCUGCCGCCGCCGCCGCCGCCGGCUGUGGCGGGAAGAUAGAGAACUCCCAUGCUGCUGCUCCCUCGCGACGCCCCGGGCCCUCCAAAUCCGGAGAGCUGCCGCUCGAGCCCGAACAGACACUGGAUCCAGAUUUAAACCCAGACUGGGAUCCAGAACCAGAUCCACACCCUCGUGGAUCCAGAUCCGGUGGAAGAUGGCCCCCCAGCUGAGUGCGUGUGGCCAGCGCCAGCUCCUCGAGGGGCCACCACAUUCGAUGGAGCAAGGGUCUGACACAUUUCGCCAUUUCCGUUAUUCAGUUUUUUCCGUUGAAAUUGAUUUCAACGGCCAACGGCCCCGUAACGGUACACACACACAGGAUCACAAGGACGGCAGACGGGAGGGUGGGAAUCAAUAUUACAUGCAAAGUGGAUGGAUGGGAUGAAAUAGAUGAGAUGGACGCAUGCACGUAGCGAAGAGGCAAAAGCAGAGGGGCUGGAUGGCUCAUUAGUCGUACGUAACAAGCGAAGGAGGACGGAGCAGAGGAGGACGGAGUCCCUGAGAGCAGGAGUGGAGGAGAACAAGGAGAAGAAGAGAAAGGAGGAGGAGAACAGUGUCUCUCCGAGGGGCCCCCCCUGGGCCCGGCACCAACCGCCGCGUGCUGCACCAUACUCAUCACCACUACCACCACCACCAUCAUCAUGGCCGCCUUACCCGCACCACCCCUUGACCCCGCCCCUCCCAAAGGGGCCGGUUACGAAGAGCGACGCAGAGAAUGGGGCUAGAAGAGGACGGGGUCUGCGUCCUCUUCUAGCAGACCUCUAGCGUCCUCUUCUGGCAGCCAGCCAGCCGGCCAGCCCGGUCCAUAUGCCGGCAUGCGAGCUUGCAAGCCAGGACCAGCUCCAUAUCUCAUAACCGAAAACAGUCCACCAGCCCGCGAACAGCGCACAACGGCCCGCAGGCAGUAACAACCGCCCAUCCCCCAAUGCAUGUGCGUGAGAGGGGGGGAAGGGGGGGUUGCAUGGUGGGUGCCCCUGCCCCGCCAGCCUGCCACUUUUGCCCCCACCUGCCCUACAUGCCCGCCUCUCUCCUAGCUCUGAACCACACAAACCCUAUAUCCCUUUUUUUCUUCUUCUCCCAAAUAAAUGAUAUACAAACAAAUAAACGGUCUUAACCACCAACUAACCUGACGAGCUCCUCAAACGUCUCCGCACUGAGUUCGGUCUCCGUCAGGCCCUCCUCCCGCUGCUGCUGCUCAUGACGGUGAUCAUCAUGACGGUGAUGACAGGUAGGCACCCCGACCUUAACAGACACGCAACUGCUGCUGCUACUGCUGCUGCUGCUACUGCUGCUGCUGCUACUGCUGCUGCUGCUACUGCUGCUACUGCUGCUGCUGCUACUGCUGCUGCUGCUACUGCUGCUGCUGCUACUGCUGCUACUGCUGCUGCUGCUACUGCUGCUGCUACUGCUACUAUCGCUUGCGCUGCGGCCGGUCGCAGCAGUGCUGCUGGCGCUGCUACUGCCGGCGCGAGUCGCAGCUAUGGCCUCGCUAAGAGCUAGCUUGGCUGCCUCCGCAGCACGAAGGAGGGCCAAAGAGGAGGUGGCGGAUGAGGUGAAGGCGGGGGUGGGGGUAAUGGAGGACGAGGACGAGGAUGCAACGGUGGUAGAGGAAGAGCAAGAGUCCGCAGUGGCGGUUAAGGAGUUGGUGAUGUUGUUAUUGCCAUGCAAAUGGGGUUGGGAUUCGGAUUGCUGUUGUUGUUGUUGUUGCUGUUGCUGUUGGUGGGGGUGGGGGUGCCCCCUCCCUUCCGUCUGCAUUGCCAGCCAGUCCGCCACGGCGGCGGUGAAGUCGUCGCCGCCAAGAAAGUUAUCACCCGACGUCGACAGAACCUGCGGUAGAGCGGUACGGCAAUGGUACGGCAUCACCACCGGCAGCAGCAGGAGGUACAAGAACAUGUGCGGCGGCGCGGGAGUUCCCUAUCCAACUCCAAACAAUGGGGUCCCCCUGAGCCGUAUACGGAGCCGUAUACGGAGCCGUAUACGGAGCUGUACCCAUUUCGUGGCCCGCUUUCUAUCCCUUCUCGUCCCUCUCAUUUCUUUUCCCGCACACCCUCUCUCCCUCUGCCUUUGUGACGGUCUCCUCGACUCGGCAGUCAAGGACUUGGACACGUAUUAUCGGCAGUUACCGAUUUCGGAUGCACGGCAAAGUUGGUGGAGUUUAGACACGUCCGCAAAGUUGAUGCUCCCUGGCGAGUGGUCGCAUCGACAUCUUAUGGAAGCUGUCAUUGUGCUGUGCACGCGUGCACAUAAAACACACUCUCCCUCCAUUUCCCAGGGCUCCAUUCCCCCGCCCCUACCCACCUCCAUGAUACCCUCAAACGCCUCCACCACUGUCAGAUCCAGCGUACCGCCACCUAAAUCGUACACCAAAAGUACAUCGUACGGCACUUGCGGCGAGCCGAAGCCGUACGCCAUGGCCGCAGCGAUGGGCUCUGCGUGCGGGUGUGUGGGGCACGGAGCAGGCAACCGCGGCCAGGGGAAGCGGGCGGGUGUAGGGCUUGAGAGGACGGGAAGAUGAAAACACGCACAUACAUACAUAUAUACAUACAUACAUACAUACGCGUGGUAAUGUCGACCCAACUUAACACACGUACCCGCAGCUUCCCUCUGCAGCUGUCGUUCUCUCCUGCACUUGACUUUGCAUUACCGGUUACCCCACCGGUUAUUCCCACCGUCCUCUCUCCCUUACACACCUCCCCACACACAACACCUCCCUCACCUCACCCUGCAGGAGGCUCACACGCUGCAAGCCCGCGGCCCGGGCCGCCUCCGAAACCGCUCGCCGCUGAGUCGGGCCGAAGUGCGCCGGUACGGUAAUGACGGCAUCCAGAACCUAAUGAAGGAGGACGAUCAAGGAGGACGAGCAACGAGGUCGAAGAUCAAGGGGGGAAAUCACACUUAAGAUAAAGUGGUAAGAUAAAUGGCUUGAACCUAUUUGAAAUUUGGGCUCUGUUAUUGUUUUUACAAAAAUAAAGGAUGUAUUUUCUCUGUAAGUCGAAUAAAUAUGAAUAAGCCAACUAAAUAUGAUGAUGAUGAUGGUGAUGACGAUGACGGUGAUGUGAGAAACGAAGGGGGAUUGACCACCAACUGACGUCCGAAACCGCAGGCCUCUCCUUUAGGAAGAAAUGGCCUGCCGAGUUGGAUGACAGAUGCCAAAAGCAAACACUCGAACGGGGGAAAAGAUAACUGCCGACAACCCAAAGAAAGGGGGGAGGGCGUACGUCACCCUACAGGAAGGAAAAGCGGCGGAGCGAGGACUGUUGUAACGGAAGAUACACAUACACACACGGCGAAACUUUAAUUAGAAACAUACAUACGUACGUACGUCAAAAGACAUACACACCUACCUCCACAGUGCUGACACACCGCCGAUCCCCCCCUCCGCCUCCCCCCGCUGUCCCAGUCGCCACCCCACCCUCCCCCAGCUCCUCCCCCAGCUGCUGCUGUUGUCGUACAAUUUGUCGUUCCAGAAAGGUGCGUGCCCGCGACACGAGAUGACGCAGCAAGUGGGAGCUGAUCUGUGUGUAUGGGUGGGGGGGGAUGGAGGUUAGGUUGGGUUGGGGGUGGGGUGGGGGGAAAGACGAACCACGAACGAGUGAAGCUGCUGCCAAGGAAAGAGUCUACAAUAAGUGGGUUGUGGGGAAGUUUGGAAAAAUGUGCGUGCGUGUAUGGGGUGUAUGGGGUGGGGAAAACACAGCCCCCCUUGGUCGCCUCCAGGGAGAGACACGCCCCGCCUGGAGCUGUGCUCCUGGGGCCCCCCCGGGGGCAGGAAGCUCCCUGGAGCGUCCAGCUCGCAUGUAAGCUGCUACAGACCUAUGGACGAUAAAAGUUUUACGUACGUUUUUGUCUCCCCCCUUCCCCCUCCCCCUCCCGCACCGUCGGCAGUUGCUUCAUCGACCUUUCGACAACCAUACAAGAAGUUUUCAGACGAAGAAACCCACCCACCCACCCCAUGCGAUGAAUGUGGUGGGCAUGGGGUAGGGGCUACUACUCCAGGGAGGUUAGGAAGGGAGGGGAAUGACACUUUGCGCGAACGAGGUGGUAUCAUCACCUCUGCCAAAACGACCACAGACAACCCCCCAAUCGUCUCAACAAGCAAAGCAUGGCAUGACAUGAGGUGAGAUGAUAUGACUUGACAGAAAAGAACAGUAAUAAAACCUUACAUCUCACCUCCUGUAGUGUCAGGUCACGACCAAAUGCCGGACAGGACACCUGCACACAGCCGUCAGGUCCCUCAACAAGAGAGUAGCUCCGAAACCGGCGCUGCCGCUGCCGCUGCUGAUCAUAACCCGCUAAAACCUCAUCCUCCCGCGAAAGCCUCGGCUCCCCCGGCGUCAUGCUGGAGGUCGGAGGCCGCGACGACGGUAUGUACGGCGACUGCUCGUCCCGCUCCUGUACGACUUCCCUGUGCAGGAAGAGUAUGAGGAGGAAGGGGGGGAAAGGGGAUUCGAUCCCCCCAUGAAUAUGCGGCCCAUGCACAUCCGGAGGCCCCCCUCCCUGCACGCUCAGCUCCCCAGCCUCCCUCUCUAGCUAAAAGAAACCCACCACUAACCCAACCCUACGGUGUUUUUCCUUUCACCGUGGAUUCCUAACCGUUGCUGGUAACUACCCAACCGGACAACCCCCGCGUGUCGCCGUACACAUCCGCGCCUAAGCCUCUACUCGGUCCGCUGUCCGUACACACAGCGCCGCUUAUACCUGUACGUACGGCCCAUUAGCCGUUUGAUGCCGUAAAAUGCGUUGGCGGGAUCCGAUUCUGCUGCUGCGGCGGCCUCCUCCCCCACCAGUACGGAACCGUCCUGUUUGUGUUCGUUUGUAUGUAUGUAUGCAUGCAUGUGUGGGGGGUGUUGGGGAUUAGGAUUUUACUUGUUGGAAGGGGCGAGUGCCGCGGGCGGUCAAGGUGGGCUCGCAGGAUGCAUAGCCGUGGCUAAAAGGCGAGUGCUUAGGAAGAAAAAGGCGCCAACCCCCAAAAAGGGGGUGAAGGAAUUCGGCCUUUCUUUUUCUGUCCACGGCGGAGCGGCAAACGUACGUAUUGUUAUUGUUGUUACAGAGUGGGAGGGUUCUGGGCCACUUGAACACAUGUACACACGUACUUGAAUAAAUGUACGUAUGGGGUAGAAGGGUCGGGAUCGGGAUUGGGAUCGGGCGGGUGAUGGUGUGGGGCUAUGUUUCCUAUGUCACCGCAAAACCCACCUGCCGUACAAACACAACGGACGGUAUCACGGCACGCCCCUUCUCGUCCUCCACCACCAUCGGCCUGAAACAAGAGUGAGGUAAGUAUAAUACCAGGCAAAAAGUACUCAGGGAGAUGCCAAGGGAGCUGAACCCUUCCUACAGUAAGUGUGCGGGUAAGACGUGAAGCAGGGACGGGGGGGAGGGAAAUCACCAUAGACGUGCGCAACAUGCAAGUAAAAACAGUUAAAUGCCGAUGGAGGAGGACAGGACGGGGGGAGGAGAAGCACGCAGGGGGCCAGCAGAGGUAAGACGAGCAAAGAAGACAAAUUAAAACAAAGUAUUAAUCAACAGACUGGUGGCGAGGUCGCAAAGGUGGAUGUGGGUAUGUGUUGGCAAAAUGAGAAUUUUCUAAAAGAGCGAACCCUGACAAGUGUGAUAAAACACGAGAACGAUUUGAAACCUGGAUUUGAACUGAGUACAGAGAUGAAAUUCGCGAGUGAAUGCCUAGUACAACACCACCACAGGAGCUAAUUUUGGCUUUCAGACCCCCGCGGUGGUGGGGCCACAACUCGGCGCCAUGUUUUCCUUCGCUCACCCACCCCUGCCAUGCCCUCCUAAACGUUUUUUCGUUCGCAGGUCAUUCUUAAACGCGCGGAACGCACCUGCCGUCAGGCCCCGCCACUGCUAUCGCGCUGGUGGUGGUACCCAGGUCGAUUCCCACGGCCGCCUGCAAAAAAACAAAAAAAACAUUUCGCCAAAAAGGAAAGGUUGAAAUGCCGGCAGGCACAAAACAAAACCGGGUGUAUAGGAAUUUCGUUGACGGGGAUCCCAACACGUGUAGCAAAAAAAGGCUAGAACCCCAAAAAGGCAAGAAUCCAACUGACAAAGUACGGCGUCAACAACUGCCGAAGUAUUACUCGUAGCUGAAAUGCAUUGCUGCGUGGCGUUGCAGCUGCUGCUGCUGCUGCUGUUGCUGGUUUCGCCAAGAUGUUCUGUAAUCUUUGUAAUCGCAGUCACAGUUACCGUCUGCCAUCAUCACAUCUUAACCUCGUCCUUCGUUGAUUCGUUCGUUCGUUUCCGCAGGCUCGUGCAGAUGCCCAGGGCGGGCCCAGAAUGACCUUUAGGAGGUCCGGAAGACACAGACCCGGAAGAGCAUCGCGACGACAAGUAACAGUUUCAGGAGGGCUCAUGAUGUCACACACGUGAAACAUGCGAAGUAACCCGUAAGACGCCAAAGCCAAACACGCCAAGUCCCCAGUAGAAAAGAGACUUCUACGGAAUCAGCUGUAUGCAGUUAGCAGGGCUGCAUGGCUGGUAAUUUUUAUUGAAGGCGAUGGGGAAAAGCAGCUGAAGCGCCUCACCCUGAUAGCGUUUGCACCUCUGGCACCGUUGCUACUGCUGCUGUUGUCGCUCGAAUCCCUACUGCCAUCGGCUUUAUUGCUAUUGGUGCGGCUAAUGCCGGCAGAUGAAAACGGGAGCCGCUUCUUCCUUCCGCCCCCUUGUUGGACUUGGCAUUGCCCGAUGCGAAGGGGGCGUGAAGAAGGGCAACAGAGACCAUCCCAAGGAGAUGUUGUACUGAGCGAGCGUCGCCAGCCAGCGGGAACUUGUAUGCUUGCACGCAACGCACGCAUGCUGCCUUGGCAAGCGAAGUUAAGAGCCGCCGCUGGGAACACGGGCAACUCGCACGUCGGCGCGUGGAGUAAGUUGCAAGUAGAAAAGCGCCUAUGGGCUCACGAACAUCGCGUUAGCCACAUGAACUCGUACUCCUUCCGUUGCUUAUUACGCUGCAAAGGUUAAGGCAACGGAGAAGGAACGGCAGAUAGACAGUGUUGUCGCCGCGACUGCGAGGCGAUGUUGUAGUUUCUCCUGCUCCAGGUACAGAACGGAUUUGUAAUCAAUGGUCAACCCUAAGCGGACCAACUUGCCAGCCAAGCUAUGCGCCGUGCGCUUUUCUAACUUCUUGUACGGUGCUUCGCCGUUCUUGAUGGACGUGAAAGGCAGUACCGGCAGGGCAGGAAAACGCAUACAUGUGGAGUACUAGUCGUAGAUCUAUCUUGCCAUUUGAUCAAGUCAGCUUUACGUCAGCAUUUUCAAAGUCCCACUUGGCACUCGUUCUGUAAUCUUUAAACAAUUUUAGGAGAAUCGCCGAAAGAUAUAUAAUUGUAGUCCUGAGGAGAUGGCACCCGUGCCCGGUUCUGUUGUCACUGACGAUCCGCAGUGGCUCGCCAUCGCUGUGGCAGGGCUGACCGUGGCCCUGGUCGUCUACACCUACGUCGUCAUCAAGCCGGCCCUGCGGACGUUCGCAUGAACCCCGCAUGGCAAACGGCCCCGGGCUUAGCUGGGGCACCGGGGUCGCCGAAGCACGGCACCCGGAGCUGACCGCCGAUGCCUCAGGGACAACGGCAGGUGGAACGGCCUGCCAGACAGAUAACAACAUACAUAUUUCUGAAAAAUCAGAAUCGGGGCCUGCUGUUGUUUCAACGCUUCGAGGAGCUUCUCCCGGCGGGGUAAUUUUGCGCGCUUGUGGCGUUGACACAGGCUACGGUGGGUCAGCAUCUUUCGAACCUAACGCCAUGAAGGAAAACGGGACUUCCCAUGGAAAGGGUACUGACAGCCCAAGCGGAAGGGAGUUCGAAGGAAGAGCAUUAACAGCAUCGACAGCCCCUUCGGCACCAGCACCCGCGAUAGCGUCCUCGCCGCCUGGCAGUACAUCCCUGGGCCACCAGACCCACCAAAGCCCAGGUCCAUUAGCUAUGGAUCCACUCAUCCCUUCUAAUCUUAGCACCGGAGAACGCAGCGGCGUCAGCAAUGGGUUGCGGCGGGGCGCAGCAGGCAGCAGUGACGCAGGUAGUGGCAGCACCGAGGCCCUUGGCACCCAAGCUCGCAGCUGCAGAAACAGCGCACCGGGGGGCAUUGAUAACAAGUUCAGCGGUGGAGACGGAUCUGGGAUCGUAACUCCAGGGCUGGAGAGGAGUGCUGGCGGCGGUGGAGGCGCCAAGUCUAGCGGAAGCGGCGCCACGGUCCCGGCGGGCGCUGCAGGUGGUGCUGGCGGUGGUGGAGGUGCUGGCGGCUCGUCGUUGUUUUCCUUUGGGCCAACCAGCUCGAUGCUGGAGCACGUGUCGCGCGAGGUACGUGGGACGACGACCAGCAUAUGCUAGCUUGCGGAAUGCUAGCCGUCGACAAGCUACAACAUUAUUGGUGUGCCUCGAGCAUGAACGUGAGGGCGGGCAGGUUGCAGUUGGGAUGUGGAUGUGGGGGAAAGACGAACCACAAAUGAGUGAAGCUGCUGUCACCGAGUGAAGCUGCUGCCAGGGCAAGAGUGUACCAGACGUAGAACUGACCGAAAGUGGUAUGUGGGGGAUGUGGGUCGCGCCACCGGGCCGUGCCUAGGGAGCAUGACACCUCAGGAGGUCUGAGUCACGUGAUCUGGGUCACGGCAUGCAGCAUGCGGCAAUCAGAUUUCGGAAAAAAAUCGAGAUGUCCCGUAGAAGACGACGACGAAGAAGAGACACAGCAAACGUCCUCCAUGGAUUCCGCCCCGGGUCGAGCACACCUCUACAGCUACAAUGCUUCCAUACAUAUACUACUUCCUUGCUGCAACGGAAACGGAAGGGGGAGUGCUGUCCUCGUUACCGAACUUGUAAACCGUGUGCAAUAGUGUGUGUGUGCGCUGUGGUGAAAGCAUCACACCAGGAAGGCGAAUGUAUUUUCGCCUGCAUUGUGCCCGUUUUUAGGGAGAGGUAUGCAUAACACGCAUGGUUCGCCCAGUUGGAAAGGUGAGAUUUUUCGUGCCGGGGAUCAGCAAUGUGCCCCCGGAAUGAGCACAGCCCAGUCCAGAGCCCAGCCCAGCCCAGUCCCCAGACCGCUUCUGCGUUCCCCACGCGCUGUUGAUGUUGCUGCUGCUGCCGCCGCCGCCGCUGUUGAUGUUGAUGUUGAUGCUGCGGCUGCUGUAGGUCAUUCGGAAGCUCCGCCUGGCGGCCAGCGCGGGCAGCAUGGAGGACCGCCACGUGGUAGGGACCAGCAGGGCGCGAGGCCAGCAGGGGCGGGGGGGCGGACGCUGUGUGUGUUUUGGGGGGAGGGAGGCGGGAAGGGGGGGUUGACGCGGGACGCCGUAUAUGCAUUGGUGGCCUGUCGGUGCCAGGUAUUUAAAGCGCGUGCUUGAUGUUGUAAGGGCAGUAUAUAUGUAUGUAUGUUGUUACAGGGUGGUAUAGCUUCACCAGCGGCCCCCUUUCCCUUGGAGGCAGUUCCCUGCUCUCCCCUGCUAGAGGGGCACCCUAAUCCGUCACCCCAUCCGACUUCAGAAUGUAUUCGUUGGGUUCAGCAACUCACCACCAGCAUCCAACCAAGUCUAGCGGAUCAACGGCGCCUCAACUUAGUUCCUGGUCAUAUGUGUGUAUGUGUGUGUAGUAAUGGGAUUUUUCCCGAUUCGCUCGUUUGCAGUGGGUGUGAGGGUGGGGGCCGUUUCGGGGGAUGCAAAAGUGUGUGUGUAUAUGUAUGUAUGUAUGUAUGUAUGUAUGCAUGUAUGUAUGUAUGUAUGUAUGUAUGUGGGGGUGGGGAAGAGGUUUGCAACUUCGGACGGAUAUGAUCCACACCCCUGACCUGACCUGGCCUGGCCACACCCCAAAGAGCCCAGAGUCUGCUCAUAAAUAAUAUAGCAUGCCUCCCCUCUCCAUGACACUGUGAUGUCUGGUCUAUGACUCCUAUACUAUUACACAAUAACACAAUGGUGGACUUGCUGGUGUUGUUGGAGAAAGAAGUUGAUGGAAUUGUGGCCUCAGUUUCCAUUCGCUCCCGGUUGUGGUCUUGAUUGUGGCCUGUUUUUAUUAAUAUGGCACAACCUCGGUUCUUGCUGUCGUUAUUCGUUAGUGUUGUUUCCUACUUAGGGUGCUUCCCCGUGUUCUGUUCUCACCAACCAAUAGGUGUGUGAGGAGCUCUUCGCGGACAUCACAUGCGCUCUGGAUGCCUCGGCCCAGGCUGCGUUGCUGGGUCCGCCCGGGGUGGAGGCAGGGGCCGCGGUGGAGGCGGCAGUGGAAUGUAGCGGUGGCGGCGGUGACGGCGAUGCUGUGCCCCCCACUGCCUGUGGAGCCGCACACGGCCCCGGGCGCCGGGCUCGUGUGCGGGGCAGGUUGUACUACGAAGUGAGUUGCGGGACCCGGCAGCAGCUGAGUGACAAGCUACAUGGGUGGCUGCUUGGUUGGUUAGGUGGCUGCUGGCUGGCCGGCUGUGUAAUUAUGGGGGUGUUUUUCUCGGUGGCGUGUUAUGUACUGGGUUGGGGUAAGCGGACAUGGGAGUGGGGCUGGCGGUGUUGCGAUUGGACGUGGCCUUCCCUUCUUCCUUUUCCAUUACUGCAAUAUCGAAGGGAAGGAAAGGAAGGAAGGAGGAAGGGAUGGAGGGAUGGAUCGAGCGGAAGAAGGCCAUGGGUUUGAGGCAGGGGGUUAUUUCUGAGUUGAAGUAGGGGGGUUUGCGCAGGUAGGCAGGGAGGUCGGUAUUGCUCAGCUGAUGGGGUUGGUUUCGGAGCUUCUGGAAGGGAAGGGCCCCUGGAGGUGAGGUGGGGCUCCUGAUGUACUUUCCUCCAAGCGUGGACCAGAGGGUUCUAUUUUGUUCUAUUUCUAAGAACGUUCGAGCCUUAAAGCAAACAUAUUUACCACAGCCACGUAACUACUAUUAUAAUAAUUGGUGAAUUAUGACUAACAAUUCUUCCUUGGCGGCGUGUAACCCCGCCCUCCCACCGGAGGGUUCAGGUGUUUAUAGCGACACUGCUCUCCUUAUAUCCCCCCCCCUUUCCCGGCCACGUCCCAACGUUUCAAACUGCGCCCCGCGCACCGCUCAGGUCCUGGCUGUGUACUACGCCUCGCGGGCCGCGGCCGACUCGGCACGUGCGCUGAUGCACCUGUGUCAGCUGCUGUGGGACACACCCUGGGUGGCGCCAAUAUACGCCUUGCUGCUGCACAGGUGCGGAAUGUAGCCGCCCCCGAGGUGUGGACGGGGGCGGGGGCGGGGGCUUGUAAAAACAAAUCUCCCUUGGGGGGGAAGCCGGGGGGUUGGGUGGGUUGCACCAGAGCCCGCGGGACGUCUGCCGGGCCGCGGAUGGAGAAGGUGUAAAUGUAAAUCAUAUUGUGGUGAUGCAAGACGAUGCACAGGUUUACCUGUGCCGCUGACCUACAGGCCGUCCAACGCAUAUAUCAGAUUACCUGUCGGUGUCGGAGGACGGGGGACAUGGGGGAGGGUAGGGGGCAGACUGCGGCACCGGACGGGGCGCGGCGUUUGUUCCCUUUGGUUAGCCGCCUCUGGUGACGGUUGGCAAGAAGCUGCGGCCCAGUCCAGUUCGGUCCGGUCCGGUCCGGUCCCGGCUUUUUCGUCCAUCGUGCAUCAAAGCUGACGCAUCAAAGUCCGUGAUUAGCAGUCGGGUCCUUCGGGGUUUCGUGAGCACGUGCUGUGUGCGUGUUGUACAUACGUGGGAUGGCGGGAGAGGGAAGCGGUGGUGGGUGGGUUGGAAAGAUGAACCAUACACGAGUGAUGCUGAUACCAUUAUUAUUAUUAUUAUUAUUAUUAUUAUUAUUAUUAUAUUAUUUGUGUGUGCUGUGUAUGUGAUCCAGGUUCCUUCUGCUGCCUCGGGACACCGCCAUGGCCUCCUCCCCAACCGCCGCCGCGACGGCGGCAACGGCGGCUGGCCUUACCGCUGCUCCGGCCGCAGUCGCGGGUAGUAGCGGCAGCAAGACGUCGUACGGCAUGUCGUACUCGGAUCCACGUGUCAAGCACCUCAAUGUGCUCGCGCACGGCGCAAGGCAGUUGCUGCUCGGCGACGUGCUAUCGGGGUUAUCUAGGUUCCAACCGCUGUGGGCAUUUUUGGCGUUUGAGGUGGCCGGCUUGGCAAUCCAGCCGGUGGCGGCUGAAGGGGCUGGCGGCGGCGGCGGCGGGUCCCCCGCCGCCGCCGACGAAGUUGCCGGCUUUGCGCCGCCGACGGCGGCGUUGCCGCCGGUGACGACGAUCGACGCCGUGCCGGUGACGGCGCGGCCAUGGCUGUUGGCGGUGGCAGCGGCGUUUCUGCCGUACUAUUGCCUGGACGAGCAGGUUUCAGAGCUGGCGCGGCGGUUCCCGCCGCCGGUGCCGCUGGAAGGAGCUGGCUCGAUGUUUCAGACGGGUUUUGGUGCGGCUGCCGGUGGCAGUGGCAGUGGCAGCAUCAACGGGGGCGGCACGGCAGCGUCGUCGUCACUGGCAGGGCUGGAUUUCUUGGUGGUAGAGGUGACGGACGUGCUGGGCCAAAUAAACAGCGAGGUGGGUGGUUGCAGUACAGGGAAGAUCGGUGCCAAGAUAGGACACCAUUUAACCAAAAGCUGAGUAGGAGAUUUUACAAUGGUACAAUUUGGUAAUUGUGUGUCUUGCAAAGCACGAAUCCACGGUAACCCUACAAAUGUCCAUACAUACAUACGUACGUACAUACGUACGUACGUACCAGGCGGGCCUGCUGAAGUACCUCCGAGCUCUACGAGCCCUCGCGCGGCCGCCGCCGCCGCAGUCAGCGCCACAAGUACGGCAACAGGGCGUCCAGGCAGCAGCAUCAGCAGUGACAGAAGCAGCAUUGCCACCAGGGCAUGUUGGCGAGGUCGCGGCGGCAGCGGCGGCGGCGGCACCGACUGCACCAAUGGAUGCAGCAGCAGCAGUAGCAGCACAGGCGGGCAGCCGCGGCAGCAAAGGCGCCUCUCGUAAAGCUGUUGCCGGCGCCGCCAAGCAUCGUAGGACGCCGCCGCCGCCACCUCCACCGCUGGCUGGGCUGCCUACCAUUACCAAGCUGCGAUUGCAGGUCGGUGAUAAGAAAAAAGAGGGUCCCUAGGGUUCCUAGGCUGCGCAGCGAGGGUGGCAGCAGUGGCGAUCAUGGACCCGCCGUGGCUGGGGGGGGGACGGAUGUUCCACAUUGGGCGAGGUCAAUGCGUGGUGGCGGCGGUACGGGGUUUUUGUGGGAGAUCUGCCCUCUGGUAAGGCCCUGAAGGAAGGGGCCCAGCAGGUGGUUCCGGAGCGGAUUUUGGAGGUGCCGCUCUUGUCAAUGAUGUUUGGAUGGUAGGACUUUCAACUGGUGGUGGAAGCGGGAGCAGGGGCCGCAUGCUAUCCUACUCGCUCGUCGCAGGGUCCUACUGUUCGACGACGCCACGGGAACCGUGAAUUAUUGGGAGCUGCGAUUUACCACACCACGGCUGGGAACAGCCUGAUUUGCUUUCCUACCCACCCACCCACCCACUCACCUACCCACUCACCCACUCACCUACCUGCCUGGAUUGCACUCCUCCACACGACAAGCUGCUGCUCUGCUACGCUCCUGCUGCUGUUACUCGGUGCGUGUAUGUGUGUGUGUGUCUGUAUGUCUCUGCAGAGCGAGCUGUACUCCCUGACUUCUGGCGGCGGUCCCCGCUACGCUCCCCCCGAGGUCCGGCGAGCGGCCUUUUCCGCUCUUGAUGCGCUGUUUCCCGGGGGCAGAUCGCUGCGCUGGUUUGUAAGGUACACGUGCAUCUCUUUGCGGCGGGAGGCACGGAUGUGCAUCUCUUCGGGCUGGCUGCAUGAUUAUAGCUAUUAUGGUUACAUAUGGUCCCCGAGGCCCCCGAGCCCUUUAGACUUUAGGCUCAACAAAAACACAGACAGGCAACAGACAAGCAGAGGGACGGAGGUUGCCCGGGGCUCCUACAUCAUUCAUUGUCUUCCAUGGCGCCCGCCGCCCUGGUGUUGGUGUUGGUGUACAAUGGUGAACGAGGAAGCAAGUCAUACAGCGGCUGCCUGAAGGCGCACAUAUCAGGGUUUGCUUAAUGGCCCCGACAUAUCGAGGGGCAACCCAUGGUGGAGUAGCAUCAACAGCGCAGGUGUUCACCGCGUAGCAGCAGUGCUGCCGCAGGAAAAACAGAAGUGCUGCCACCGAAACGUUGGAGCCUCAGAAGCCGGUUCUGGAGUAUCGUACAUUCACUUCUAAACUACAGAACAAAAAAUAUUCUUUAUAGGAUACAUUAUCACCGGAAUCAACUGUCACAUGGAGCCUGCCUUGACUGCUACUUUAUACCUCCCCCGCUGGAAAAGUCACGACCACAAUCUUGAUGACUUUUAAUUCGUAUGUAAUUGGGAAUUUUCGUCGUCCCGGCCAGGUGGGCCUCCCGGACGUUGCAUUUGGAGUGGCUGGAGGGCGACAGCGGCGGCUCCGAUGACCCGUGGGCGAGUCGGGGCUGGCUGGGUUGGAUCUACUGGCCCAUACACUGGUAUACGGCACUGUACGGCAAGAUCCUUCUGGCGACGUUUCAGCUCAUUUACGGCAUCGUCGUGUGGCGCCCGAUGCGGCGUGCUGCGGCGCCAGAGGUGGCGGGCGGCGUGGCCGGCACAGGCAGCGGUGGCGCCAUCACACCCGUGAGUGGCAGCCGUGCUGGCGACGGCGGCAGCGGUGGCGGCGUCCCAGCGGCGGUAACCUCCGGAGGUGUUUCGGGAAGGGGUGUUUCCUGCAGCAGCAGUAAUAGCGCCGCCGCCGCCGCCGCCGCUGCUGCUGCUGCUGCUGCUGCUGCUGCUGCGGCCGUUGCAGGGGGCAAGAGCGGCGGUCGGGGUGAGGAAGCCGGAGUUACAGAGGUGUCUGGUGGGGUGGAUGACCGUGCUAAAGCAGGAGGGGGGCCCUGGUGGCAACCGCGUUUUCGAGCCCAUCAUCAGGGUUAGGGUUUUAAGGUAGCGCGCGGAGCAGCCGCGCCUUCCAGCAGGUGGCUUCCAGGGGCGAUGAAAACUGGGACGGUGGCAGGCGGACAGGGCCAUGCGCUCGCUCCUCUCGGGCGAGGCGCCGGCGCCCUGACGGCCGCGGCCAUAUGCAUGGGCUGGGCUGUGUAGACGGUUCAGCCGUGCAUGGCCGGCGCGAAGGACGAUUUCGCAAAAAAAAAUAAAAUAAAAUUGAACGUACUAGCAAGGAUAGCUGGCAGGGCUACGUGGUAUGGCUCCUUAUCACACGUCACAUUUGGAUGGCCGGGUUGUUUUGUUUGGUGAGUUUGCGGUCGGGGCUAGUACGUGUGCAUGUGUGGGUUGGGAUGGGGGUGGAGCGCUGCGGAGAGGCACCGCUGCGAUGGGCGUCAUGGCCUGAUAGGGACAUCUUGGUCUGGUCGGAAGAUCAUUUAAGGAGUCGGAAGCACUGCCGGGAUGGGAGUUUAGGACUUCAAAAUGUUUCCGGACUCGAUGUUUUCCAGGAGCAGGCCAGGGCAGGGAAUGGAUACCAGCGGUGUAGCAGCAGUAAUACUCCCUGGGGUCAGGUUAGGAAGGGACAGAGAGAGCGAAGUAGCCAGAGACCAGGGGAGCCAGAGUAGCCAGAGACUGGCAGCGUGUAGCAAAGCGUAUGUAGGGGCAAUGCGGUAGGCCGCAGACAGCGCGUUGGUGUGGGAAUGGGAACAAGCAGGAAGCGCGUGCUCGUGCGCUGUAGUUUGAUAUUAAGAAAAGACCUUUCUUUAAAGGUCUUCGAUGGUAAAAAUAACCGAUGGGGGGGGAAGGGUGUUGAGGGAGCUCUUUUCCACGAGUAGUCAGUCCUGUAACGAGCGCCUCUGAAUCAAAGCGCCUGCAUGCUUCUGCGGAUGGGGGAACAUGCGCGUGCAGUUCUCCCUACAUGCCGUACUGGCAAGCCAGGGGGGGUUUGUCGUCACUAUCCAGAUGUGAUUUAAUCGUGCUUGCGCAAAUAUUCUAAAAUUUUAUCCUUACCCGUAAAUCUUAUGGCUCGUCCACAACCAACUCCUUGCUUUGAUGAGUAAUCCCCCUCCUCUUUAUAACGCUUAACCCAAUCACGUACUGAUUCAUAGCAAAUCCCAAAUAACUUGGAUAAUUGAUUACGUUUUAAAAACAACUAAAAGAGGUUGUUACGAAAAUAAAAAAACAAACUAUUGCUACAGUUGAUGCUAAUAAUAAACAACAACCUUUCUCUGUAUCUAGUGUUUCUGGCUCUUUUUCAAAUAAAGCUAAAAUGCAAAAUUUAAUUAGAGCUAAAAUAAAACAAAAAAACGCUAACACAAAAAGUCGUAAAUAAAUUUAUUAAUCUUGUUGAUAAGAAUCAAGCAAUAAGAAAUCCAAUUGUGUUAAUGUAAUGAUCUCAAAAGACAGUACACCCGAAGCAAGAACCGUGUAAUGCGUUGGAUCCACGCCACAAGAAACUAUAAACUAUGCACCACUAUGAUGACAGGUGACCGCGUCAACUCUGCGUUACGGUGCGAACCAUGACGUUAGGUGCUAAUGAGGAUGCAUUUUGUGUGUGUGGUUGUUACAGUGGGCUCCAGACUCCCGAAGAGUAGAGCCAUCGGGCCAGCUGGCCGUGCACUGCAGUAGAGACUAAUAUACCAAAAGAUUAUCACCUCAGAUAAUUAACCUCUCAUCGGUAACCGCUCUCGCGAGCACAGCAAUUUGCCAGAUAUAAUUCUCAAGAAGGGGUGAUGUGCGCCAACGGAAUCCCAACCUUUCCGUGGAAUUCCCAAAGCUGCGAAACCCUGAAUGCGGCCCCAAAAGUCAACAAUAACUCGACAAAUUGCUUCUUCCGUAAGGGAAGGGCCAGGUAUCAAUGCCGGGUUAGUUUUCAUGUUUGCAGCCAUAUAACGUCUCCCAUGCUCCAUGGCUGACACCGCAGCAAGAGCCACAACAUCCCAAACACAUUGUUGCACUGAUUGUGGGGCUUGGAUAAGCCAAAGUUGCUCCCUUGAGACUGGCACUCCUAUUGAAAGAGUAAGUUGAUCUGCUACUGCCUGUGCCACCGGACAGGCCCAGAAAUGAUGAUAUCGAGGGGAUACACCUCCCACUGAACCUAUUGGAUAACAACCACAUAUCGUUGGGCGCGACAUCCUAAGAUGGGAAUUUCCUAGCAUAGGCACCCCAUCAACCGCGAGACGCCACCAAACCUCUUUUUGUUCAUUUUCCCACCGUAAAUGAAACCAUAAACGAUGGAAUGUCCGUUGCAAAAGAAGAAUAGCUUCAUCCAAUAUCUCAGAAGAACCCGUCGCCUCUUUGAUGAAAAGGGUAUGGGCCACACGGCGAGCCAUCGAAAAAGGUGAAAGUUGCAUAUUAGUCGCUAUUUUAACGGAUAAAUGUUGGAAUCGGAUUGGAGGCCCUACACCCCAUCUCCAACCAAGCCUCGACACUAGGGUUUGGGUAACCGACUCAAUAGGGGGCACCAUCGCUUCCCUAGAUUCUACACUCAGCGGCAACAAAAGACUAGCCGCCUGUCUCCAAUUCGCUGGAAUAUCAUCUAGAAGAGCGCCAAUAGCAUCCAUACAUUCCUGCCAUUUACGAUAGGUGCACAGGGAUUUAGCUAGUGGGGUUUGCGGUUGGAGGUAUUGAUCCACUAUUUGAUGCCAAGCCUUGCGUAUUGCUAGGCCUGCUUGGUCCGUUGCAUUCAUAACUCCAUCCAAGGCCUCGCGCGCGCAAAGAACAUCCCCCAACGUAUGCAAUGCUUUACAGCCCAAGAGGGCUUGAUGUCGAAAUUCUAGUCCCGGGCGGAUGUUAUCUAACUGGACAUUCAACCUUUUUUCUGGAUGAACAGGGUUUCCCCACAAUGGCAAAUUCCAACACCACGCAUUAGGAACUAACGGGUGAUCAUCAACAUCUUCCACUGGGGGAAGGUAUGCCAACGCUGUCACAAUGCGCUGAACAUCUGGCGGUAAAACGAUUAAUCCAAACCAAGGCACUCCCACCUGGGACGUAAAAAUACACAUAGGAUUAUAUUUGGGGUAAAGGCUAUGUAGGAAAGAUUGCAUGACCAUCACCCAAGGCGGACGCACUAAGACUGGUUGGAGUAAUGCUCCCACAAAACGCACUGCCCAGCAUGCCCAUCGCGCUUGCACAUGUUGUCGUACUGCUAAUGCCCCAAAACCGCCCAAAGUUGGAUGGCCAUAUAACAAGUAUUUAGGAACCCCGGUGAGUCGUCUUUCUUGUGCGACCGGUCCGAGGUUCCUAUCAAUAAGCUUGGCCGCUUUAGCCUCAAUAUUCAUGAGUUUAGCUUUUUGUAACGCAAAGAGCUAACGCGCAGCGGCUGUGACAAGGCCGAAAUCGGCAAUUUUGACUGGAUUUUAUACAAACUCAUAAAAAUUCUAGAUUCGAAAGGUUCGUUUGAGAAUAAAUUUGCGCCGGCUACAGGCGAAAUGCCAUACGAUAUGGAAUGUUAACGGCUUUCGAUAUUGCGGCUUCGCGGGGCGAGAUAUUGCGUUUGCUUGUUACGGAUGCAGUCACACGGCCACAUGGCGGGGGCCAAUCCUACAGGCCGGGGCGGACGGGGCUCCCCUGACGCGCUGGGGCCCCCCCUUACACUCUCUCUCUUUCUCUCUCUGUGGGUCGGAGGGUGGAGAGCAGCGUCCGCACUUUCUUCUGAUCGAAUAUAUAGCGCCUCUUAUCGACUAUUAGUCAACCCGACCCUGCAAACAGAUCGCUCGAACAAGACCCGACAGUUGUAGGUGGUUGACCGUUAGACCUUGCAAUGCAAGUUAUGUCGCUGACGGUAUCAUGCCGUGACAGGUUAUUUCAAGUCAUCCAGGAGCUUAGUUGCUCCUCCGCCGUCCAGGUGCCUCGCAUAAUGAUGACCAAACCUUAGGGUUACUUGGAAACUUAUUAGUUCGUGCAGAGUGAGGUGGUUGAACGAGUGAUAAUUAGCUAGAUGUUGCAGUAGUGCGUGCGCAGAUCCAUCCGGAUCAAUGCGCGCCGUACGUACCCAACAGUGCGUGUCUGUACAUACAUACAUAUGCUGGGCAUACAUAUGCUGGGCAAUAUAUGCUACCAUAUAUAUGUUGAAGAGACGGUGUCUCUCUGGAACCUUGCAGACACGGCUAAGAGUCAUUGGUCGUUACACGCAGUCUGGAGGUCCGCGACCUGCCACCGACAGCCCCUUGCUUGGGCGUAAACGUAUGAGUCUGAGGUGCCGUUACCGGCACACAGCAGGGGCUUAAGGCUUGGGUAGCCUGUCCUGACGUGCGGCCUGUCAGUAUUCUGGCACCUGGCAGCCGCCACUCACAACAGCCUGACAUGCGGCCUUUCACAGGCCACGGGGCGACACCGCACCCCUUCGCACCAACAAAAAAAAUAUAUUAUUUAUAUGCUAGGCCAUAACGUUCAAAAAGAUAUCAAGGCGGCGAGCGAGGUUCGUACCACAGCCCAGACAAUAUACACUUGGUUGAUACAUAUCAGGACUGUCGGUGCCGCACGUACGCACCUUAUGCUAAUCUAUCUGACGAAUGUGACAACCAGUGUUUUUUUUGGUAAUAUAUUACUUUUUUGGGAAUAGAUGGGGGUCUGAGCCUGGAAGAAAUGGAAUCGUUGGGUCAGUUGGCCGUACUGGUUCAUUACUUCGGCCAUAAGUCGCCCCCAAUGCCUUCUGCACAUAUAAAGCUGACCAUUUGGAGCUUAUACACUAUUUAUAUAUAAGAUAUUUGAUGAUGUCACCAUGAGACGGCCCGCUGUUGCAUUCAACUUAGGUCAACGGGGCAUUCGUUCAUUCUUGACCAAAGCAAACGGCAACGGGGGGUCGGGGGGGGCCGCAGCCUCCCCCAGCGACUAUACAAAUAGGAAUUGUAACCGCAAGAAACACCCAGUUCAUUACUCUAGGGUACUAGGCCCAAAACGAAAAAAAAACACUGGUGACAACCAACUGCGAAGAUGCCGUUGUUCCACAUACAGCAUAUGCUGCUGUUUGUGUCUCCAUGUGACGCGCAGAGUGGAUGGAAGGGAGCCACACGCCCACACACCCCCUUGCACUCUCCCAGCCGCCCUCUUCACGAGUCUCUCUUCAGUUGAUGGGCGGCCGGACAUUGUUCCUGAAUUCAUCGUCAGUGGCGUAAUUUCCUGGCGGCCUGUAACGGCACACCACUAUCACGCAUGUGUUGCCCCCGCCAGCUGCCGCGCCACAGCCCAGCGUGGUGCUGGACUUCCGCACCACCUGGGUGAAGUGCCCGAUGUUGCCAAAGUUGGCUCGGUUGUCGUUCCAUGGGUAGUUGGUAAACCUGUAUUUGCUGACCUCAGAGUACCAUGAGUUGGCGGCAUCGAUGCACCGGAGCGCCGACGGGUUCACACCGGCUGUUGUACUCAUAAGGUACAGAUUCUCUCCCACCCCCUGUGCACCGGAAUGUUGCAUGCGGCAGCCGCUAGCCAGGGCUUGGGCCCAGGCCUGCGUGCACAUCGACAAACACACACACACACAUACAUGCAAUUGGUUCGCCUGUCCUUUUUCCACGGUGCAUCAGAUGUGUGUAUGAUAGACAUGCACUACAGUGUAGCAGCUGCUGGUGCUGCGUGAAGUGUGCCUAUAUCAAGAUGCCGGUGAAGCACCGUAUUUAUAAACGAUAUGUGUGUCGUACUUGUAUAGUUACUACAUUCCUCCCCUUUUCAAAGGAUCCGUCUUAGCUUGGACCCUUACGGCCACGUUAACCACCAGCCUGUGCCUACCAUCGCCUACCCUUGGGCAGCGGGUCAGCAGUACACGUCACAUCACGUCCGCAUCACAGAAGGCUCUACGCAACCCUACACAACCCUAUGCAGCCUUGCACAUGUCCACGCGUCAUUAUUAUAUAUUAUAUUAUAUAUUAUAUUAUAUAUUAUAUUAUAUAUUAUUAUAUAUUAUUAUAUAUUAUUAUAUAUUAUUAUAUAUUAUUAUAUAUUAUUAUAUAUUAUUAUAUAUUAUUAUAGCAACCGUGCAGGCACAUGCGGUAUAACCAGCUGAGAUCAAGGAGUUAGCAGGAAGGAGGAAAACCGCCGGUUGAUGUGGAUGGCUUUGCGCUUGCUGGGCGUGUAUGUGGUGCUUGCGAAACCUUCUGGCUCGCGGCCUCACCUGGGCCUGCUUGGCGAGGGUCUCAUCCCAGACGAGGGCAGCGGCGCUAUGCCUCGCUCGGUACGUGUUAUGUUGCGUCAGCGUUGCACCGGCAUCCGAGCAACCUAUGUGCGUGACAUGGGGUAUGGAUCAAUGCACACGGUUGUGCGCGAUGAAAAGAACGAAGCGUGCAAUGCAGUGCACGCAUGCCAGUGAUUGAUUUACUCAAUUUGCCACUGCUUGUGCUCACGUUGUUUGCACAGCAUGCACGCACAUGCUGCCGCAGCCGCAGCCGCUGCAGCAGUUCCUGCUGUUGUGUUUCUGCCAGCAGCAAGUAAAAUCUCCAACUGAUCAACUGAUCUACCACCCGCCCCAGGCGGAAUUUAAAGGAAGGAUGUUUUGCAGCUUAUACUAACGAACUGUGUGUACGGCUUUGUCACGCAAUUCGUGAUCUGUAUGUAUAUAUGUGUGGAACAGGGGGGUAUAUCUUCUCCCGUGGCCGCUAUCCUGCGAAACCCUGCCUUCCCCGGCAUUUCGGGGCACCCUCAUCCAGUCACCCUAGUCAAUUUCUCAGUGGAUCGCUCAGGUUCCGCACCCACCACCGGCAUCCACCGGAAUCUGCCGGAUCGACGGCGGCCCAACUCCCAGGUCACCACCGUCCAUCGACUAGGGGCACUUUACCUUCCACCAUCGGAAGGAUUAUCGACCCUGACAGGUCUCGAUCCCGGAACCUUAUAUGUGAGACUCACCGGCUGUGGACACCACCGCCCCCGGCGAGGGUGAUGGUCGAACAUUGCUGCCACUCUUCACGUACAAACACGAGCCCCACCAGGGAAUCUGCGGCGUGGCGCUCCUCUUGACCCAGCCGUUGGUGUUAAAGGCCUUGCAACUGGGAUUGCUGUUGCAUGUGGCUAGUGCGUGUGACCCAUAAUAUCCGAUAUCGUCACCGUAGCGGUCCAUCCGGUAUCGAGGUAUAUCCAGGGUACUGCUGGCAUACUGGAUACAUGGAGAAGCGGCAGCAGCAGGUUCGGUAGGCGGAUGCAUCGACAACGUACGACGGAAAUGCAAGUAAUGACUGGCAGUUGGCGUGCAUGCAUGCUCACAUAACAUAUGCAUGGACAUUUCUGAAACAAUGAUAGUCACAAGUAGCAAGUAGGCUAUCGGAGGCAGGGUGUUGGCUUCCGUGAAAGGCCAGGUGCCUAGAUAAAGCAUGAAGACGGGGUGACGGGGCAUGCGGCUUGCCAUACGAGCCCUCCAAUCCCUAUUCAUGAAAUAGUAUAAGUUACAAUUUUAAGUUGCAAGUAUAAACAUGAGAGGCUGGAGUGUUGAGCUAUAUUGGUUAGACGUCGCAUUACUACGUAUUAACACUCUAGCCUCUCAUGUGUAUGUGUUUGGAUGGUCUUCACGGAUGGACAGACCGAUAGACAGACAGACAGACAGACGGAUCGACCGAUGGAUGGUAUUCAAGGGGGAAGUCCCUGCCUUUGAUGCGUCUCAAGCGGCGGGGUGGGGUCCCAACCACCCACUAAGAUAGCUGAUGAUGAGCUGAGAUGGCCACAUCCAUCAUUCCGUCGUUCCUACAUGCCACCUGCUGCCUGCUACAUGCCUUAGUGUAUGUGUAUGCGUUAAUUCGAUAGCUGCACGUACCUACCCCCACUAGACGAGGCAUAAAGUACGCACGGACGCCUUACCAGUUGCCGCCAAGCUUCGUGGAGCGGCUUCAACCAGCAGCAGGGCUAGGAGAACCCGCGGAAUCCAAGCGGCGGGCAGCAGGUCACCGUUUCUUCUGCACACAACGCCGUCAGCAAGCAUAUGGAAGGACGUGUACAUGUUCAUGACGCGGAAGAAUGAUAGCAACUGGUGUCGUGAUAUAGAUGCCUCUCAACAUACAUGCAGACCGACGGUGCCUGUGUAUGUAUGUAUGCAAGUCUGUAAACCUUUAAUUGUCCAUAGAUCCCAACCGGAUACAAUAGAAUGAACUAAUGUCCCUAACGCAUAUGCCAGGGCACGAUCUAUAGACCAAAAGUCCUACCGGCGAGUAUGGACAUGCAUUGAUGCCUCCCACAUGCACCCGUUUUGCUUCUACCCCCCAACCCUACCCAUUUAAGCAACCCAGUUCCAGGCGUCGUCCCGUGCAAGCCCUCGCCCAUUAAUCCAGCCACCGAACUUUUGUAGCUGCUGCAUAACCCAAGCCGUACCUCAUUCUCUUUUCUUUGAUGUGGCAAAACUUGCUUUGCAAUAAACAAUGCGAGAUCUCAGCAGUUUCUCAGUCCCAAAUUAUUUUGCCUGCUGGCACGAACGAGGAAGCAAGGAAGGAGGCAUGCAUGUAUGUCCGGUCAUGAACAGCACAUGCAGUAGCUAGAACUAGAUGUUAGAACAGAACGAACUAGAUGUUUUAGACAUGGCAGCUGCCCUCGAAGCCUGCUAAGAGCUUGCCGGCGUAAACUAAUCCGAGCCGACUGAAGGCCUUUCUGGCAGCAGCAGGCAGGCUCCAAAGGGAGUGGCUUGCAAGGUAGAACUAGUCGAGGAGAACACGCAUUAGCUGCAGGCACACCUAGCUCACUUAUACCUUUCGGAACUUGGCCAGCAUAUAUAGUAUGGCAAUGGCAAAAGGCCCGGAAGGACCGCCGAAGGUCGCUUACUCGACCCACCCGCUAUGGGAGGCCCCCGGUGUUCACCAAGAAGCUGAUGACGUAACGCAUCCAGCACGUUGUUUGGCGGCGGGCGGCUCGGCGCCAGCGUUCGAGAAACGCAAAUUGACUGCCCGUUCUGUCUGGGUAAAACGAUACACCAAUCAGGCCUCUUUCAGUAAUGAUUGUGGGUCCUGAACCUUCCCUUUGGUCACGCUUUUGGCUGUCUAGUUGACUUGCGUUGUCUCAUCUGGAUGGUAGUCUAGUUUGUUUGUCAGUCGCUAGUGCAGUGCCCGGCCAGCAGGCCUGCACUGGCUCUACUCUUCGGGAGUCUGGAGCCCACAUUCACACCCAUUGGUCUUUGUUGCCUAAAUUGGCUAUUUGAGUUCGGAACGCAUUACACAUAUGAGAAGGUUUUUAUUAUCAGAAAUCAGAACAGUAAGGCAUGAAGUUCAUGAAAGCGUCGAGGAAGAAAUAAAUAAACCUGUGCAGGGUCAAUUUCUAAGUUAUAACUUAGAGAAUAAUUAGAGCUGUAGCUCUCGAGACUAUUUCCGGAAAUGACACGGCUUAAUUGCAAAUAAAUAGAGCCCCGCUGCUGAACAUUAACAUAAUUGUUUGUUGAUGGCGUGUCACAAUGUGGGCGGCUCGUCCGAGAAAGGACGAGCACCGGGGAGCAACUCGACAACAGCAGAUGCAAAACCGAGUAUCCAACGAGGAGGCAGCGGAGAUGGCAGGCAGAGCAGCAGCUGCCGUUGUACGCCGACAAGUACAACAACAGCAGCAACAGCAACAGCAACAGCAACAGCAGCAACAGCAACAGCAGCAACAGCAACAACAGACACAGCAACAGCAAACACAGCAGCAACAACAGCAACAGCCACAACAACGACAGAACCAGCAACCACAACAGCAACAGCAGCAGAUACAGCAACAGCCGCCACAGCAGCAGCAGCGACAACAGCAGCAGCUCUCAUACACAACCACCAAUCAACCGGUGCUACCGACAUCAGCUCCUAUCCCCAAAUCUCACUCCAUCACGCACCCCUUGCUGGGCCAACCGAUUCAAGAUGUAAACAUUCUGGCCGGAAAUAGGCCAGAUGAACAGCAAUGGCAAUUACAAAACAGACGGACGCAUCGUGGAAACCCACUUCUGCCCACCGAUCAACCUGUGCUGGGCAAGCAUGCGGACAAACCAACGUCACGCACUUCAUCUCCAGGGGUCAUUCCCCAACACAAGAGGCGAGACACGGUAAUAAGCCCGCCCAGGUUUCAUGUUCUUCCACAUGACGACCCGGGUGACCUCAUGCAAGUCGGCGAGGAGGAAGAAGUGAGAAAUAGAAUAGUAGUGCGCGGAAAUGGAGAUACGGAAAUACCCCCUAGGUAAAUGGGGCGACGGACAAGAUGCAGGAGGCCUAAUAAUAGACCCCUUCGCCUAAUAAUAGACCCCUUCGCAUAGCGUCCCAUAAUGUAGCAGGUUUAUUUACGCAUUCGGCAUUUACUCGUAUCCAUGCUGCGGCUAGAGUAUGGGACCAACAUAGGUUGGAUGUCAUUUGUUUACAGGAGACACAUCAUAUGGGAGAUGGAGACCUGACAAUUCUCACUAGAGAAUUGCAAUUCGCGGCUCAGAAAAUAGGGAUACCGGGAUGGGAUAUAAUAGCACAAUCCCCCACGACCAAUGCCCGGACGGCUGGAGUGUUAGUGCUAGUGCGCAAAGACCCGAUGGCAUAAAACGAGGGGUAACCCCCCCUUAAGCAUAACCCAGGGGUUAGGGGUAGGGGUAAGGGUAGGGGUAAGUGGUUACCCAUGUGGCUAUGUACGAAGGGGGGUGGGUAACCUAACCCCGGGGUAGGGGUAACCCCUUACCAAGGGGUAACAAAGGGGUAGGGGUAACCCCUUACCAAGGGGUAACAAAGGGGUCGGGGUAAUAUUGUACUGAGGGGUAACAGACAGGGUAACCCGUGUUUACAAGUGUUCCUUGUCCGUAUGCCGGGCCAUAUGCUGGUGUCAAUGGAUUGUAAGCAUGUCCCUGUCCAACCUGCCUACACAUGCUAUCACAGCUGUCUCAUCCAUCUAUGUGAGCACGUAUGCCUAUUUCGCCUAUGUAAAAAAAUAUUUGCAUGCCUCUCUAUACACUUCCAUCCAUGCAUAUGCCUGUAUCAAGCUCACAUGUCUACACAUACAAACAUACAUGUUCACCAAACACUUCGAGUGUACAAUUGUAAAGAUUGCCUCACCUACACAAGCCUUGCAGGGCUGUAGAGCCCGCCCAUGGCCCCAGGCUCGGGGUGUGUAUAAACUCGCUAAUUACACCAACGUCAUCAUAUCAAGAGAAAGGAAAUCAGACCCAGCCCCCAGAUUCAGUUCCGUAUGAUCUGAUGUACGGCUCCAUACACAUGUCUCACUAAAUGAGUUCCUGACUCCGAUAAUCAAAUAUCGGAUAAUCAAAUAUUUCUCCGAUAUUUGAUAAUCAAAUAUUUCUCCGAUAUUUGAUAAUCAAAUAUUUCUCCGAUAUUUGAUUAAUCCGAGGUCUCCCACCACGGGGACUCUAGAGUCCAGACCUGUUUUGCAUGCACGGAAAAGAAAUGGCAAAAUUUAAGGUUAUGCUUAAUAACUGUCAUACGACAGAAACCGGGAGGAUAGCUAUAGGUGGCAAUACACAUAUCAGCUGCAGGGUUUUAACAUUAGCUAGUGCCCAACUCUGAACAAAACCCAAAACCAAAACCCUGAGAGCACAACUUACUUCACUCACUGCCUAUCCGUGGAUCAGCUGACCCUCGACGGCGGCGGCUGGUCUUUGCCUGCUCUGCACCAGCCUCAGUUGGGGGUGGUUCCUUUCGCUUCCUACAGCCAGCUGAUUGUCGCUUCCUGCCGGCUUCCUGCCACGGGGAUUCUUUCGUUCCACCUCCUCUCCCUCCUCCGUAGUGGGGUUCUCACCCAUCUCUGCAGCUGUCCCGUCACCCUCAUCACUGGUCGGCGGGUUGGCGGGGUUCUGCUGCUCUUGCUGUCGUGGAACUUGGACAGGGGCUACCUCUUCGGCACCAGCUGGUGUUUCGGCGGCAGCUGCAUUGCCGCCCUGCUCUGUGUCUGCAAAUCAUGAUCACAUUGUAGGGAUCAAAAUCGUGCUUACAAGAGUGUAAAACCGCUGUGAAUGUCCCGCACACUAUGAGUCUUUCCAUCCAUCCAGUCAACCCUCCUCCCAGCCCAUCCCAGAAACCCACCAUCCUUCUUCUUGUCCACGAAACCCGCCUUCUGCUUGAUGCGCCCAAAGAUUGCCAAGGCCUUCUCCCUGGCUUCCUUGUCGGCCUUCUGCCGCAUGUCAUCUGUCGGCUCCUCCCAGGUGCCCUGCUCCUUCAGCUGUUUCACCUCCGUCCGCACCGUGUUGAACAUGCCCUCGUAGCCCUUUGGCUUGAGCCCUGCACCAUAGCACGUACACACACAUUCAGCCAUCGUACAUGUCGGGAACUGACACUGCAAGUGGGGGGAAAUUGAAAAGUGCGCUAUUGUUGGGGGUCCCUUUUCCAAUGCAUGAUUUACUACCCCCAGGUGUAUAUGUACAUUCCCCCAAUUUGCAAACUUACCGCCUUGGUAAUUCUGCAUGCACGUUUUCAUGCUUUUAAGGAGAGCUGCUUCGACCUCCUUCCGUGCCGUGCUGUUCCUCUUUAGGGAUAGGAGGUUGCCCUUGCCAAUGGUCUUGAUAUGGCACAGUACAGUCAUCCAGUGCGUUAUGAUGGUCUUGAUAUGAAUCGGUGUCGUAGCAGGGGUGUCGUUCCGGGGUGCCAGGCCCUCGCUGAUGUCGGUCCAAAGAACGCCCGCCUUGAUAACCCUGAAUGCGAGGGCAGAAGUACGGCCGUCAUGGGGAGAAAAGCAGGGAAGGGAAGAGCGGCAGGCCUGCCCUAGGGCACACGUCCGGAAUGUGACAUGCCGCUUAGAUUUGCCUACUGCAACAACGCUCCAUGUGAACUCACUCGGUUGCCGCGAGGACAUUGAACUUGCUGGCAUCACUCUGUGAGUUCAUUGCCUUGAAUACGUCGGCGAAGGCCUCAGGAACGCAGGCCGGCACCUUCACGGCCGAAGACUCCGUUGCAUCACUGCAUGCAUCAUUAGGAACGGAUGUGUAAGUGAUGUAAUGUAAUGAUGGUUCUAGUCACCCAGUAGGCCUACCUAGGUGUGAAUUCAAUGCAAUAUUAAUGGUCAAUCGAAAGGCAUUGUGCCGGGCUGCUUACCUAAUGCGCGACUUCGACUUAUUGGUCUUGUUGGAGUGAUUGGAUGGUGUUGUCGACAACAGGCUGUCAAGCACGCGCUUGCAGUCGAUGGGCGGGAAUUUAAGCUCGACCAGAAGCUUGAGUGCCCCCUCGCGACCUGCUAUGUCUAGCUCCGAGCGGAUCAUUUCUGAAAUACUGUCCAUGUUCUCCUCAUUUUCGAUGCACGCUCUCCUAAGAGCGUCAAGAGUCUUGGGUGGGAGCUCCGGAUGUUUGACCCCAAACGCGGUCACACCUGGUGAAGCGUAAGGCGCCCUUCCAGGCAGAUCUAGAUCUUUAUCGCGACUUUAAAAUAAUACAAACACCGGCACGACUACUUCCGGCUAACAUUCCCCAAGGCCGUAGCGCGUCGGUUUCGUUCACGUGGUGUGGUCACCGUAUUCAUUUGAUUAAUUUGUACCUCAUGACAUCUACUUACUCGAUAGAUCAGAGGAAGGCGUAUGUGCAUUCUCUUGGCGAUGUGGUAAACAGGAUAGGACAGGAUGAUCAUUUGCUUUGGGCUGGAGAUUUUAAUUUUGUCCAUAAUCCGAUGCUAGAUUCCACCACAGGAGAAGGGGGUAGACCCGCGGACUUGUCCUUAGCUAAGGCUUUCUCCGAAUGCUGCCCGGAUAUGGUAGACACAUAUCGCUACCUCCACCCUACCCGUCGCGACCUUUCGUUUUUCUAUAAAACAGGUGUGUCGGGAGGGUCACGUCUUGAUCGAAUCUAUACUUCCACAAACCUCACCCCCUUCAUCGCUUCCUCUACCAUUCCAGUGUGCACUUCGACAGACCACCGUUUAGCUAUUAUUGCUCUUUUACCUCGUCUUGUGAGAACGCGUGGUCCAGGCCUUCCACGGCUACACACGCAUUUCUUAGAUUUCCCUGACUUGAAGGGAAGCUUCUUGCAAUGGAUUGGUGAUGAGUGUGCGCAGAGACCCGCUGAGACAGACACAGUAGCUAUGCUACAAUGGUGGCCGUUGUUUAAACAUCGAAUGUUCAAUGAAGUAACUGUUCUUAAUCGGCAAGCGCGAGAACGUCGUUUUCCCCCGGGGGGGCAAGUACGUUUGGCAAUAGAACAUGCAACACGGGCACUGGAAGAGGUGCAGACCGAACAUAUGAGUACACAGAGGAUCCAAGCGGCAAUUGACGCCCAAGUAGCGGUUGUACAAGCGGCUAGAGCUGAAGGUGCACAGGAGGCGGAACGGGUUAGAUUACAGUGGAUUCGUGAGGGUGAACGACCUAGUAGAGGGCUAACUGCCCUGGUGCAUCCGUCUAAGACUCUACAAGUUAUUCCAGCGUUGCAAGAUAGAACGGGUCGUCUUAUUACAGACACGAUGAAGUUGCCACAGAUGGUUGCGGAUUUUUGGGGAGAGAUUUGUUCCUCCCCAACUAAUGUGACUGAAGAGGCUAGGAUGGCUGUUAUAGAGGCGCUGCGGAACCGCCACCUUGUCAUUCCGGAGGAGGAUGCGUAUCAUGUAGGAAGAUCGGAGGUGUCUGACGCUGAAGUGGAAGCGGUGCUCAAGGAAGUGACGCCAGGCAAAGCGCCCGGUCUAGAUGGCAUCCCAAUUGAAUUAUACAAGGCAUGGUGUCACCAAACGAACAUAGCCGGUCGUUUAAACGCGUUUAAAACGUAAACGAACAGAUUUUCGUCAAAACGACCCCUAAACGACCCUCUAAACGAUGAUACGGAAACGUACGCUAACCGUUAAUAUCUUGAUGGUUUUGAUAUUUUUACACAUAGCUCUAUCAUUUCCAGUGGUGUCUGAGGGCGUUAGGCAGCAUCCAUGUCGGGGGCUGGGCCCAGCAAUCAGCGUCCAUUGGGACCGGAGUUCGAGUAUGUGAAGGUCUUGGACGCAAGCAAAGCCAAUAAGCACCUGGAGUGUAUUAUGUGCCAUCAUAAGUUCUUUGGGAGCGCAAUUAGGAUUCGGGGACACAUCCUCGGCCUGUCGGAGCGAGGUGCCGGCAAGUGCAAGGGCGUUCGGUUGUUUAGAACAACGAAGUGGUAUUGAUAUAGAAAGCUUUUAUGCAAGUAGGAAAGGUGCUAAAGCCGUCCGCGAUAGACUAAGUGAACACUCCAUUCAGUCCAUCUAGUACAUUGCCUAGCGUUCUUCUACCUACGAAGAGAUAUUACGUAUCCGUGAUAACAGCAUGAAGCAUAGUUGCAAACUGGCGUGCGUGUUUGAGGCGAGGCGAGCGGGUCAACAAGGAUGUCCAUGGUCAAAGGCUUAGCGCCGGUCAUCCCAAACGAAUGUAAGCAAUCGUUUAGCGUUUCAGUACGGCAUCGUUUAGCUGCCUCUCAACGAACGAGACGCUCGUUUCGAUUCGUUUCGUUUCGUUUCGUUUACGUUUACGUUUACGUUUUUCGUUUGGUGACACCAUGAUACAAGGUGUGUCGGAACGAGAUUGCACCAGUUCUUGCUCAACUGUAUACAGCCAUGGGCCAAACCCAAAUGCACCCAGAUGGCUUUUUGCAAGGUGCUAUCACGGUUAUUUAUAAAAAUCGGGGGUCUCCCACCUCCCCGGGCAGUUAUCGACCGAUUACCUUGUUGAAUACAGAUUACAGGAUUCUCACCAAAAUUUUAACCCGUAGGCUGAGUCCAAUACUAGGGCGAAUUAUCACGCUUGAGCAGUCUGCUUUUCUGCCGGAGCGCUUGAUAGGUGCAAAUGUUCUUUUCCUGCGGCAUCUACCGCAACUUAUGUCGACGACAGGACAGUCGUGUCUCCUGGCUUUUUUGGAUAUUGCUAAAGCUUACGAUUCCUUAGAUCGUAAUUUUUUAUUUGAAGCAAUGGAUGCUAUGGGCGCAGGAGUAGGGUUAAUUAGUUGGACUAAACUUCUUUAUCCGAUACAGCGUCGAAAGCGGUAGUAAAUGGUUUUGUUUCCCGUGAAGUUGCUCUUACAGCGGGUGUGCGACAGGGAUGUCCGUUGGCACCGUUGCUAUACUUGUUUGCCGCGCAGGCGUUACUAUGUUGGUUACAGUACAACCGAGUGGGGAUUCAUUUACCCCAAAAUAAUCCAGAUUUGGUUACAGGUGUGCAAUUUGCUGAUGAUACGGAAGUUGUUUUGUGUGUGUGUGUGUGUUACAUGGUUGGGGGGUGCGUGACCCCAUACCUGUUAAGACGGAAGUUGUUUUAGAAGGAAUCCAAGCAAUUCCGGCUUUCCUUGACUGUAUGAGGGUGUACGCACAGGCUUCUGGACAGCAACUUAACCUGGAUAAGGUUGAGCUGUUACCUCCACUAUGACGACGGGUGAUCGCGUUACAUCGCGUUAAAUUCGCGUUACGAGGCUUUAACGCGAGUUUAACGCGAUGCUAACGCGAUGUAACGCGAAUUUAAGCACUGAUAACGUACCGGUUCGCUUGAGCGUAUGGCAUAACGCACGUCAUCUUUAUUCGCAUGCGAACGAGCUGAGUAAUUUUGGCUGGCAGUGCGUUAGCUUAAGCAACUAACGCAAACUUAACGCGGUCGUAAACGCGACCAGGUGACUUUUAACGCGAGCGUUACCUUACCUAUAGGUGUAACGCAUACGCAAGCGAAUGUCAUACGCGGCUGCGACUGGUGCGAUUGCGUAUGCACAUGCGAAUGUGGCGAAUGAACUCGCGAGUUUUACGCGACCCUAAACGCGACCAGGUGACUUUUAACGCGAGCGUUAGCUUAGCUAUAGGUGUAACGCAUACGCCUGCGACUGGUGCGAAUGCGUAUGCACAUGCGAAUGUGGCGAAUGAAUUCGCGAGUUUUACGCGACCCUAAACGCGACCAGGUGACUUUUAACGCGAGCAUUAGCUUAGCUAUAGGUGUAACGCAUACGCCUGCGAAUGGUGCGAAUGCGUAUGCACAUGCGAAUCUGGGACUGGUCUGGGUUGACACUACUGCGAUUCGCGGUUUAAGGUCCUGGGUUCGAUUCCUGGGGAGACCCCCGAAUUAGUCGGGAGCGCGAGAUUAUGGCUAGCUGCUGAGAUGAGGAGUUGAGGUCGCAGUUGAUGGACCAGAUUCGCACGCUGGAUUGGUGGCGAUUGCCGAACCCUCCGUCUCUUCGGUUGUUCGGGUGAAUGGAUGAGGAGGGGUCCUAGACGGCUGGACCCGCCGCCUUGGACUUACAGUUCGUAUGGCGAAGUAUAGUGUGGUAGUGGUGGAUGGUGCUAUAAGAUGAUAAAUCGUAGAACUGACAAUGUGAUAAAAGCGGCCCAGAAGCCUCCUACUCUGUAACAUUACUACUACAUGCGAAUGUGGCGAAUGAAUUCGCGAGUUUUACGCGACCCUAAACGCGACCAGGUGACUUUUAACGCGAGCAUAUCGCCAAACGCAAGGGAUUGCGAAUGGCAUACGCGACUGCGAAUCCUGCGAAUGCAUGUGCUACCAUUUGAAUUUUACGCGAGUGACUGCGACUUGUGUGCGGGACUGCGAACUGUACGGCCAACCGUGCAAUACAAAAGCUUUACAAUAGCAGUACACGAGCUGUACAAAGUGCAAAGUGCACCGCCGUUGCACAUGACCUGCAGGUUCACAGCUGUGAACCACAGCACUCACUGCUUUCUUCAUGCAUUUCAACUAUCCCUGAAUGACAGGUACGAAUUCAUAGCAAAUCCUAACAUGACCGAUGCAACUCAGCCAGCAACUCUUACCACGGAAAAGGGUCCAACAGUCUAACGUCAGAAAAAAUGGACACACAAAUGUUAAGCGCAUGUAACUGUACCACAAAACAGCCACUAUUGUCUUCUUAUUAAAGCGCUCAAUCCUCGCCUCCGCUGGUGUCAUCUUCACGAACGACGGCAUAUAUCUGCAUAUGAAAGGAUCACAACAAAUCAUUGUUUAGGCAGGAACAUAUACCCCGCCGGCGGACGGUCCCCUGUCCGCAACGCCGUACAUCCUGACCGUUCCAGCGGACGGCUAGCGGACGGUCAUGGAAACGAUGGUCCAAAGCUCCAAAACAUCUGUAUGUAGAUGAUUCAUGAGACGCUAAUAAUUAAUGCUCCAGCUUGCACUCCUUGGCAAGCAAUUAACGCGCAAAACACUCGCCAGGAGAAACUAACCCCAAAAUUGUGACGCACAUAGCCAAAAGGCUUCUAGCAUAAAAGGAGAAAGCAAUCGAAAGGAAAAAGACAACAUCCGAAGGCGCGCGGCGGACAUUCUAAUGACCUGUUUAUGUAACCUGCUUAAAUAACACCAACGCACUGGAACAAUUGAAUCAUGCAAUAAGGUCAUUGCAAUGGCCACAAGCACUGGGCAUUAGUGAAAGGGAUUCAGCAAAGACUGACCGUCACGCCCAACACGUCGUUCCAUCCCUUUGUCGGCUCUGAAUGGCACAAUGAAUGCUCUACUGGGUAAAUGAUCAUUUGGCGGUGGAAAGAGGCCAUUGUAUAGCAUCCGAGCUGGCGCACAGCUUGCGCAUGUCCCCAAGACCCAACACGGCACCACGCCCCGCACCCGGUUACGCCCUUGUCCUGCAUUCCACCUGCCAGCCUGUCUGUGCAACACAGCGCAUGGCGGGCAGGCCAAUGAAGCCAUACCAAAGUUUCGUUCAAGACUGGGGUCCCAAGCUCUCAGAAUCCCAGGCUGCCAGGCUCCCAGGCACAUAGGCUGCCAGGCACAAAGUCUCUUAGAAUCCCAGGUUCCCAGGCUCCCAGGCACACAGGCUCCCAGGCACACAGGCUCUUAGCAUCCCAGGCUGCCAGGUUCCCAGCCUGCCAGGCACACAGGCUGCCAGGCACAAAGGCUCUUAGAAUCCCAGGCUGCUAGGUUCCCAGGCUGCCAGGCACAAAGGCUCUUAGAAUCCCAGGCUGCCAGGCUGCCAGGUUCCCAGGCACACAGGCUCCCAGACUCUUAGCAUCCCAGGCUGCCAGGUCCCCAGGCUCCCAGGUUCCCAGGCUCUCAGAAUCCCAGACUCCCAAGCACACAUGCCCUCAGAAUCCCAGGCUUCCAGGUUCCCAGGCUCUCAGAAUCCCAGGCUCCCAGGCACACAUGCUCUCAGAAUCCCAGGCUCCCAGGCACACAUGCUCUUCGAAUCCCAGGCUCCCAGGUACACAUGCUUUUAGAAUCCCAGGCUUACAGGCACACAUGCUCCCAGGUACACAGGCUCUCAGAAUCCCAGGCUGCCAGGUUCCCAGACUCUUAGGUUCCAAGGCUCCCAGGCUCCCAGGCUCUCAGAAUCCCAGGCUCCCAGGCACACACGCUCUUAGAAAGCCAGGCUGCCAGGUCCCCAGGCUCCCAGGUUCCCAGGCUCUCAGAAUCCCAGGCUCCCAAGCACGCAUGCUCUUAGAAUCCCAGGCUCCCAGGUCCCCAGGCUCCCAGGUUCCCAGGCUCUCAGAAUCCCAGGCUCCCAGGUUCCCAGGCUCUCAGAAUCCCAGGCUCCCAGGCACACAAGCUCUUAGAAAGCCAGGCUGCCAGGUCCCCAGGCUCCCAGGCACACAGGCUCUCAGAAUCCCAGGCUGCCAGGUUCCCAGACUCUUAGGUUCCAAGGCUCCCAGGCUCCCAGGUUCCUAGGCUCUCAGAAUCCCACGUCUGUAAUUUUUCCACGUGACUAUAGACGAACUAUUUUGAGUUUUAGACGGCUCGUCUAUAGCUGAGUUUUUUAGACGAUAUAGACGACCGUCUAAUAGACGACCCAUAGACGACCGUCUAUACCCAGUCGUCUAUAGACAGGUCGUCUAUAGAUUACGUCUAUAGACGACGCGGAUAUAGACGGUUAUCUAUAGACAAGUCGGAUAUAGACACUGUCUAUAGACAGUCGGGUAUAGGCUAUUAUCUUUUAGACGGCAGUGGAUGGCGGGCAUCGUUCCUUAUUCAUGUGUUACAAUCUCAAGUCGUUUCCUCUCUGAACUUCCACCAGGGCUUCAUCCACCAUGUUAAUCAGGUUCCGGGUCCAGGUUUGUCAUUGCCAUUGACACUAGCAAACCAGUGGUUGUCAUCAACCUUGGCUGAUGAAACCUCAACCUUGGUUGUCAUCAACGACAUCAAUAUCCACAGUAUCCAAAUCCAUGUCUCCUUUAGGCAUACACAAGGCAUGCGCUUCCAGGCUCCAACCAUCCCAGCAUCACAAGUACUGAGUACUACUUAAACCAUGAGUGCUUCUCCUUUUCCUUUUCCAUAAGGACCCUGGUAAGCUCUUCCCGAGCCGCCGAGGGCUGCAAAUCCUUCCGUGCCCUCACCUCAUCCAUCACCUCCUCACUCACAACAGGAAUCAGGUCAUCUGGGGGCAACCCCACCAGGUCAUUCAAGACAAACUUAGGGUUCAGCUCGGCAGCUGUGUGCCCACCCUUGCUGUUACCAGUCACAACCCUGCGUGACUUCCCACCCUUCCCACUGGCACUGGGUGCCUGUGCCCCCUUGCCCUUUGGGGGCACACAGACAAUGCAAACCCGCUGCAGCACUGUCUCCAGCGGUAUGCAGCCGAAUGAUGCGGCUGGCUGGCCACUCCGCCUGUCAAGGGUCACGAGUGGGUGCAAAUGUGGGAUUAGUGUUUGUGGGGCUGUCAGUGUCCCCAGGGCAGGGUUAGACCUGAUCUGCCCAUGCGAUGGCCCUUCAAGUCAAGAACCUCCUGCUUCUGCAAGAUGUAGACAGCAACAGAAUGACAAAUACUACAACAUGUUCUUAUACUUUGGCCCAAAUAGACUCUGAGGUCACUCACCAGGCAGUUGCUCUCGUAUUCGUCAUCGUGUGCAGCCCCCCUGGCCGUGACAAUGUUGAGCUUGCUGGUAACCUGCAGGAGAGUACAGAAGCAAGUGACAAGCAGUGAAGCGUAGCAACUGGGGGGGGGGGGUAUCUCCAUUUUCUUGUUGGUGAAUUGGUAGCUGGCCCACAGGAUUUUGACAUAGCUUUCUUUUGGGCCGGUUGUGGUCAGGUCGGUCAUGCCAUACUGUCUAAUGUCCCUUGCUUGCGUCCUUGAAGGGUGCCAGGGCCACAUCAAGUGCGGCCUGGAGGACCUUGCGCUUCAGGGACCGGAAGGACAGGCUAUCCUUGCCCUCACCUGCAUGUGAGUGGUACACAGAGGUGGUAGUCCCACAAAGAAUUGUAGAUACCCUUCAAAGUAUCUGCAGAUGGGGUGUAGGCCUCGCCUGGAAACUGCUUGAACAGGCGCAAAAACUCCUGGAGCUUGCAACCUGCAGGCAUCACAUUUCAACUUGCAGUAAGCAUUGUGGCUUGCUAUCAACUAGGCACCAAAAACAGCAUGCUUAGAAACAGUGAGUAAUGCUGGUAAACACUGGUAACACUGGCCAAUGCUGGUAAAAACGCACCCGAGAGGUUCGCCGCGAGGAAGGUCUCCACCUCUGAAGACAAACUUUUCUCAGGUGGCUUUUCACUAUUUGCCUCUGCAUACUUGUCUAGGUGGUCAAGGUAUGAGACGCCCAUCUCGAACGUGCCAAUUGAUGGCUCGUCAAGAGGAACACUCUGCCUGCAUUCCACAUUCACCACCAGUACUGGCUCAUUGUCUGUGAAUAAUUUAUCAUUGUUGGCGACGUCUCCACCGGCAACGCAGCAGCCAGGCAGCGUUGACUCGAUAACACCCUUGCAGCCAUAGGGGUUGCGAAGGAGAUGCAGGCGCAGCUCCUUGAACUCUCGUCCACAGUGAGGGCACCUCUGGGUGGACAUAUUGAUGACCAGUCGCGGCAGGUGAGAAUGCUCAGUGAAAGUCUGGCAGUUGACCAGGGCCUCUCCCUAUGUGAUAACCAGUGAAGUAAUUGCGACACCUGUGUCACUAUCUAAUUAUAGGAAAUUACACUAAAUAGAUUUGCUGUAACGUCCUCCAGGAAUGCGCAGAAUGUCUCGCCGAGGCCUGGGCACUGCUUCACUAGCUGUGGCUGCACUACAUAAAGNNNNNNNNNNNNNNNNNNNNNNNNNNNNNNNNNNNNNNNNNNNNNNNNNNNNNNNNNNNNNNNNNNNNNNNNNNNNNNNNNNNNNNNNNNNNNNNNNNNNNNNNNNNNNNNNNNNNNNNNNNNNNNNNNNNNNNNNNNNNNNNNNNNNNNNNNNNNNNNNNNNNNNNNNNNNNNNNNNNNNCCAGGCUCCCAGGCACACAGGCUCCCAGGCACACAGGCUCUUAGCAUCCCAGGCUGCCAGGUUCCCAGCCUGCCAGGCACACAGGCUGCCAGGCACAAAGGCUCUUAGAAGCCCAGGCUGCUAGGUUCCCAGGCUGCCAGGCACAAAGGCUCUUAGAAUCCCAGGCUGCCAGGCUGCCAGGUUCCCAGGCACACAGGCUCCCAGACUCUUAGCAUCCCAGGCUGCCAGGUCCCCAGGCUCCCAGGUUCCCAGGCUCUCAGAAUCCCAGACUCCCAAGCACACAUGCCCUCAGAAUCCCAGGCUUCCAGGUUCCCAGGCUCUCAGAAUCCCAGGCUCCCAGGCACACAUGCUCUCAGAAUCCCAGGCUCCCAGGCACACAUGCUCUUCGAAUCCCAGGCUCCCAGGUACACAUGCUUUUAGAAUCCCAGGCUUACAGGCACACAUGCUCCCAGGUACACAGGCUCUCAGAAUCCCAGGCUGCCAGGUUCCCAGACUCUUAGGUUCCAAGGCUCCCAGGCUCCCAGGCUCUCAGAAUCCCAGGCUCCCAGGCACACACGCUCUUAGAAAGCCAGGCUGCCAGGUCCCCAGGCUCCCAGGUUCCCAGGCUCUCAGAAUCCCAGGCUCCCAAGCACGCAUGCUCUUAGAAUCCCAGGCUCCCAGGUCCCCAGGCUCCCAGGUUCCCAGGCUCUCAGAAUCCCAGGCUCCCAGGUUCCCAGGCUCUCAGAAUCCCAGGCUCCCAGGCACACAAGCUCUUAGAAAGCCAGGCUGCCAGGUCCCCAGGCUCCCAGGCACACAGGCUCUCAGAANNNNNNNNNNNNNNNNNNNNNNNNNNNNNNNNNNNNNNNNNNNNNNNNNNAAAAAUCACUGGUUGGAAUGGCUGUUCAUCACAGCCUGUGCUGGUGAGAGUUUUCAAAACCAGCCGGCCUGUGCUGGGAAGUUGCCAGACAUUGCAGUUAUAAAGGACCAUGACGAGCCUUUGUUGUGGGCUUGUCGAUGAGGGGUGGGCUUCACUGAAGUCUGCCCAAUUAUCUCAAACUGCUACAGUUUUGUGGUAAGGAAGUGGGAGAGGCUGGGCACUGCCUGGUCCCCACAGCAUGUGCUGGGGUUUUGUAAGUAUGGCGAUAAUCGUUACAUGCCAGGCAGUGUUAGCCUGCCAGAACCUUGCCAACAUUGAUGCAGAACAGACAUCAGCUCAGCGGCAUGGUUUAACCCAAGCAGACACUCUCCAGCAUAUUGAACUCCUCUCACCGUCUACCCAUCGUCUAUUCUUCGUCUACAAUAGAUGAAUCGACUAUAGACGACAUGUAUAGACGACUCGACUUUAGACGAACUAUUGUAGAUGACUCGUCUAAUAGACGGGUCUUCAGGAUAUAGACGACCGAAAAAAAUACAGACGCAGGCUCCCAGGCACACAAGCUCUUAGAAAGCCAGGCUGCCAGGUCCCCAGGCUCCCAGGUUCCCAGGCUCUCAGAAUCCCAGGCUCCCAGGCACACAAGCUCUUAGAAAGCCAGGCUCCCAGGUCCCGAGGCUCCCAGGUUCCCAGGCUCUCAGAAUCCUACGCUCCCAGGCACACAGGCUCUCAGAAUCCCAGGCAGCCAAGCUCCCAGGUUCCCAAGCUCCCACGCUCCCAGGUUCCCAGGCUCUCCGGUUCCCAGGCUUUUAGAAUCUCAGGCUCACAGGCACACAAGCUCUUAGAAAGCCAGGCUGCCAGGUCCCCAGGCUGCCAGGUCCCCAGGCUCCCAGGUCCCCAGGCUGCCAGGUCCCCAGGCUGCCAGGUUCCCAGGCUGCCAGGUUCCCAGGCUGCCAGGUCCCCAGGCUGCCAGGUCCCCAGGCUGCCAGGUCCCCAGGCUGCCACGCUCCCAGGUCCCCAGGCUGCCAGGUCCCCAGGCUGCCAGGUCCCCAGGCUGCCAGGUCCCCAGGCUGCCAGGUCCCCAGGCUCCCAGGUUCCCAGGCUCCCAGAUUCGCAGGCUCUCAGAAUCCCAGGCUCCCAAGUAAACAUGCUAUCAGAAACCCAUGCUUACAGAAUCCCAGGCGCCCACACUCCCACGUUCCGAGGUUCCUAGGCACACAGGCUUUUAGAAUCCUAGGCUUCCAGGCACACAGGCUCUCAGACACACAGGGUCCCAUGCACACAGGUCGCCCAUGGCUGCGGUCCAAGCCUGGCCCCAAACCGCCAGAUAAAUAUGCUCCUACAUCUAAUUGACUUAGCCGAAUGCUAGUUUUAGCUUUGUUUACAUUUCAUGCAUUUGCUGGCUCCUAGCGCUUGCAUCGAUGUAGCCCCCAGUAUAGCACAUUGCAUUACAUUAUCCAUGAAAAGAUUAUAAAACUUUAAUUCACUAUAAGCUCAGCAAAUUGCAAGGCUAAAGGGCUCAUCUGGACGCAGUUUGCAUGCCGUGCUGCCGGCUUGCGCAAGGAAUCUCUGCGCGCGCUCCACGCCCGCGCGCGCCGCGAGCACCAGGAUAAACUACAACAAAAUGUCUUUUGCUUCGUGCAAAAAUAUGUUGGUAUGUGUUGGUAUGUGUGCCCGGAAAGCUGUGCCGGACGGUCGACCGUCCGGCAGACCGUCCGCCAUGGACGGCCCCACCGUCCGCCAGGGGGGGUAUAUGAACCACACAUAGUUGUGAGCAUGUUACGUACAAUGACGGCUGUAGGUGUGACACCGGCAUAACGUGCCUCGAAAUAAGGCAAUAAAAAGCAUUUAGUUAAUAGCCAUGGUCUUGCAACCAGAGGCUUCAUACCUCCGAACGGCCGCUACGUGGCCUGCCACGUCCCGUUUGAGCCCGACUCUUGUUCAUAUCCUUACCACCAUCCUUGCGCUUGUCCUAUUCCUUGCGAUUCUCCUGCUCGUGUCCUUGGAAUGUAAAAUGACAAGGCAUAAUGUCAGUGUAUGCACCUGCAUGAUGGCCACUUACUGCCGGUGCCGUCUAGUCCCCCUUUUCCUGCUUUCCCCUGCUUGCCUGCGUNNNNNNNNNNNNNNNNNNNNNNNNNNNNNNNNNNNNNNNNNNNNNNNNNNAUGCUAAUUCAUUAGGCUUUACCUAACACUGUCGUCAUUGGAGGAUCAGCGUGAGUAUAAGAAAUGCAUACGCGCUAAACAACAAAUUCAAGAUAAUCUUAUUAGUGCAAUGCGCGCAAUGAAUUACUGCCCUGAGGACACGGGCAGCACUGGGCCUUACGCCCAACUUACUCCCAACUCCCAACUAACCCUCUUACUUAACGCAAGCUCGCAUAAGUUGUUGCGUCAGAGACAAAUGCCAAAGGAGAAGAUACCCCCUCUAACGGUUGAAAUACUGAACCACCACGGCGCUUCGUGCCGAGCCGCAAGAGGGCCAAAGACGUGAGAGCUGCCAGACAGGCGCGCACACCGAAACUCCUGAAGCCAAACGCCUCGAAAGACCUCCGAACGACACCCCAGCAGCAGGGGCGGCGGACGCGCCACCUCUACGCAGGCAAAAGAGGGAACAAAAUAAACGCAAAGCGCCAACAGACUGACCCACCGCCACCGACGCGACGGAUCACUCAACAGUUGCUGACGGACGCCCACUGAAGGAAGGGUCGAUAGGAAGCCAAAACAUGUCCCCGCUCAGGGGUGACCAAGCGGCCAAAACUAGGGGCUUGAACUGAAACACUGGGUCUGCAACAAUGACCGCUCCACGAACCCAGGUCGCCGACAGCAGAGAAAACGGACAAAGAAAAGACACAGACCUAAUACGACAAACAACAAACACAAGGCCGCGAAAUGGAGACACACGAACCCAUUCAGCGCCAAAAGAAGUACUCGAACUUAGUCCAGAACCAGCGGUGUUGGAACCGGCGGUACCAUCGGAUAUCAAACAAAGCGAAACCGCUCCGAAAUCAGGGGAAUUCCAAUCGCUGGUGACACAACACGAUGAAAAAACCAACUACCUGCACGGUGCCUUCCGAGCGCACACCUUCGCACAACAAAUUCCUUCCUAUUUGCUCGUCGUAACUGCGUGUCCGCUCCCCUGCACAAUAUGCAACUAAGGCGCUACCUUAUUGGGGGUCCCAUUGCCCCUACAAGAUAUUAUGAGCCCCCAGGGGGGGGGCAUGAAAUGCUAGGAAAGCGCACCUCGGGGGCACACGACCCCGCAAUUGCAGCGCCACACUGACCGACCGAGUGCUAAGCAAAGCACCCACAAGACGACUGCACCCGCACUGCCAGACCUGCCAGGAAGGGGGGGAGAUAGGUGCUCGACCCUCCCUCAUCCGGCACAAACAGCUCCGUAUUCGAAGGCAGGAACACAAGGUCAACCGCCAACUCCAUAAACUGUUGCCACCAAGGUUGGGCCGUCCAGUACGGCACGACUAGGAAAGACACCCUAGCACUGCUUGAGUGCACGUGUUUUCCACACUGAUUAAGACAACACGCUGCUGAAAGAACGGAAGAAAGGACUCUAAUGCAGGAUGGACAGCAUGCAACUCCUUCCAACUGACGUGUCAUAGAGCUCUGGUGCCGACCAAUAACCGCGCGCCACACCAUCAUGCAGGACCGCGCCCCACGAAUGGCGCGAUGCAUCCACUGAAAGCUCAACUUCAGCAGGACCCUGGUGAAUAGCCGCCGAGCACUGGUGGGUAGGGAUGUCCGCCCACCACCCAAAGUCACGUAACGACCCACGGGGCAAGCACACUCGACCAGGAUAACCAACCGGUUGCUUCACAUCAUCGUAACAAUUGCGGAGAAAUAAGAGAGCUGGAGUAAGGGCCAAUUUGAUGCUCUGUGCAAAACUACAAAACUUAGCCAGCUCGCACUUCUGCACCAGACGCUGAUUUUUCUUUGCCGUGAUCCGCAACCCGAUCGCCAGCCACCACAAUUUUGCGAGCUUUUGCUUAGGCACCUCAAACACACCAGCUGCUGUAUUGACAGUAAUGCCUAAGUGAUACACUGACUGCGACGGCUCCCACUGGCACUUGGUGGGAUGACAUGACAAACCCAAAAACUCGAUCAUCUCACGCACCCAGCGUGCACAAAAACGUGCUUGCUCCUGGGAAGUAAACAUGAUUAGGAAAUCAUCCAAAUACGGUAGUACUCGCGCACCCGGACGUGAAGGACGCUCUGUCUGGGAAACGGGAAAAAACUUGUGGGCCGAGAGCAAGGGGCGAGGGACACUUGUGACCCUUGCCCGCCGCAGCCAAAGAAUCCCGCCAAAUACGCAGCACAUUGUGCAUGUACUGCUGAAGAGACGGUGUCUCUCUGGGACCUAGCAGACACGGCCAAGAGUAAUUGGCCGUUACACGUAGUCGGGAGGUCCGCGACCUGCCACCGAUAGCCCCUGCUGGNNNNNNNNNNNNNNNNNNNNNNNNNNNNNNNNNNNNNNNNNNNNNNNNNNCAUACGCGCUAAACAACAAAUUCAAGAUAAUCUUAUUAGUGCAAUGCGCGCAAUGAAUUACUGCCCUGAGGACACGGGCAGCACUGGGCCUUACGCCCAACUUACUCCCAACUCCCAACUAACCCUCUUACUUAACGCAAGCUCGCAUAAGUUGUUGCGUCAGAGACAAAUGCCAAAGGAGAAGAUACCCCCUCUAACGGUUGAAAUACUGAACCACCACGGCGCUUCGUGCCGAGCCGCAAGAGGGCCAAAGACGUGAGAGCUGCCAGACAGGCGCGCACACCGAAACUCCUGAAGCCAAACGCCUCGAAAGACCUCCGAACGACACCCCAGCAGCAGGGGCGGCGGACGCGCCACCUCUACGCAGGCAAAAGAGGGAACAAAAUAAACGCAAAGCGCCAACAGACUGACCCACCGCCACCGACGCGACGGAUCACUCAACAGUUGCUGACGGACGCCCACUGAAGGAAGGGUCGAUAGGAAGCCAAAACAUGUCCCCGCUCAGGGGUGACCAAGCGGCCAAAACUAGGGGCUUGAACUGAAACACUGGGUCUGCAACAAUGACCGCUCCACGAACCCAGGUCGCCGACAGCAGAGAAAACGGACAAAGAAAAGACACAGACCUAAUACGACAAACAACAAACACAAGGCCGCGAAAUGGAGACACACGAACCCAUUCAGCGCCAAAAGAAGUACUCGAACUUAGUCCAGAACCAGCGGUGUUGGAACCGGCGGUACCAUCGGAUAUCAAACAAAGCGAAACCGCUCCGAAAUCAGGGGAAUUCCAAUCGCUGGUGACACAACACGAUGAAAAAACCAACUACCUGCACGGUGCCUUCCGAGCGCACACCUUCGCACAACAAAUUCCUUCCUAUUUGCUCGUCGUAACUGCGUGUCCGCUCCCCUGCACAAUAUGCAACUAAGGCGCUACCUUAUUGGGGGUCCCAUUGCCCCUACAAGAUAUUAUGAGCCCCCAGGGGGGGGGCAUGAAAUGCUAGGAAAGCGCACCUCGGGGGCACACGACCCCGCAAUUGCAGCGCCACACUGACCGACCGAGUGCUAAGCAAAGCACCCACAAGACGACUGCACCCGCACUGCCAGACCUGCCAGGAAGGGGGGGAGAUAGGUGCUCGACCCUCCCUCAUCCGGCACAAACAGCUCCGUAUUCGAAGGCAGGAACACAAGGUCAACCGCCAACUCCAUAAACUGUUGCCACCAAGGUUGGGCCGUCCAGUACGGCACGACUAGGAAAGACACCCUAGCACUGCUUGAGUGCACGUGUUUUCCACACUGAUUAAGACAACACGCUGCUGAAAGAACGGAAGAAAGGACUCUAAUGCAGGAUGGACAGCAUGCAACUCCUUCCAACUGACGUGUCAUAGAGCUCUGGUGCCGACCAAUAACCGCGCGCCACACCAUCAUGCAGGACCGCGCCCCACGAAUGGCGCGAUGCAUCCACUGAAAGCUCAACUUCAGCAGGACCCUGGUGAAUAGCCGCCGAGCACUGGUGGGUAGGGAUGUCCGCCCACCACCCAAAGUCACGUAACGACCCACGGGGCAAGCACACUCGACCAGGAUAACCAACCGGUUGCUUCACAUCAUCGUAACAAUUGCGGAGAAAUAAGAGAGCUGGAGUAAGGGCCAAUUUGAUGCUCUGUGCAAAACUACAAAACUUAGCCAGCUCGCACUUCUGCACCAGACGCUGAUUUUUCUUUGCCGUGAUCCGCAACCCGAUCGCCAGCCACCACAAUUUUGCGAGCUUUUGCUUAGGCACCUCAAACACACCAGCUGCUGUAUUGACAGUAAUGCCUAAGUGAUACACUGACUGCGACGGCUCCCACUGGCACUUGGUGGGAUGACAUGACAAACCCAAAAACUCGAUCAUCUCACGCACCCAGCGUGCACAAAAACGUGCUUGCUCCUGGGAAGUAAACAUGAUUAGGAAAUCAUCCAAAUACGGUAGUACUCGCGCACCCGGACGUGAAGGACGCUCUGUCUGGGAAACGGGAAAAAACUUGUGGGCCGAGAGCAAGGGGCGAGGGACACUUGUGACCCUUGCCCGCCGCAGCCAAAGAAUCCCGCCAAAUACGCAGCACAUUGUGCAUGUACUGCUGAAGAGACGGUGUCUCUCUGGGACCUAGCAGACACGGCCAAGAGUAAUUGGCCGUUACACGUAGUCGGGAGGUCCGCGACCUGCCACCGAUAGCCCCUUGCUUGGGCGUAAACAUAUUGAGUCUGAGGUGCUGUUACCGACACACAGCAGGGGCUUUAAGGUAGCCUGUCCUGACGGGCGGCCUGUCAGUAUUCUAGCACCUUGACAGCCGCCAGUCAUAACAGCCUGACGUGGGGCCUUUCGCAGGCCACGGGGCGACAUGGCACACCCCCUUCACACCAACAUGCCCCCUCGAGUCGCACCAGGGGCCUGACUGCAAACUGCUAGUACUGACGAGCUCGCUCGGCCGCCAAGUCCGCGGUCCAGGCCGGCUGCUCAACGCUCAGCAGACACAAUCGCAGCUUGCCAGCCUUCAGCCUGCUGGCUUUGCGGUCUGGUGCCGCAGUCCAAACACACACAGAAAACAGCACGGCACAGCACCUUAUGCCCUGCCUACGGCGCCCUUCGGGCACUAACCUGCCCAUUCGGGCGCCUGCCCACGCGCCCUUGGUGCCCCCCUACCUCGACACACUUCUUUUGAGCCCUCAGCAUUUUUCCACUCCCCCCUCGCAUGGUGCUCUGUCGAUCUAAGUGACGCCCAGCACCGUGCGGCAGUGCACGAACUUGAUUUCACCCAGUGCCUUGGUGAGAAUGUCAGCCACCGUGUUGUUGGUGGUACAAUAGCUGAGCUUAACCUCACCGCGCACGGCCGUUUCACGCAUGAUGUGGUGGUGCAGAUCGAUAUGCUUGGAGCGCACCAACGUGAUGGGGUUGUUGCCGAGGCUGAGCGCGCCUUGUGAAUCCAGCUGGAUGUUGAUGGCGCCGGGUCGCCCGCCAGCUUGCGCAGCCACAUAGUGCCUCGUGCACGGCUGCUGCGGCGGCCUGGUACUCGGCCUCGAGGCAGCCAAGGUGCGCUGCAACUGGCUGCUCCAGCUGACCGCUGCACUGCCGAGCAAGAAUGUGUAGCCCGUGGUGGACCGGCGGGUGGCUGGGUCGCCGGCCCAGUCCGCAUCACUGUACCCGCCGAAGUUGCUGGUGUCGCUGCUGCUGUCGCCACGGUAUCGCAGCCCGAGUGUGCAGGUGCCGGAUAGGUAGCGCAUCAUGCCCAGCACGAGGCCCAUGUGGGCCUUGGUGGGGACGGGCAUGUGUCACACGAGCAUGCUCAGAGUGUGUGUAAUGUCCGGGCGUGUGCUGCUGGUAGGUAUUUCAGCUCGCCCACCAGCACACGGUAGUCGCUGCCAUCAAUCACUGUCGGCUGGGCGUCGCUGGCUGGCAGAGCACACAUGCCCUGAGGCAGCAGGGUGGCGCGCGGCUUGGCAUUCUCCAGGCUGUGGCGCUGCAGCAGCUGCUCCACAUAGCGCUGCUGCGUGAGCACGAUGCAGCGGUUGCGGCCAUCCUGGACGAUCUUCAUGCCAAGGUAGUAGUGCGCCUCGCCAAGGUCACGCACUGUGAAGCAACCGGCGAUGGCUGCCUUGGUGGCCGCGACCACUUGCAGGUUGUCCGCCGUCACCAGCAUGUCGUUGGCAGUGUGCUCUGCACUGUUGCCUCCGCCGCCGCCACUGCCAUCGGGCACGUUAGACUUCGCGCUGUCAGCGCUACCACCUGAGCAGCGGUGGACUUCCCGACUCUCUGCCGCCGCCGCUGCUGCUGCUGUCAAGGGGGGGGGGGUCACUGACCGGGGCCAGCGGGAGUGUGCAGGGACUGCCGUUGACUGCGGGUGUUGGGGUGGAGGGUUGGUGUUGGGGUCACCGGAGGUGGGGCGGCCGCUGGGGUCGGCAGCUUGGUGGGCGGUGUAGAGCUGCCGAUGGGGUUGCUGCCGCCGGGGCAGGCGGGGCUAGUGCCGAAGGGGGUGCCCGCCCGUUGUGAACCGGGCUGUGGCGGUCGUCAUUGAAGGUGACAUCGCUGCUCACGGUCACCUUGCCCUCAAUGAGGAUGCUGUGGGCGGCCGUGCCGUGCUCCGGUCGGCGGUAGGUUUCCGCCUUUGCACGAGGACCGAGUUUGUCCUGCUGGCUGGGUGGGAUGCGGACGUAGGCCAGGCAGCUGAAGGUGUGCAGGUGGCUGACGUCGGGGGGGAAGCCGUGAUUAGCUGCCCACGGCGUGGCCUCCCGGCCCUGAGAGGGGGAAACAUUGCGCAGGAGGUUGGUGUAGAGCACAGCCCCCGGCUUGUAGCUGCCCGGGAGUGCUGCGUCGUGCAGCAUCGUCCGCACACGGCCGAGGAGCAUGUGGUUGAGUCACUCCACCACUCCAUUCUGCUCCGGGGUGUAUGAUGCCGAGUGGGUGUGCACGGUGCCGUGCUGGCGCAGCCACUGCCGCAGUUGCUCGGUGAUGUACUCACCGCGUUUGUCGCUGUGCAGCAUGUGCACCCGUGCAUGGUUCAGGUGGUGGGCCUCCAGCUGCGUCACCAUGUCCUGCAGCACUUCACCCACUUGGCCUUUGCUUGCCAGCGUGCGGACGGCGGACAGACUGGUGGCACCGUCCAGCAGCAUCAGCAAGUAGCGUGCGCCCCCUCGGCCCAUGGUCGGCAUGGGCCCGCACAGGUCAGAGUGUACGACCUCCAGUGCGUGCUGCGGCCGGUUGCUGCGGCUGGGAUGGGCGGUUACGGUGGCCUUCAUGGUGACACAGGCCUCGCAGACGGUCUCCGCCGCCUGGUGUAGUGCUGCUGGAGUGACCUGUGGUCCCUGCACCAGCUACUUGCUGAUCAGCUGCUCCAGCACGCGGAAACCGAGGUGACCGUACUGGCGGUGCAGGCGCUGUGCUGCCGCAAGUUUGGCGACUGAGCAUUCGGCGGCCCCGGGGCUGCCGUUGCCUGGUUGCCCUUUGCCGUUGCUGUCACCGUCCGGCUGGCCUCCACCAGUGUGGCUGCCGGCGGUGCUGCCGCCACGGGCGCUGGGGACAGCGGCGGCACUUCCACCAGCACUGCUAACUGCGGCAUGGCCCCCACCGGCUCUGUCGCCCACGGUGCCGAGGGCAUUGACGGUGACGUCGGUCGGCGCCUGCAGGUCCACGUCCAUGUGUAGUGCCCACACUCAUUCCAUGCAGUGAUAGCCGGGCUGUUGUGAGGGAGGCCGAUGCAUGAGAACCAGCAGCCCGUCUUGUCCGUGCUGAAUGUGCCUAUGCAGCUGCGUGUCACGAGAAAGUUGACAGAUGUUAGGAUGAGGCCCGAGCUGGGGACGUGCAGCAUGUUGUGCAGCCGGACAUUGUGUCCAUCACGUGUACGCAGGUGCAGCUGCGCUGUUCCCAUGACAUCGGCCAGCUGGUUGUUGCCCCACUCGAUCAGCCGUGGCGCGCCGGCGGGGACGUGGUUGUGCAGCAGGGAGUGGUCACCCGUGAGGUGGUACGGUGAGCCUGAGUCGAGGAUGACUCGUGAGCUGCUGCCACUGCCGUCGAUGACCAGCACUGUGGCACGGCUCUGGCGUGAGCUGCUUCCGCUGCUGCCCGAACCGCUGCCACUGCUGCCGCCUGCAGUGUUGCCGCCGUUGCGGUGGCUGUUGCCGCAUCAAGCACGGCCGCGUUCACGUGUUCCGUCGGCCCCGCUGUUACCGUCAUUGCCGCUGCCAGUGUCCCUGCCGCCGCCGUCACAGUGGCGGUUGCGGCUGCCUCAACUGAUGUUGCCGGCGGCGUGCAGCUGCUCGAAUGCGUUGCUGUGGUGAAGGCCGACGGACUCGUCCGCCUGCUUAACGGGGCACUCGCAAAUGUAGUAACCAGGCUGUCCGCAGUAGCGGCAGGUGUCGCCGGCCCCCACGGCGCCUGCAGCACUGGCGGUGCUGCCGACUCCACUGGUGGCACGGCCAGGGCCGACAGCUCCCACCAGGCUGGUCUUGCUUGCUUGGGUCUUGAGGUUGUUGUCCUUCUCCUGCAGCAUGAGCACGAGCUGUGGGGUCGUUAAGUUGGGCUGAUACAUCGUGAACUCGAUGGUGAUGGCGUACUGCAGAGGCAGGCCAUGGAGAAUGGCGUGGCGCACCGUGCUCUCGUCCCACUGGCCGCCGGCCACAAUUAUAUCGCUACAGAGCUGCUCUGCCCGCUAAAUGAAGUCAGCGGUUGUCUCCCCAUCACGCAUGUUCAGCUGCAUCUGCGGCUCAACCAGGCUCAGCCGGGCCUGGGAUGCAGAACGGAACUGUUGCUGUAAGAGCUGCAUGGCGGCGAGACCGGUUGGGCAAUUCAUGAGCAACUGCUUGAUGGGCAGUUCACAGGACAGACGCAGGUAGCUGAGCGCCUGUGCGUCCUCCUCCAGGGCGUCUUGGGAGUUGCGGCUCGGAGGCGACGGGUUGUUGAUGUAGCUCUUCAACUUGGAUGUUGCGAGGAAAUCGCCUAACUCGCCGAGCCUGUGGGAGUAGUUCGACCCAUCCCAGAGGAUGACGGUCUUACAUCCCUUCCCCAUGAUGGUUGGCUAGCGAGCGUGACUGAUGAUGACGCGUUCCCCGCCGCUUUUCUGGCAACUAGUUGAUGUUAUGAUGCAUCGUUGGUCCGGCGUACGACGGCUCCUGGUGCGAUUUAUGCGUCCGGAAGCCCUUUCAGCCUCCCAGGCAUGUCCCAACUGCCUCACAGCCACCGACGCAUCUCACGGCGGGGUUCUAAUUGCGUGCGCGUAUGGAUGCUCCUUACCCCGCCGCCUUUCUAGCAACUAGUUGAUGUUAUGAUGCAUCGUUGGGCCGGCGUACGACGGCGCCUGGUGCGAUUUAUACGUCCGGAAGCCCUUUCAGCCUCCCAGGCAUGUCCCAACUGCCUCACAGCCACCGACGCAUCUCACGGCGGGGUUCUAAUUGCGUGCGCGUAUGGAUGCUCCUUUUCCCGCCGCCUUUCUAACAACUAGUUGAUGCUAUGAUGCAUCGUUGGGCCGGCGUACGACGGCGCCUGGUGCGAUUUAUGCGUCCGGAAGCCCUUUCAGCCUCCCAGGCAUGUCCCACCUGCCUCACAGCCACCGACGCAUCUCACGGCGGGGUUCUAAUUGCGUGCGCGUAUGAAUGCUCCUUUUCUUGCCGCUUUCCUAACAACUAGUUAAUGCUGUGAUGCAUCGUUGGUCCGGCGUACGACGGCGCCUGGUGCGAUUUAUGCGUCCGGAAGCCCUUUCAGCCUCCCAGGCAUGUCCCACCUGCCUCACAGCCACCGACGCAUCUCACGGCGGGGUUCUAAUUGCGUGCGCGUAUGAAUGCUCCUUUUCCUGCCGCCUUUCUAACAACUAGUUAAUGUUGUGAUGCAUCGUUGGUCCGGCGUACGACGGCGCCUGGUGCGAUUUAUGCGUCCGGAAGCCCUUUCAGCCUCCAGGCAUGUCCCCACCUGCCUCACAGCCGCCGACGCAUCUCACGGCGGGGUUCUCAUUGCGUGCGCGUUCGCAUGCUGCAUGUCCCGCCACCUUUCUGGCAUCUAGUUGAUGGUAUGAUGAAUCGUUGUGCGAUGUAGGGCUGCGCCUGAUGCGAUUUCGUUUGCGGAAGCCCCCCCUGAGUGCUGCCAAGCAUGUUAUUCUCUCAUGAGACUGCGUGAAGGUUUACGAACUGAGUAUGCGACCAACACAUAAAACAUCGCAUGUGAAUUGUUAUGUCUUGCGAUUCAUCAAAGGUAAAUCGUGUGUGCUUGUUGUGUGUUAGCUUCGGCCGCAUUAAGCUUGACGCAACGAGCCUUCAUACGCUUGAAACGCAACGUUUGUUUGCAUGCGAAUUGCGUUGCGAUAUGUGUGCGUUUGGCGAGUGUUAGGCCGCGUUAAGCUUUACGCAAUGAGCCUUUAUACGCAUGAAACGCAGCAUGUAUUAGCAUGCGAAAUGCGUUGCGAAAUGUGUGCGUAAGGUGAGUGUUAGGCCGCGUUAAGCUUUACGCAAUCAGCCCUCAUACUCAUGAUACGCAACAUGCAUUCGCAUGCAAAUAGCCUUGCGGACUGUGUGCGUUUCAUGUGCGAGUGGACGCGAAUUGCUUUACGCAUUGUCUCCCCACACGCACGAAUCGCAAUAUGGAAUCGCAUGCGUAUCGCCUUGCUACACAUGCGCGUAUGCUUCGCGUUUGAACAUACGCACGGAUGAAUUGUUCAAGUCGACCAAAACGACGCAAGUUUAUUUCCAAAUAAACCUUUACAAUCUGAAAAUUAUAAAUUUUUAAAAAACUUGGCCAGAAGGGCCGAUUUCCGCUUUUCCAUAGCCGUUGUGCGUUAGCUCUUUGCGUUACAAAAGCAUGCUCAUUCGCACCUAGGUUAGGCCUAACGCUAAGAUUCGCACCGUUACGCGAACUAACGCGAGCUANNNNNNNNNNNNNNNNNNNNNNNNNNNNNNNNNNNNNNNNNNNNNNNNNNAGCAACUAGUUGAUGUUAUGAUGCAUCGUUGGGCCGGCGUACGACGGCGCCUGGUGCGAUUUAUACGUCCGGAAGCCCUNUCAGCCUCCCAGGCAUGUCCCAACUGCCUCACAGCCACCGACGCAUCUCACGGCGGGGUUCUAAUUGCGUGCGCGUAUGGAUGCUCCUUUUCUUGCCGCUUUCCUAACAACUAGUUAAUGCUAUGAUGCAUCGUUGGUCCGGCGUACGACGGCGCCUGGUGCGAUUUAUGCGUCCGGAAGCCCUUUCAGCCUCCCAGGCAUGUCCCCACCUGCCUCACAGCCACCGACGCAUCUCACGGCGGGGUUCUAAUUGCGUGCGCGUAUGGAUGCUCCUUUUCUUGCCGCUUUCCUAACAACUAGUUAAUGCUAUGAUGCAUCGUUGGUCCGGCGUACGACGGCGCCUGGUGCGAUUUAUGCGUCCGGAAGCCCUUUCAGCCUCCAGGCAUGUCCCCACCUGCCUCACAGCCGCCGACGCAUCUCACGGCGGGGUUCUAAUUGCGUGCGCGUAUGAAUGCUCCUAUGUCCCGCCACCUUUCUAACAACUAGUUGAUGUUGUGAUGCAUCGUUGGUCCGGCGUACGACGGCGCCUGGUGCGAUUUAUGCGUCCGGAAGCCCUUUCAGCCUCCAGGCAUGUCCCCACCUGCCUCACAGCCGCCGACGCAUCUCACGGCGGGGUUCUAAUUGCGUGCGCGUAUGAAUGCUCCUAUGUCCCGCCACCUUUCUGGCAUCUAGUUGAUGGUAUGAUGCAUCGUUGUGCGAUGUAGGGCUGCGCCUGGUGCGAUUUCGUUUGCGGAAGCCCCCCCUGAGUGCUGCCAAGCAUGUUAUUCUCUCAUGAGACUGCGUGAAGGUUUACGAACUGAGUAUGCGACCAACACAUAAAACAUCGCAUGUGAAUUGUUAUGUCUUGCGAUUCAUCAAAGGUAAAUCGUGUGUGCUUGUUGUGUGUUAGCUUCGGCCGCAUUAAGCUUGACGCAACGAGCCUUCAUACGCUUGAAACGCAACGUUUGUUUGCAUGCGAAUUGCGUUGCGAUAUGUGUGCGUUUGGCGAGUGUUAGGCCGCGUUAAGCUUUACGCAAUGAGCCUUUAUACGCAUGAAACGCAGCAUGUAUUAGCAUGCGAAAUGCGUUGCGAAAUGUGUGCGUAAGGUGAGUGUUAGGCCGCGUUAAGCUUUACGCAAUCAGCCCUCAUACUCAUGAUACGCAACAUGCAUUCGCAUGCAAAUAGCCUUGCGGACUGUGUGCGUUUCAUGUGCGAGUGGACGCGAAUUGCUUUACGCAUUGUCUCCCCACACGCACGAAUCGCAAUAUGGAAUCGCAUGCGUAUCGCCUUGCUACACAUGCGCGUAUGCUUCGCGUUUGAACAUACGCACGGAUGAAUUGUUCAAGUCGACCAAAACGACGCAAGUUUAUUUCCAAAUAAACCUUUACAAUCUGAAAAUUAUAAAUUUUUAAAAAACUUGGCCAGAAGGGCCGAUUUCCGCUUUUCCAUAGCCGUUGUGCGUUAGCUCUUUGCGUUACAAAAGCAUGCUCAUUCGCACCUAGGUUAGGCCUAACGCUAAGAUUCGCACCGUUACGCGAACUAACGCGAGCUAACGCGGACUUAACGCGAUCACCCGUCGUCAUAGUGCUCUCGGCACCCACCCACAUCAUAUAACAAUAAAUCAAGACUUGAAGGUCGUACAUAUGGCUACGGCUCUCAAUCUACCUUUUACGGACGUGGGAGAAACCACAGUCAGGGACUGGGAUAUGCAACUAGACAAAGUCUGGGCUCGGUUUCGACGCAUUUCUGUGUUAAAUCUUUCCAUUUUUGGGCGUGCACAUGCAGCGGCUGCAUAUGGGCUGCAUCGUUUUACGUGGCAUAUGGAACACGGGGGGUUUCCCCCAGAAGCUAAACUCAUGAAUAUUGAGGCUAAAGCGGCCAAGCUUAUUGAUAGGAACCUCGGACCGGUCGCACAAGAAAGACGACUCACCGGGGUUCCUAAAUAUUUGUUAUAUGGCCAUCCAACUUUGGGCGGUUUUGGGGCAUUAGCAGUACGACAACAUGUGCAAGCGCGAUGGGCAUGCUGGGCAGUGCGUUUUGUGGGAGCAUUACUCCAACCAGUCUUAGUGCGUCCGCCUUGGGUGAUGGUCAUGCAAUCUUUCCUACAUAGCCUUUACCCCAAAUAUAAUCCUAUGUGUAUUUUUACGUCCCAGGUGGGAGUGCCUUGGUUUGGAUUAAUCGUUUUACCGCCAGAUGUUCAGCGCAUUGUGACAGCGUUGGCAUACCUUCCCCCAGUGGAAGAUGUUGAUGAUCACCCGUUAGUUCCUAAUGCGUGGUGUUGGAAUUUGCCAUUGUGGGGAAACCCUGUUCUUCCAGAAAAAAGGGUGAAUGUCCAGUUAGAUAACAUCCGCCCGGGACUAGAAUUUCGACAUCAAGCCCUCCUGGGCUGUAAAGCAUUGCAUACGUUNNNNNNNNNNNNNNNNNNNNNNNNNNNNNNNNNNNNNNNNNNNNNNNNNNUAAAAUACACAUAGGAUUAUAUUUGGGGUAAAGGCUAUGUAGGAAAGAGUGCAUGACCAUCACCCAAGGCGGACGCACUAAGACUGGUUGGAGUAAUGCUCUCACAAAACGCACUGCCCAGCAUGCCCAUCGCGCUUGUACAUGUUGUCGUACUGCUAAUGCCCCAAAACCGCCCAAAGUUGGAUGGCCAUAUAACAAAUAUUUAGGAACCCCGGUGAGUCGUCUUUCUUGUGCGACCGGUCCGAGGUUCCUAUCAAUAAGUUUGGCCGCUUUAGCCUCAAUAUUCAUGAGUUGAGCUUCUGGGGGAAACCCCCCGUGUUCCAUAUGCCACGUAAAACGAUGCAGCCCAUAUGCAGCCGCUGCAUGUGCACGCCCAAAAAUGGAAAGAUUUAACACCGAAAUGCGUCGAAACCGAGCCCAGACUUUGUCUAGUUGCACAUCCCAGUCCCUGCCUGUGGUUUCUCCCACAUCCGUAAAAGGUAGAUUGAGAGCCGUAGCCAUAUGUACGACCUUCAUGUCAUGAUUUAUUGUUAUAUGAUGUGGGUGGGUGCCGAGAGGUAACAGCUCAACCUUAUCCAGGUUAAGUUGCUGUCCAGAAGCCUGUGCGUAUACCCUCAUACAUUCAAGGAAAGCCGGAAUUGCUUGGAUGCCUUCUAAAACAACUUCCGUGUCAUCAGCAAAUUGCACACCUGUAACCAUUUCUGAAUUAUUUUGNGGUAAAUGAAUCCCCACUCGGUUGUACUGUAACCAACACAGUAACGCCUGCGCGACNNNNNNNNNNNNNNNNNNNNNNNNNNNNNNNNNNNNNNNNNNNNNNNNNNNNNNNNNNNNNNAAACGAUGGUCUGUCGAAGUGCACACUGGAAUGGUAGAGGAAGCGAUGAAGGGGGUGAGGUUUGUGGAAGUAUAGAUUCGAUCAAGACGUGACCCUCCCGACACACUUGUUUUAUAGAAAAACGAAAGGUCGCGACGGGUAGGGUGGAGGUAGCGAUAUGUGUCUACCAUAUCCGGGCAGCAUUCGGAGAAAGCCUUGGCUAAGGAUAAGUCCGCGGGUCUACUCCCUUCUCCUGUGGUGGAAUCUAGCAUCGGAUUAUGGACAAAAUUAAAAUCUCCAGCCCAAAGCAAAUGAUCAUCCUGUCCUAUCCUAUUUACCACAUCGCCAAGAGAAUGCACACACGCCUUCCUCUGAUCUAUCGAGUAACUAGAUGUCAUGAGGUACAAAUUAAUCAAAUGAAUACGGUGACCACACCACGUGAACGAAACCGACGCGCUACGGCCUUGGGGAAUGUUAGCCGGAAGUAGUCGUGCCGGUGUUUGUAUUAUUUUAAAGUCGCGAUAAAGAUCUUUGCGCACUAGCACUAACACUCCAGCCGUCCGGGCAUUGGUCGUGGGGGAUUGUGCUAUUAUAUCCCAUCCCGGUAUCCCUAUUUUCUGAGCCGCGAAUUGCAAUUCUCUAGUGAGAAUUGUCAGGUCUCCAUCUCCCAUAUGAUGUGUCUCCUGUAAACAAAUGACAUCUAACCUAUGUUGGGCCCAUACUCUAGCCGCAGCAUGGAUACGAGUAAAUGCCGAAUGCGUGAAUAAACGACACACGCUACGCGUAAGGUAGGGCUUGCCCAAAACAGGAAUUACCAAAGUCUGUAAUGGGUGUGGUGUAAUUAGUGUGGUGCAUUGAUGGAAGAAAGGCAAUUAGAUGUAUUUCAAUGCCGUACAUGUUUAUAAUGCGACUUGAAGGAGUGGACGUACUUAUGCUGAAAGGAAUGGCUGAGAGGAAUGUAGGGUGCUUGAUCAGAAGUCGUGGACGAUACUGGUGUUAAUAAUUUUCCGCGGCCGAGGUGUGUGUGUUUGUUACAGCCGAGGUUACGGCCGAGAUGAUUGCUCACUUGCAUGCCAAGAGAAAUGCAUGAAAUGACGGGCACAUCAAGGAUGUAACUGGUGUGUCGCGCUGAAACAAGGGCACGCCAAUCUAACAAGAAAUGCCUGUUAUUCCAAGUCGUCGGCUGCUGGUUCCCCUAGCGGACACGCUAGACUUGCUGCAUUUUCUGAGUCAGAAGCGUGUGCACUUCUGCCAGGCUGGGCAACAUGCAGUCGUAUUCGACACGUUGUUGUGAUGAGUAUAACGUAAAGGAAUAGCAAUUGGUUCAUGGGCUGUUACACCAUUUGCGGCACAUAUUCAUACAGGUUGAGUACCGACUGUGACUCUGCCUCUGCAGUAAAAUUUAGCGCAGCGGCGGGUUGGUGGCUUGAGCCGUUCCACGCCAGCUGUGAGGAAUAGUCAGCCUGUGUUAACACAACACUGAUGCGAAAAUAUUCCGAAUCGUAUUAAGUAAGAGCCGCACCAGAGGCGCCACCAAGAAUGAGCGCGGUAACACUACAACUACCGGUACAGGGUAUCUCUUCUUACUUGGCCUCUGCCUAGUAUAGUCGCGAGGUCUCAUUUCUGUAACAUCCAAGUUAUGUUUUAACAAGAAACGCCAUCGGGGAUUGACAGAAGAUACGUGGUUAACUUACACAAUUCACUUUAAAGGAGGUACGGGAAGUUCGUGUACGUCAUGUGCCGUUGGGGCAGGCAUGGACCUGACAACUCCGGGAGAGAGUUGCCACACUACAAUGGACAAGACGCGGAUGCACUUAGAACUCACACAAAAAGCGAGCAUUGUCUCUUUGCAACUUAUUAUCAACGUACACAUCUAUGAAUGUUGGCCAUCACUAUUUAUCCAGACAGACCACACACAGCCCAGGCAAUAAGUUCGGAAUGCAUGACAGUAUCCAUAAUUGUGAUGUGGUCUCCUGAACGCUCCUUGACGCAAAUGCAUUGAUUGCCGCGCGGGUGUGAUGAUAAAACAGGGCGGCGCAUCCUGUUGGUCCCCUCAAAAGUGCAUCCACGGUAGUCAGGCGCCAGAGAGUUGUUUGCUGGGGCCAUCCUUGCCGCCUGUUGUUGCGAUGUGCCGGCGGCGUCCAGUAAUUUGUGUCGUUGCGGUGGUUGCGAUGGCGGUGACGACAGACGUUGCUGCUGCCACAGGCGUGUGCGUGGCCAAUUUGCUUGUCGUCGGGCCGGAUUCUUGGUUUGUUCCGAGCAUGGAAUCGGCCAAUGAAGCCGUUGUCACUCCGUACCGAAGGAUGUCGCCAUUGUUGACAACGAAGGCUCCUUGGACUGGCUGCCUCAUGCGUCCCAAGACUCGUUCUAGGCCGCUAAAGUCAUGCAGGGCGCGGUACAAGUCCGGGUUGCCGUUGUUCCCGUGCCGUAAUUUGCCCCAGAGCUGAUGCAACUUGCUGUUGUUGCCCAAGACAAGGCAAGCCGUCAGAGGCUGCAAGACGGGAAUUUGUGCAUCUGGAUGUUUGUUGCAGAGGUUGCAGGUGUUGUUCAGGAUUGUGCCCCCGCAGGUGUUGUUGGUGCACCUGAAGGAGUUGUGGUAAUAGGCGAAAAGGGUGCAGUUGUGAAAGUGAUGAAUAGUAAGUAUUAUUGAGUGAGCGGCUGGGUGCUGGACUUUGCUACGAAGAAGCAGGAUAUGCAGAUUUGAGAUUUACUUGGCGUGGCAGUAUUUAUUCAAGGGAAAGACGAGCCUAUGACCACAUGUGUCAAGUAUACGUACCUGUAGAACAGGAUGUCGUCCAGGCCUUGAAUGCGAUCGAUGAGGUCUUGGAUGAUGAUGACAGAGCCUGUAUAGGUGCUGUCGGCAAGGUUGUUGCGAGUUGUUGCCGGCACGUUGUUGUCCUCCAGCAUGCAAGCUUCUAGGAGCUCGUCAUCCUUGUCAACGUCCCCGUUCAGGAGGAUGUGCAUUUUACUUGUCGACUGCACCCGGGAUGCAUUGUUGAACUCUGUGGGAAGAGUUUGACGUGGGAAACAGGCGGAAAUUCUGAAUGCUGGAAUCUUUGCUGGAAACCUGUCCGAUUAAAUGUCAGGUAAAAGCGUGUUGGAAAUUACUGCGCUGUGUUAAACGAUAGCAUUGUGUCGCCUUGCUGUACGCAGGUUGUGUUUCCAUUUUUCGUACAUACCUGCCUUGCGUGCACCAAAGCACAGGAUUGGUUGUUUGUGGUCCGCCGCCCACUCCAGCAUUUGUGGCAAGCACGAGAAAGCUCCGUCAGCGUGCCAAACCACCAUCUGUGGGGACGGAUAUAAUGUGAAUUACAAUAAAUUCGUGUAAAGAUGUUUGAGGUUUCCCUGUGUAUUCGAAGAGAACCGGCAUAUUUACCACCGCAAGAUUAGUCUAUGUUGUAAGGAUACUGGUGAUUGAGGGAGGAAAUGGUCUAACAGACAAAUAAAGCAAGCAUGUCGGACUUACUGGCAGGUGUCGGGCGGCACCAUCCUCGCCUAGCAUCGAGAUGGUGAAGGCCACAUAUCUUGCUGCGUCUUGCGUCUUGCGGCUGAUGAGGAUGUGCAUUGGUUUCGUAAACAUAGCCUGAUCGGUCAUGACCGGCGUGCGGUGGUAUGUUGCAAUUGUGAUAAUACAGGAAUGUCAGUUGAUGUAUGCGCAAAUGCGUUUGGGCUAUUAUUUGCCUGACCAGGAUUUGUGGUGUUCGCAGGCACAGUCACAGUCACAGGCACAGUCGCAGGCACAGGCACAGAACAGGCUCGUAAUGAUCAUUAUGCCGCGCAACCUCAACAGUUUCUACACCGUAGAUAUGGGUUUCGACUGGCUGGGGCGACUGUGAGUCCCAAAUGACUAGUUGAAUUCCUAGUGCACGUGAUACCCAAGGAAAGAUAAGGGCAUCUGCCCAAGGUCCUCCAAACGCAGCAGAUUUGGCCAUGUGGUGCGUGUAGUGAACAAGGCGUUCGACUCCUGGGCUCGCGCAUCGAUCUAGAUCAAGACCAUGCAUACUGAUGGCAACUUGAGAAACCUCUGUAUGUACGUGGGACAUUUGGACAUAUAUUUCCCCCUCCGUUAAACUUCUUCCCAUCACCUUUAUUGCCUGCUCCUGUAAUGCUUUUAAUACUUGUAUAUAACUGCCAAUGGCACGCUGCAUGUGCGCAGAUGCCUGUUUUCGAAUCUCAGCACCCGUAAUCUGCCGCCUGUGAACAUGUUCUAACACAUACGCCACAGCGUCAAAAAAACAAUCCCCAACCACAAACGGGCACGCGUACCUUUUUUUGCAGACUGAUGCCAACACCGCAUCCAGCUUGUCCGAAUCAGCCGCUGCUUGGUUAAUGUUACAGCCAGCAGUAUUUUGCAGCUGCUGCACUUGAGGAAACACAAACUUCUUCCCAUCACCUUUAUUGCCUGCUCCUGUAAUGCUGUUAAUUCUUGAGUAUAACUGCCGAUGGCACGCUGCAUGUGCGCAGAUGCUUGUUUUCGAAUCUCAGCACCCGUAAUCCGGCGGCCGUAGACAUGUUCUAACACAUACGCCACAGAGUCGAAAAAACAAUCCCCAACCACAAACGGGCACGCAUACCCUUUUUUGCCGACUGAUGCCAACACCGCAUCCAGCUUGUCCGUAGAAAGGCUUAAUAACCGCCCUUUCAUUAUCAAACCCAAGCAAAGUCAGGGAACUGCAAACUGAUCUUCAAGGAUCUGCAAAUGGUCCAAAGCCGUGUUCAGUUGCUUGUGGUGCUGAAACAAUUUCCAAACUGCAAAAGCCUUCUUCGUCUUAAUCCUGGUUUUGUACCUUGGCGGCGCAAAGGCCAAUUUCCUCUCCUGGUUUGCCUGGGUUGUGUUCGGAUAUUCCUGGGGUGGGUUCGUUAAAGCCUGGGCCCUGUUGUCUUUAAAGACAAACACGGCAAUGAGAGUAUCAAAAGGAGACACUUCGGUGAUUCAUUAACAUUCCUUAAUUUUCAUAUUCUCGUCCGUACACGCCUCUUUCUGCAGUUCUCAACAAGAACGUCCUAUAAUUUAAAACAGCAUUUCCUUUCCUAAUUCAUCCUAUUUGCUUCCUAAUCCGCUUUUAACAAUCCUUACUAUUCAUAUUCUCGACCGUACGCGCCUCUUCCUGUAGUUCUCGAGUCGAGAAUUUCGACAAGAACGUUCUAUAAUUUAUAUCUACAGUUCCUUUCCGAUUCCUUUCCUAAUUACUCCUCUUUGCGUGCCGCUUGAGAAGAACUUUUGUAACCGCAUAUAGCUAAGCCUCAAUUUCACACUGAUUAAUCUCCUUCUCCCCAUUCCUCGCUUAUCCCCAUUCUCCACCUUAUACCCUCCUCCCCCUACUUGUUCCUCUUCCUCCGUCCUCUCCCCCCUCUCGUUCCUCUUCCUCCUUUCCCACUCUCCAUCAUCUGCCUCCUCUCCCUCCUCUCCCUCGUCUUUUCAACUCACUCCCCCACUCCUCUCCCUCCUCUUCCUCCUCUUCCCUAUCCCUCCUCUCAUUCCUCUUCCUCCUCUACCAAUACCUCCUCUCCCUCGUCUUACUGUGAUACAUUGCUCCUUAAUCUUGAAAAUGCGCAGCCCAGAUUAAUUACUCAACUCCGUACACAAAUCUUCCUGCAAUUCUCGAAUACAAAGUUCAUUAUUUCUACUUACUUAGGGUAUUUAUUGAAUACUAAUGGUUCACUUUCCCCGUAUUUAGGGUGACACAUCACAUAUGUCUGGUCGAUUUGCGUCAUAGGAACUUUUGUAAACGCCUUAUGCUCGGCCACCUUUUCAAGCUGCACAUCUUCCGGACAUCUGCGCAUUGCAUUUUACCAUUUUUUCACAAAUAUGCAAUAAUACCGCACCAAGGCCAGGAUCACAGCGCGUCGAUUUACGACGCCCUUGCCGGAUUGCGCAAAGAGUAAUUGUGUCUCAGUCCGAGCAUGCUCGUCCAUUUCAUCCAAUAUGUUAGUUCUUGCCCACCUUUUAGGUGGGCAAGCCAACCACCUUUUAGGUGGGCAAGCCAACUCGGAGCCAUGGAAAGCUACAGUAUCUUCGCGUUCCGAUUUAUCUGGAAUGUCUCAUUUGGCAUUUCGAUAUAAAAUGGAUAUAGCAUUCAAACGCUAUUUUUUGCGGGGCGAGAUAUGUAAGCCACUGACUGACUGACUGACUGACUGACUGACUGACUGACAGCAUUGAACCCGUGGGGCUCGGCCCCCCGAAUGGCGCUUCGCGCCCGGGGCCUCGCCCAAAAAUGGCUGACUAUGAAUUAAGUUAAUGUCCACUUUAAAAUUUAUCAGCAGGUCUGAGGCCCUGAUAACCAGUGUGCCACUAAUGCGGACUUAGUGUCCGAGGCGUUUCCACUGGGCCCUUCGGCUUUUCGCGUACGGAGCCCCUUUACGCGAUGUUUUAAGGAACUUUUGCUUUCUAUUAAUGUAUUUAACUAGUUUCUUAUCGCUUGCAUGAUUUGCUGAGCCAGGUGUGAGAUUUUUUGAACUUAAUGUUAGUGUGCGGCCAAGUGGAAACACCCUGUAAAAUGCAAAAACGAGUAAUCCCAGACAUUUAAAAGACUAUCGAGUAUCAACAUGAAUGCUUUGCAGCACCUUUGAGCGGCACCCACGGUGUGGUGCAUAAUGCCGAACAAGAAGCACAUAGCUUCCACAAAACUGGGAACACCUACAGCCUUUAUAAAGGAUAACCUUCCGACCUAUCAAUCAGGAUUUUUAUGAGGCAUCGUCAAAAGUGUUAAUCCGAGAUUGUCAAUUUGGUACCUGGUGGCCACCAGGUAGCAAAUUUGUCCCACCAAGUUUGAGCUUUUAGUAUAGGAAGAAUGCUCGCAUUUCAUAGCAUAUUAAUCUAUAAUUAAUCCGCGAAGCGCGUAAAUACGGGCGGAAAUCUCUAACUAAUUGCGCCAACCUUAAUCCGCCUUAUCCGUCCUAAUCCGCGCGAUGUUUCCAUAUGCGACGGAUUAAGCCUUAAUCCGCAAUUUUUAAUCCAAGUGGAAACACCCCCUUCCUAUUAAGGCAAAGGUUGAAUAGACGCGAAGGUAGUUGCGGCCGCCUGCCGCAGUUAUAGUUGAUUUUACAUUACGACAUUAGAUUACGACAUUACAUUACGAGAUUACAUUACGACAUUACAUUACGACAUUGCAGAUAAUGGGGUGGAUUCGCAUGUGGUAAUGGACCAUUUUUUCCUUUUCCAUGACGUUGUCAAUUUUACUGCCAUUGAGAAUCGCAAAAACUUCGUCCAAAGCGGCCGCUAGGGCAAACGCCAUCGGGGCUUGCGCGGGAUGCAGCGUCAUUGCACAAGGCAGGGGCGCCGAAAACCCUUCAGUUAUAUACUUUGUGACUCUCUAAGGGGAUAUGCUGAAAUAGAAUAGCUACGCAGUUCGCGCCAACGAAGACAUUGUACGAGCGGGAAGUCGUCCGGCCUUUGCGGAUAAUUAUCGCAUAUUUGCACCCUUUGCGGAAAUAGUUCGGAAAGGGCGGAUAUCUUAGAAAACCUUAAAAUGCAGUUAUUAUUAUGUAUUUGUGCAUGGUAUAGCUAUACGAAAACUUGUGGCGGUCGUGCGCCCUGUCAGGAACAGUGCUAAGUUACAAGUUACAAGUGCCGCACGAGUGCGGGGGGGUCCGUCAAAGCCGGGAGGCCAUGGACUAUAUAUAUUGAAAGUUAAGUUCAAUUAAAGCCGAACACUUUCCGCAGUGCUCCAAUAAAAUUACUUACGUGCGGCGAGUCUAUCCAAGCAAGCUUAAGCCUUCAGGCCUUCGCCAGGUCAUUUUCGCAGCUAAGAUGCGAUGUAAAUCCAUCGCUGUAAGGUGUUUUACAAUACAGGUUGCCAAAAAGAAAAUGACGGUGCAGAUCACUGCUUUUGUCGGCUUGGAUGUAAAACCUCACAAGCAGGGACAGGGACAUCGUUCAGUGUUGAAGUAGCAAGGAUCAAGUAAAAUAUGCAAAGGCUGUUGUUAUAAAUUGUGCGGCUAGGUUCCAUGCGAUGGUAAGGAUCAACGGACCCGCACUCUUCCGCUCACAGGAAGCGAAAAAGAAAUUAUAUUUAUAUUUAAUAUGAAACAUAUAUGUGCGUGCAGGGGCCUUUAGGACGCCUGUACGGGAGUCAAGGAUGGCGCGAUGGACUGGCCUACGAAACAGUAACUGAAAAUGGUUCCAUAUGAAACACGGAAGUAUUUCAGCGUCAGAUAUGGCGGUGAAGAACUGAACCUAAGACCCCAGGUGCCCCAAUCGGUUUUAUUACGUCGAUGCGGCUGAACGAGAAACGGCCCGACCAAAUCCUGAAUUCAUGCGUACACAACUCGCUCAUAGCGCUACAGCUGUAUUGUGGCCCCACGAGGAAGGAAGGCAAACGGGAGAAAAGGAGGUAAAAUGAGGGCGACGAAAGCCACUGCCGACUUAAGUACUUUGCCUGACCCAUGACACUUAACUACUUUUUCGACAUGACUGCUAAUGCGCGUACCUGCUCAGCAGAAAGCGGGACGGCAUCCGCGCGAAAUUUGGGCAAUGCCAAGUCGCUGAAAACAGAAGACAGGUGCGCCAACUCUGAUUCCUCAGAUGAAGCACGUUGGCGCGAAAGGUUGGCGCGCAAAGGCGCGCGGAAAAGGGAACCAUAUUCAGCCAGCCGCCUGGUCAGGCCACCGCGUGUCAUCAGCUAUGGUUAGUCGAGGUGUCGCCUGAUGCGGUGGCACAAGUGGUUGACAGCUACACCAACAUACCACACCACAAUGGCAGGCGGCUGGCAGAGGUUAAGGCCUGACUUCUGCUCCCAGUCGACCCAGUCGACCCGGGUUCAAAUCCGCCUGCCGGCUCCUCGGGGGUUUGAGGAGUGAUGAAAUGGGCGAGGGGGUUUGAGGAGUGAUGAAAUGGGCGAGCUGACCAGGAACUAAGUUGAUGCGCCGUUGAUCCGCUAGAUUUGGUUGGAUGCUGGUGGUGAGUUGCUGAACCCAACGAAUACAUUCUGAAGUCGGAUGGGGUGACGGAUUAGGGUGCCCCUCUAGCAGGGGAGAGCAGGGACUGCCCCGGGAAAGGGGGCCGCUGGCGAAGUUAACCACCCUGUAACAACAUACAUAUUGCAAGCCCAGACCGUGCUGACACUCCUAAGCCUGUCAGCUGGACCAGCUCGACACUUUGCCCCCAUUUCCGACGCAAAGGCUCUUUAGGUCAUUAAGCCCCAAAGAUCAAAUCACCUUUUAGAUUCCCUUUUUGAGAUAUAGGGGUCCCCUGUAAAUGGUCUGCUGCAAAAAAGCAACACGUGCCCUGUAAAACAACAGUGACCUGCCCUACCAGCCGCAGACCUUCUGUAUACCUGUAGACUGUAGACCUGUUGUACAAUGCAGCACGCACACACACACACACACACACACACAUCAGUAGGGGUGCAGCAGUGCGUGUGGGACGUGGUCAGCCUCGCAGCACUGCCCGCCAGAAGGAACAUGCACGGGUGGGACCGCGGGCGGCAACCCCCGCAAUCCACACCCCGCACCCGAGGCCCCAGCAGCUCCGGGGCUGGAGGCGGUGCUCGGCUUCUGGCAGCAGGUUUAGGACUUUGCAGAACUCGGCGUGCCCCAGCACGGCUGGCACAGCGUGGGCCCCGACCAUUCCAUCCUAUCAGUGGUGGACGGGCGCCUGCGUUGAGUACAGCCAGUAGGGCUGGGAGAGGAAGGGGCAGGGGGAUAAAAAGGGAUGCUAGGAGGAACCCGGUAGAUGGGCUAUCCCGCUGGUGGGGGGGGAUAGGCCUGAGGGUUUCUCUUUGUUGGUCUGGGUCGGGGGCUUUUCGAGGGAGAAGGCUCGCCUCGCCACAGGUUGGGCCAGGCAGCUUCAGUGAGAGGUUUUUUGAGAGGUCGUUGCUGUAGGGCUUGGGAGGAGUGGCAGGCGAACGGGGUGGCUGUAGCGCAGGCUGGGUGACGCUGUGUGAGCUGUGCCUCGAGUGGUGUGGUGCUGCCUCGAGGUGAGCGGCCGUUGUAUCCGAUAUAGUACAGAGAUACAGUCACACCGUUAAUAUGAGUUCCUUGAAUAUUCCGUUCUCACGUGCUUUGGAAAUUUUGAUGUGAAUUUGAAGUUCAACGCACAAAUUAAGGUGAAGGUUGUGCCGAGAGUUGCUUACGCGCCGUUGGGAUCCAAGUCGACGACCGUUGAGCAGUAGCCGCGCAUAGCCAGCUGCGAUAACGAUUGUAAAUUAAUAUUCAACGCUCAUGGAAAUGGCAGCAUCUGUCACUAUUUUAUUAUACGAAACAUGUUCUUUAUUGGCUCGAUCACGGUGGUUCGGUAGUAAAGGAGUUUCAGGUUUGGAAAAUCCUGAAACCCGCUUAUUACGGGUUAAGAAUGCACGUUUAGGGAACAUAUGUUUGAUUAUUUUAAGAUAAAAAAAAUGCUUGAUUUUAUCUGCAUCAAGCGUUUGUGACCAAAGCCCACCAUUGGUGGUCGGGCACCGAUUUACACCGACCGAGUACGUCUCUGAAACCUGCUCGUCGGGCCUUACAACUUGCGGUACAUUUAAGUAUAGCACUUCCUAGAAAAAAUCAGAAAGUAUUUACUGAAUAAAACUUGUUGGACCGGCUCGCGUCGCCUCCACGGUAAGUCGGUCUAUUGCUCUCAGCUCUUCCUCCGGUACUGCUUUCCUUAAGCAGGAGGCUGGAACUAUAGCGAGGAGGCGCGCCACAUGCCUUGCAACUCUAAAAAUGUUUUUUCAUGUACUAUUUUGCGAAAAUGGCCACCUGAGUAAAAAAUCUGAUUUCAAUGCCCCUGUAGAGCCUCCUCUGGCUAGGAGCCGCUUGGAGCGUCUCGGGAGUCCACCGACUCGCGAGUUUCAACAGUGAAAGCCAAAGCUUCAGUAUCGCCACCUUCAUCGUUAUCGUUGUCGUCAUCAUCUUCAUGGUCAUGUUACCAAUGACGCUGGCAGUCCACGUCGCCCGAAAGGAACGCGCGCUUCUGUCACCGUCGAACAACCUGCACCGCCAACAGCUGCCGCUAUUCUCCUGCCUCGCAACCGUGGCAAUGCUCCGCCUGAUCCCCUACCUACUGCUGCUGUUGCUGGCGCUGCCCGGUGGCACCCUCGCACAGACUGUCCCGGGCUGCGGCUCAAGCGCCUUCAUCUAUCGCAACGGGGUCCCUGCAAAUUCGAUCGACGUGAUGUUCCGAGAUUCCCAGACAGGGGAAUCUGUUGGUUGGGGUUAUAUUGCUAUGAACUUAAGCGCAUUGACUCUACCAGAGCCCAUCGCGACCGACCAAACGGUACCCGGAACUAUAAAUAUCGCAGUGAAACUGGGGGCCUUUGUCGGAAGCAUUCAGGGCAGCGUUCAAACCGAGUCCAUGUUUCAGUCUAAUUACCCCGGCGGCGGCGCUAGUUGUUCUGGUGACUCUAAUUCCUAUAUUUCAUUCCCCAUGGACAUGCCGCAAAAUGUGGUAUUCGCCUCGACGAUGGACUACAAUGGACUCCUCACCGGCAUUCUGACAAAUCCGAUCCUCGGAAUCCCGCAAUGUCAGCCAAUUGUACUCUACCUCCUUGCGAAGUUCACAGACAAAAAUAAUUCGUCUCGUUCCGCCUACCUGGCCACGGACUGGGUGUCAGCAGGCAAUGCCUCUGACCCGGUGUGCGCCAACUCACCUACGUCCUGGGGCUAUAUUAAGGCGGAGUUUGGCGUCUGCAACUGCCCGCCAUCCCCACCACUCCUACCACCAUCACCCAACCCCCCAAUGCCGCCCUCACCUUCGCCACCUUCACCAAGCCCUCCAUCACCCUUGCCACCUAGGCCGCCAUUCCCAUUACCACCACCACCUCCACCACCACCGCCACCAAGAGUGUCACCAUCACCACCACCGUCCCCCUCCCCGCCACCACCUUUGCCGCCACCCUCUCCACCUCCACAACCCCCGCCUUCGGUCCCCUCCCCCCCUCCCCCUCCGCCAUCCCCGGCACCCCCGCUGCCUCCCCCCCCAUCCCCUCCUCCUUCACCACCUCCUUCACCUUUACCCCCACCUCCCUUACCGCCGUCCCCACCACCACCUUCUCCACCACCGCCACCCCUGCCACCCCCGCCUCCCCCCCCAUCCCCUCCUCCUCAGCCGCCCCCUCCUCGCCCACUCAGUCCCCCUCCCCUGCCACCCUCGCCAUCCCCUCCCCCCCCACUUUCCCCUUCUCCACCACCACCACCCCGCCCGCCCCCACCGGCACCUAAGGCUCCUAGGUCUCCCCGAGCCCCCAAACCCCCCAAAGUCCCCAAGGCACCCCAGCCUCCACCUCGACCCGCAAACAACCUGCUCGUCAACAAGUUCCCCUUCUCGUCCUGCAGCGCUAGUGACGUCAGCCUCACACCGUACCGGAUGACGUCACCCAUGGGGCCGUUCAACGUAACCGCCACCGCCGCCACCUACUGCUUCCGGAUCUCCGCCUCAGCAACAGUGGACAGCACCAGCCCAUGUGCGAGAAUGGUCAUCAAUGAGCUUCAAAUCGUCAUCGGUGAGUAGCUAUAUGCUACCUAGCUACCUAGCUACUUAGCUACCCAAGCUACCUAGCUGGUCGUGAUCAUCGUGGUGACCUCCAUGCACCUCAUCAGUUGUGCGCUCAACAUGCAUGUAUGUGUGUGGUGUGUGUAGGGGUCCCUCACUCCGCACACCGCCUUCAUCCGCUCACGGCUCACCCAGCUGCAGGGAGCUUUAUUUCCCCUCCAAUAUUAAUCAAGAUAAUCAACACCGACUCCGCCCUGUUUCCCCCCCGACCCCAAACACCCUCCCCGGCCUACAUGGUUCACCGCAGACCCCAGCUGCGUGGAGUCCUUCCCCAACUCCUUCAGGGUCACCACCGUCAACAGUGUGACGGUGUCCCCCGUCUACAGCUACAGGACAUGGCGGGAGCAGACGUACGGUGUGAUGACGAUCACGUCCCUGGCGAGUACCUUCCCCGUAACCCCCGCUGGCGGCCUGUAUGUAUGUCUGGCCAUGAGUCGAAACAGCAGGUGUGGCACUCCGGCGGGGCUGUGCUACGGAAACAGCUGCGCGUACUCGCUGCUCAAUGCGGACAACAGCUGCUGCCCCGCCAGCCAGGUGCCGUACUAAUAGGUGGAAGGUUCCUGCAGUAUUGACGACUAUGCGAAGCAUGGCAUAAGUAGCCCUUGAUGCAGAGAUGGCUUGGCCGGAGAGGAUAGGCUAAGUUAAGUACCAAUGAUACAAAAUAUAGGCGUAUUAUCCCCAUGACUUGUCAUGUUGAUGUGUUCAUAUCACAUGUGUAUUAUCAAAGCCAUUGUUAAGGAUGAGGAUUAUGUUGUCGCAAGGGGUACGAGUUCGAAUGUCACGAACUUCGAAAAGCUCCGAAAAUAGAGAUCAUCACGAAAAAAUUUGUCCACAACUUCUUGCACGAGGUUCCUUCUUGCACGAGGUUCCUAGGUCGGCGCCGAUUUGCCCCUGGCCCUGUGCUGCCACGAUUAAAUUCACUGGCAUAGAUGUAUGUGCGCCACGUCAGGGUGCUUGAUGGCGGGUUGGUUGGAUAUCCAACCACAUAUGGCAGUGGACGGUUUUAGGCGAAGACUCGCAGCCCGGAUAGGGGCCGCAGGGUUCUUCAUAUACCUGCGAGAAAAUAACGUGUGAUAACCAAUAGCGCAGCCUACCGAGCCCCCACCCUCCCAACCCCUUCAUCAUCGGUCCCCUCCAAUCACGACGGGAUCCAUGUCCUGGAGUGAUAAACCUUUUAACAUGUUUUUUCAACAUGUUUUUCAAUGUUGCUUCGUCUCAUGAUGGUUUCCGUCCCGGUUCUAAGGCACGUGUGUGAGCAUGUGUGUGUGUGUGUGCACCAAGCUUAUUACCGCCAUCAUCACACUGCAUCACGCCGCCGUGGCAACGUGUGCAAUCGCCUCAAAAGUAUCUACGACCUGUAACAGCGGUUUGCGCUGCUCGGGGUCCCGCCACCCGGACGGAAACCAUCAUGAGACGAAGCAACAUUGAAAAACAUGUUGAAAAACAUGUUAAAAGGUUUAUCACUCCAGGACAUGGACCCCGUCGUGAUUGAGGGGACCGAUGAUGAAGGGGUCGGGAGGGUGGGGGCUCGGUAGGCACGUAAUAUCAUAAUAUCAUAAUAAUAUCAUAAUAUUUCAUUAGAACCGUUGCUAGUGUUUCAACUCUUGCUCUGGUUUGAUGGCGAAUGUAAUUAUCAUCCUCAUAGUCUGUAAUUACGUGAGCUUAUCUUCAGCAGCAGAAGAGUCCCUCGCUGAGUGAAGCUCUACCAACUGGCCGAUUACGCGGGACAGUUGAUGUAUGAUCGUCGUACAGGCAAUGAGGAUCGCUUAGCAGAUACCAAGUGGAAGAGGAUAGAGUCCACACCAAAUGGGAUGCCAAAUCGUUACACGAUUGGGAAGAGCGAAUUAAUAAGCCAUCUUAAGCAUACAACAGUUGCGCAGCACGUUAAGCGCUAAUUAUAGUUUAAUUAUAGUUUAAUAUGCUAUGAAAUGCGCGAAUUCUUCCUAUUCUAAAAGCUCAAACUUGGUGGGACAAAUUUGCUACGUGGUGGCCACCAGGUACAAUCUCGGAUUAACACUUUUGACGAUGCCUAAAAAAAGCCUGAUUGAUAGGUUGGAAGGUUAUCCUUUAUAAAGGCUGUAGGUGUUCCCAGUUUUGUGGAAGCUUUGUGCUUCUUGUUCGGCAUUAUGCACCACACCGUGGGUGCCGCUCAAAGGUGCUGCAAGCCUUGCAAGCCUUUCCAGGUUGCAGAAGUAAUGAUGCAUAGCAGCAAUGAACCGGAACCACCAAACGCAACCUGUUUCCUGGCCCAUCGCGAUUGUAUCCAUAUGAGGAACAUUGAUGUUUGGCCCGCUCGCUGUUGACAACCGGAAUGGCGUCAUUGUCGUCGGCUGGCUGCAGCAUUGCAUCCACAUUGCCUACGACCCCUACACCGUCUUCAUUAACGUCGCUAAUGGCUUCAGUGAAAUUUAGUAUCUGCUUUAAUGGCCUUCAAUGCUUUGGGAGCUUCGGGUCCGAAUGUUUUGCAGCGUUUGGUCCGGUCAGAAACAGUCCGAUUCCUCGUUGACUUUUGGGCGUGAGCUUCCUAACAGUAUCCAUGGCAUUAAAGUACUAUGAUAUGGGUAACAUGUAUGUCUCCUGUAAGAUUCUAGCGGCUUUGGCAUGGACAGUCCAUUUUUGGCUGGAGGAAAAACGGUUGGAACAUUAUUUAUUCUUAACUUUCAGGACCACGAACAUUUUUUAUUCCGAAUUCGGAAUAUAUUCCGCAAAAAAAUAACGCUGCCUCAUGAUGGCCACUUUCGCCUCGCCUUUCACGUUUCUUCUACACGCUGGCGUUCAUAUUCUUCUCACGGAGUUGAUCUCCUACGUAAAGGCUAUGGAGCACCUGGACCGUUCGGGCGAGCCCUUUUGAGGCAAUAUUUCCGAACUCAAGAUGGGCCCACCCUGCCCGUGUCAGGCAUUCGUCGCGUUUCGCGUUUCGCGUGUGCUGUGGUCCGUUUGGGGCGGAGGUUCGCAUCCGGUUUUGCCCACUUUAGGCAACCCGCACAUUCACCGGCUCAGGAUCAGUGAUUUUUUUUUCAUUUAGGGGGGGUCUCAAUUUAUUCCAACCUAAGUAACAAAGUUGCUAGCGUCACCGUAAUGUAUUCCUUGGGGGCGCUGGGGGACCCCCCAGACCCCCCCCCAUAAUUUACAACUCCCCUCAUAGACAAAGAGGCACGCACUGCGUUGGCGCGUUUUCGUUCAUGUGCGCACUCUUCAUGCACAUGCAUACAUAGUUCUGGCAUUGUUUGUGAACAAAAAGUAAAUCCGACAAAGCAAAGGCCCAAAGCAAGCAACCGCAUAGCAAAUCACAGGCCGUCACCCGCCACUGCAAACCACAGCACACUAGGACUCUACCGGUUCAUCAUGUACCGGCCCCUGCUGCUGCUGUCCAGCCACUCCCUCAGUGCGUCACGGAACGGGAACGUGCCCAGGUCGAACAGGUCCUGGGUAAACAUCCGCACACAUAAUGCUAGGUGCGGGUUGGGCGCCUCGCCGCAUUCGUUGUUGUCGAGCUGAUUGGGUGACAGCUUGCGCUUAUGCUGAUCACAACCGCCAUGGAAGGCAGGGGUAAUGGCGCCCGUGUCAUCGGUCGCCGCUGGCAGCAACACCAUUGCCGAUGCAUUACCGACAACAGCACCGCCGUCCCAAACGUCUUUAUCAGGAAAAAAAUCAGGCUUAUCUUGCUGUUUUGGUGUUUGUUAAGCAGCCUCUCGCACAAAUGUGUCCGGUCGUACUUCGCGAAUAAAAGGUCCGUACAUGACGCCCCAAAAGCCAGGAGCGAAUUUUACCGCGCAGAUGCGCGCGUGCGAUUCUCCAAAUGCGCCUGUACAAGUGUAUAUAAAUUUUCUUGGCGGAAAAGGACCAGGUGCGCCAGCGCAUUGCGCAGGUGGGCAUGUUGGCCAUAGUCGCACCCGGCAUACAGGCUGGACUAUUGCGUGGCUGCUUUGCAGUAUCUGAAAGCACCAAAAGCCUACGUCGUAGCUUGCAACACUGGGCUCGUGAAACUGCCGCAAGAAGAUGAAGCGCUGGCGAAGAGGCAGUUGUGUGCAGCACCUUGUUCAGAGUAAAGUCAAAUUACAAAGUUGCGCAAAGUAUAACAUACAUAAACUGAAUUAAACAUAAGAACAGAUAAGACGUUUAGAGCCUUGUCGGUGACAUGGACGCCGCUGUUGGCUUGGAACAGCUAUUUGCUGUGCAUAGGGACGUGCCCGCGUUAGCCGUGUUGCAACAGCUCAGGAUGGAUUUCAGCCAGCAACCGCCUGAAGAGCUGCUGCACAACCACCGGGAAUGUCUUCAGUUGAGCACGUGUAGUUUUGGUCGGCGGGGUCGAGCAACGUACGCAAUGCGCACAGAAACCAAGGUGCAGCGCCGCUGCUGCAAGGUGCAGCGCCGCUGCGCAAGGUGCAGCGCGCGCUGUUACAGAACGGCGUUCUGUAACAUCGCCAACAUAUCCGGUACGCGGUGGCAGGCUUGCCGAGCACGAAAUGAAGGGGGGGUCGCAUCUCACCAUUUAACUAAGCAUGCAUGUGCUCGGUUGAAUGCUCGGUAGCGUGCGAGUUUACCCCUAUCAGGAUGUUUGUUUGCAUAUCCCUCCAAGCGAGAGGGCUUGGACCUAUGCUGAUGUUCGUUCCAAGAAGUGAACUGAGGACUGAUGCUACGUUGAAAGAUUUGCACGUCAAUUCGCCCGUGCAAUAAAACGCCCUGUAACUCGCUUACCCUAAUCUCACAUUCCAAUAUGCCACUGCACUUUCCUCUCCAGCCUGGGCACAUUCUCUUCCUCGCAAACGUACUUGGGCACCUUACAAUCCAACACCAUACGGGCUUUGGAAACGCGGGCAGCUGCUUCACAAGGACCCCCCUAUUUCGGCGUUCAAGUCGUUGCCUUUUGCGUGUUUGGCUAUGUAAGUACCGGUCAUACAUUCUGCUAUGCCGCGUUGACUCACGGGCUUGACCUUCUUACGGCCCCUCAUAUCUAUUCUAUGAUCGAUAAUACUAAGUUCUGCACACUACGGAGCAAUCUGGCAGCAAUGGACGUUUUUGGCUGGAGGAAUGAAAAUGUACGGAUCGGCCUCAAUUUGUUCCUUAUUUCCAAAGGCCAAAAUGGCCUCUUUAUUCCUUAAAAGGAAUAUAUUACUUAAAAAAACACUGCUCAGGAUAUCCUGAGUUGGGUGCUUUUACCGUGUUUCGUUGGAACAACAGAGGGCAUUUAGCCCAGUGAUUUAAGUGCGCCUUGGCCUAACUAGCUGGACACUUAGUGCAAGCAAUAGGGCCCCUACAGUGUUGCCUGCUCAGGCCUGCGCCUGCUAUAUAUAUGUAUAUAUAUUUUGUAUAUCUACAAUCGGCGGAUGGCCCCCGGAUACAAUCGGCGGAUUUACGUUAUUGCCCGUGGGCCAUCCGCCGAUUGGCAUAAUAAUGAUAUGUAAUAUUACAUUAUUAAUAAUGUAAUUAUUCGCCACGUCAUUAUUAUGCCAUUAUUCGCCUGUUUUAGGUCUUAUCGUCUAUAAAUUUUGCAGUCGUGCAAUAGGUAGGCACCGUCCCUACCUAUUAUUAUACUGUGCUAGGGCGGCGCGGUCUACAUAUAGACGAUUGAAAAUUGCAGACGUUAAGUCCAUAUUCAGGAUUAUUGCCAGAACUGGACUGCGGGUAGACUCCGCCUGUGCUUUCUAGCUGCUGCUGUGUGCCGUCGAAACCGACAUGCACGCGGCUCUGCGCCACGCACCCGCUAACGCUCGCUUGACGGACUAAUGUUUUAGAUCGUAGGCGGGGCCGUUGCUGGUGAUGUUAUGGAUAAGUGAGACUGCAUCUGUGGUGUAGACUGAUGACCUCGACUGACGAUUGGUUGAGUAUUAUUGCGACAAGCCUCGCCUAGUGGCGGCGACUGUUGGCCAGCCAAAACUCACCCGAUGCGGCAGAAGCUGCUGCUGCAUGCGUAUGUCUUCUUGGUAUCUUCAAGAUACCAAACAAGUUGUUCGUUAUGCUUAGCGGGUUGCGGUGUUGCUGAUUGCCUGCUGGUAGGUUCGCCCGCAUAUGACACACACAAUCUGGUCUGGUCUGGGUUGACACUACUGCAAUUAGCGGUUUAAGGUUCUGGGUUCGAUUCCUGGGGAGACCCCCGAAUUAGUCGGGAGCGCGAGAUUAUGGCUAGCUGCUGAGAUGCGGAGUUGAGGUCACAGUUGAUGGACCAGAUUCGCACGCUGGAUUGGUGGCGAUUGCCGAACCCUCCGUCUCUUCGGGUGUUCGGGUGAAUGGAUGAGGAGGGGUCCCCGAAGGCUGGAUCCGCCGCCUUGGACUUACAGUUCGUAUGGCGAAGUACAGUGUGGUAGUGGUGGAUGGUGCUAUAAGGUGAUAAAUGAUCUAGAACUGACAAUGUGAUAAAGCGGCCCAGAAGCUUCCCACUCUGUAACAUUACAUUACAUUACAUUACACACAAUCUUACUGCUUGCCGACUACCCUAUGGCAUAAAAUGGGGGGCAACACUCCCUUAAGGUUUACCCUGCGGGUGGGGGUAGGGGUAAGUGGUUUCCCAUGUGGGUAUGUACGAAGGGAGGUGGGUAAAACCUAACCCCGGGGUCGGGUUAACCCCUUACCGAGGGGUAACAGAGGGGUCGGGGUGAUACGCUACCGGGGGGUGACAGACAGAGUAGCCCACUUUCACGCGUGUGUCUCGACCGAACCCGGAAGCUCCCGGGGGGGGCAUGUGCUGGUGUCAAUGUGUUGUAGGGUGUCCCCCCUGUCUACAUGUGCAUGCACAGCUGUCUCACCCGUCUUUGUGAGCACGUAUGCCUGUCUCGCCUGUCUACACAUGCAAACAUACAUGUCCACCAAUCACUUGUGAGUGCACAAUUGUCGACAUUGCCAAGGCUGCGGUCCGGCCGUCGUGGGAAGAUAAGCGGGAAAGCACGGCAGGGCAGGCGUCAGGAAUGUGUCGUGCCUAGGCCUGCUUGCACUUAGCUGUGCCUACUGCAAGGCCGCUCCAUGUCAACUCACUCGGUCAGUCGCUGCGAGGACAUUAAACUUGCUGGCUUCACUUUGCGAGUUCAUCGGCUUAAAGAUGUCGAAGAAGGCCUCAGGCGCGCAGGCGGCCACAUUCACGGCCGAAGUCUGUGUUCUGUCACUGCAUGCAGUGUCUUGUAGCUGAAGCAGACUGUCCGGAUAAAGUGCUUUCUUUUCUUGCCAGAUUUAUUGCUCAAUGCCCAGUCGGUAUUGUCUUUCAGCACAAUGGCUUUGCGCGUGUGUUGCCAGCAUUAGAGACCUUGAAAUGGCGAACGAUGCUUCCUGAGAUACCAAGACAUGUACAUUUACAAAAAAAAUAUCUUAGGUGGAAUUCACAAGUUGGGCAACAAAUAAGACGAGUAGGCCCAUGUCCAUAUGGAUGCAUGCUAAUAUUAGCAAGGUGGCGGCACCCAAACGCCGGGGAACUCCAAGGUUUCCGUCGGCUUCCAAGUCGUCUAAUGCUGUAUUUGUUUUUUUUAUUGCAGACUGUAUUUUCAGGCCUAUCGAUUAUACCAAAGCACGGUCUAUAGAACAUUUUCUGUACCAUGAACGAAUCUGCAUGCGAUCUAUUUUUUAGUCCUGUCUAUUAUAUGAUGACCCUGUCUAUAGACGAUUAUAAACUUUACAGCAAGUCUGUGCUAGGCUUGCGGCUGAAUACAGCAGUGUUACUUAUUACCUUCCAAGCUUAUUAGCUUCCAUCCGUAGCUUCCAUCUAGUUUCGAAGCUCCCUGCUGCUGGAACGGUUCGUAAAACGGCGGCUGGUAACAUUAUCAUCAUCAUCAGCAGCAGCAGCAAUCAUCGUCGUAGUGCGUGACAGUAACGAAGUACAACACCUUAUCCACACCUUCUAUCUGCAGGGUUGUACAAUCGCUGAACAAAUGUAUGGCGAAUAUUCCCGGCUAUUUCAUUUUGUUCGCAUAAACGAGCGAACGGCAGGAAUUUGUAUAUAGACAAAUAUUUCACACAACAAAAAUGCAGGCGCGGCUUUUUCCCAAGCCAUUUCGGCGGCGAUUGCGAGGUUGUAUACGAGCGCAUUCAGCAGCAGCAGUAUUACGCUAUUUGGCUGUCGCAGCAGUUUCAGCCUAAAGAGUAAACAAGUGCAGUAAGCGCGUUAAGUGUAACGUUCAUUAAUGUGAACCAGCAGCAGGGCGGCUGCAAAUGCGAUAACAAAUGCAACUGCUGCCCGUCGCCGCCGCCGCCGCCGUAAGUCAUCAUCCGCAGAAGGUGUAGCUAGAAGGUGGAACACAUUGCUAGCUGCUGUAGCUGCGACGGAGGUUUUACCAAGCUUCGCUGUUACCACGACUGCUUAGGGUAACGGCACACGGCGGAUGUCUCCCUUCAGGAUGUAAACAGCGGUAGAGGAAUAAUAAUAAAUAUUCACUGGUGAACGGCGGUCCUGAAUGGUCAGCAACAGUGAACGGCUGGAUAAAGGGCCAGUGAACGUUCACCGCCGCCCACUGUUCACUGAACGUUUGGAAUGUCAUGCCUGAAGCCUGCGGGCACCGCCGUGGAAGUGAAGUGAAUGUGGAAGUGCCCAGAAAGUGCCCGGACACAAAGCCAGGAUUGGGCGGUAUGUAACAUGCUUUCAAGUUCACGUUGUACUACUACAUUGUUCACCAUACAUGCCGCUACUGUAGGUCUUUUAGGUUCUCGUUACGGCUACCCGGCAUGCGGCCGCAUGCAUGUUGUUGUUGUUGUUGUUGUUACAUGGUCGUGGGUGCGUUCCCCGUACCUGCAAACCACCCUAGUACGAGCCGAGGGCUCAAGGGCUGCCAAAUCGCCUAUAAGCACCAUCCUACCUCGCACUUCCAACGAAACAAGUAAUGAAGUAUACUAACGACCAAAGGGAACGAUAGAGUUGCGGUGAGACCAUAUACGUUCCAGCAUUCUUGCCAGGCGUUCAGGUUCCCACUUCAUAGCGUCCUUCAUAUGUUCGAAGCGUGGAAAGCCCAUAUCAGAUCUGAUUCCGUCGUAAACCGGACAGUCCAGCAAAAUGUGUUUCUCAUCCUCGAUGUGGCUAUCAGUGCCGCAGCAGGGGCAUACUCGCUCCUCCCUAGGUAUAUAACGCCGUCCCUUACGCGCUCUGUUAGCCGCCAGUGCCCAACAGCAAAGCCUAAACUGCAUAAGCUUGCAAUUCGCCGAACGUGGGAUAAACAUUGUGAUGUGCGGGAGCACCUCCUUCCUGCCCGCUUGCUCGGCCGCCGGCCCCAUCCAAUGCUUAUACUUCGCCAUGUGAUUCCUGGUUGUUUGCCGUCUGACGGAUACACGUCAGGCUGGACAUCUAAACGUGUAUGCUUCCAACCACUCACUAAUCGGUCCUUGACUCCGAAAUCACACCUUCUGGCAUUGGCUUGUUCAUCAGCCACNNNNNNNNNNNNNNNNNNNNNNNNNNNNNNNNNNNNNNNNNNNNNNNNNNNNNNNNNNNNNNNNNNNNNNNNNNNNNNNNNNNNNNNNNNNNNNNNNNNNNNNNNNNNNNNNNNNNNNNNNNNNNNNNNNNNNNNNNNNNNNNNNNNNNNNNNNNNNNNNNNNNNNNNNNNNNNNNNNNNNNNNNNNNNNNNNNNNNNNNNNNNNNNNNNNNNNNNNNNNNNNNNNNNNNNNNNNNNNNNNNNNNNNNNNNNNNNNNNNNNNNNNNNNNNNNNNNNNNNNNNNNCCCCGGUAUUAAUACCGUCGUGCAUAUCGAUGACGUCCGCGAGGGUUUCAAUGUAGAGCCCAAACAGCUCAGUUGAUAGUGGACAGCCUUGUUUCACACCCUGUUUUGACUCAAAUUCACCUCCAGCUUUGCCAUUCGUCUUGAUGACCAUCGUAACCUUAUCAUACGCCCGCAUCAGCGACUGCAGCAUGGACCCUUCAACCCCUCUCUCUUGCAAGCGAAGCCACAUUAUCUCCCGCGGCACCUUGUCAAACGCCUUCUCAAAGUCAAUUUGCACGAUGAUUAACGGCCGCUGUCCCGGUUGGCUGUGCCUAGUAGUAAGGUACUGCUUGGCAAAGAGAUGGUGUGUAGUACCGAAACCUCUUCUGAAACCCGCUUGGCCUCGAUGCCUAAGUGAGAGCGUCUCCCCUGUGCGAACGAGCCUAUCCAGGAGGACCAGUGCAUAACAUUUCGCCAAAGCGCCCCCUACUGCUAUGCCCCGGUAGUUACUCGGCAUGCUGGGGUCCCCCUUCUUGUAAAUAGGGGUGAGGACGGUAGUUGUAAACUGCCGUGGGAAGUCCCCAGUCGCCCUGAUAUGCUCCAGAAGCACGUGCAGUACCGGAACAAGCUGAUUCACUUCCCCCCGUCGCCUGCCCCCACCAUUACCCGACGCGGAGUCUUCUUCCUCUCGGGGCAAACGCGCAUAGCGGUAACAUUCCGACGGCGCUACUUCCAAACCUGGUGCCUUACUGUUAGGCAGCCGGUCAACAGCACGUGCGACUUCCUCCAGCGUGAGAGGGGGUUCUAGGAUUUCUGCUGCUUUCGCAGUCCUGCCCAAAACCGAGUGGGAUGACCGCCAUUCCUGCCCCUCUAGGAACUGCCCAAAGUUAAUGAAGUUCAAAAGCCGGUUCGCACCAUCAGGCCCUGUCUCCCCUACACCUGCGUUUAAGAGCCCAGCAAAGUGUUCCCUGAAGACCUCAAUAUCAUCUAUCGCACAUCGCUCUCUCAACUUCCCUCCUAAAGCCCGCCACAAAGCUCGUUGGUCUUGCCGACAUUUGGCCACAAACUCUCUCAUCCUAUCCUCCUCAUAUGCCGCCCUUGCGUGUCUUUUUGCCCGGUUAUAAUCCGUCCGCGCAUGGCGGAAAGCCUCCCAUUCCGGACCCGAUUUAUUACUCACCCGGCCUGGACCCAGAUGUGCUCUGCUCUCCAACAUGCGUUGCCGUGUUUGUUGACAUUCCCGGUUCCACCAAACCGUAUUCCCACCUGCCGUCAUGCCGGUAGGUCGGUGGGUAUCGAAGGCCCUCACCAGGACUUUGUACAGGGCACCUCCAAUGCGUUCGACAGCUUGUGUGGUAUUGCAAACUCCCCUCUGCAGGUCCUCGGCCACUUGGCUUAAGGCAUUCAUAGUAGGGGACCCCCCCUCAAAAUAUUCCGCAUAAUCCUGGUAUCGUGCAAUAUCAAACUCCACCCGGGCUUUCCGGCCUUUACCGUCCCUACACCUGCUUUCGUCAUCCACUGUAACAUUAAGAACAAGCGUCAAAGGACGGUGGUCGGUGGGCUCCCAUCCAUCCAACUCGAUCAGGUUCCCUACCCUCAGAAAGGUGGCGUACUGCUGAAGCACACGCGGAGUCGCUAUGAAUAAAUCGAUCAUACUACCGCCUGCCUCCCCCUUAGGGAAAGUUAGGCGGCCUUCUGGGUCCCCUCUUAUCCGGCCGUUCAUCACGAGCAGUCCCUCGGAUCUGCAGAGCGCCCCAAGCUGGGCACCAAAGAAAUUGCAAACUUGGUCCUGGCACUUUCGAUUUCCGAGUCCAUCAUAAUUCUGGUGGUCCCUCAGUCCUUCAAAACCCAUGACCUCGCAUACGGCUUGUGACUGCUCUAAAUCCGGGAUGUCAUUCACGCAUGCAUGUAACCGGCGCCACGCAAUUUAAAAUAUUACGUUCUUUAGCCACGGGAUCAAGUCGCAUGCCAUAAUGUUCUGAAAUGUAAAACGCGUCUUACAGUUCUAGCGUAAAAAGUGUUUUCGGUUAUCAGCUACUACAAGCAUUAACUUCCAGUUUUUAGCAGUAAAUGAUUUAAUUGGUGUAUCGUUUUACCUAGACAGAACGGGCAGUCACUUUGCGUUUCUCGAACGCUGGCGCCGAGCCGCCCGCCGCCAAACAACGUGCUGGAUGCGUUACGUCAUCAGCUUCUUGGUGAACACCGGGGGCCUCCCAUAGCGGGUGGGUCGAGUAAGCGACCUUCGGCGGUCCUUCCGGGCCUUUUGCGAUUGCCAUACUAUAUAUGUUGGCCAAGUUCCGAAAGGUAUAAGUGAGCUAGGUGUGCCUGCAGCUAAUGCAUGUUCUCCUCGACUAGUUCUACCUUGCAAGCCACUCCCUUUGGAGCCUGCCUGCUGCUGCCAAACAGGCAUUCAGUCGGCUUGGAUUAGUUUACGCCGGUAAGCUCUUAGCAGGCUUCGAGGGCCGCUGCCAUGUCUAAAACAUCUAGUUCGUUCUGUUCUAACAUCUAGUUCUAGCUACUGUAUGUGCUGUUCAUGACCGGACAUACACGCAUGCCUCCUUCCUUGCUUCCUCGUUCGUGCCAGCAGGCAAAAUAAUUUGGGACUGAGAAACUGCUGAGAUCUCGCAUUGUUUAUUGCAAAGCAAGUUUUGCCACAUCAAAGAAAAGAGAAUGAGGUACGGCUUGGGCUAUGCAGCAGCUACAAAAGUUCGGUGGCAGGAUUAAUGGGCGAGGGCUUGCACGGGACGACGCCUGGAACUGGGUUGCUUAAAUGGGUAGGGUUGGGGGGUAGAAGCAAAACGGGUGCAUGUGGGAGGCAUCAAUGCAUGUCCAUACUCGCCGGUAGGACUUUUGGUCUAUAGAUCGUGCCCUGGCAUAUGAGAUAGGGACAUUAGUUCAUUCUAUUGUAUCAGGUUGGGAUCUACAGACAAUUAAAGGUUUACAGACUUGCAUACAUACAUACACACUAAGUUGAGGCGCUGUUGAUCUGCUAGAUUUGGUUGGAUGCUGGUGGUGAGUUGCUGAACCCAACGAAUACAUUCUGAAGUCGGAUGGGGUGAACGGAUUAGGGUGCAACUCUAGCAGGGAGAGCAGGGAACUGCCUCGGGAAAGGGGGCCGCUGGUGAAGCUUAACCACCCUGUAACGACAUACAUACACAGGCAGGCGGCUGGCAGAGGUUAAGGCCUGACUUCUGCUCCCAGUCGACCCAGUCGACCCGGGUUCAAAUCCGCCUGCCGGCUCCUCGGGUGUUUGAGGGGUGAUGAAAUGUGAGGUGGCCCCCCAUCAUAUGGACGGUGUAGGACGUGAUAAUAUCAACUUGCGAGCUGACCAGGAACUAAGUUGAUGCGCCGUUGAUCCGCUAGAUUUGGUUGGAUGCUGGUGGUGAGUUGCCGAACCAACGAAUACAUUCUGAAGUCGGAUGGGGUAACGGAUUAGGGUGCCCCUCUAGCAGGGGAGAGCAGGGACUGCCCCGGGAAAGGGGGCCGCUGGCGAAGUUAACCACCCUGUAACAACAUACAUACAUACACAGGCACCGUCGGUCUGCAUGUAUGUUGAGAGGCAUCUAUAUCACGACACCAGUUGCUAUCAUUCUUCCGCGUCAUGAACAUGUACACGUCCUUCCAUAUGCUUGCUGACGGCGUGGUGUGCAG
rnacentral:lncRNA from 1 species